AGUGUUCCACCCAUCCACCACGUCAUCCAUCUGGUAGGAGAUGUCCUUGAGCCUUUCUAACCAAACUUUUACAAGUUCUUCGCUGAACUGUCUCUUCUCUGCGUCUGCAAGAACAGCUCUGAUGCUCUGGAGUGUGCUGUUUAGGUUGUCCACCUCGCUUCCGACACCCACCACCAGAGUAACUUGUUGUUCCAAGACUGAAGCCAAUCGCUCCAGCACGAUAGAAACAAGAGCAUCCGCCAUAAGGGUUGAUGAAUAAGGUGGGGUUGAUGAAUCAAAGUAAUGGACAGAUACAACUAAGAUCGAUGGAGAGAAAGGAUGUGGAGCUUUAGCGAGCUUAAUUAUGUUCCCUUUAAUAGAAUGGAAGAGAGGUAAGAACAGAUUACUUUAGUAAUUAGUUCAAAGUCUCCAUUCACCUGCAUGCUUGAUAAAUUUAACAAAAUAAUUCAUAUUUCUUAUUAAAUAUGUACAAUUCAUUUUUCACAAGGAGCAACUUAUUAGUGCAACAAUUAAAGCAAAACACAGUCCAUCAAAUUAAUAGGAAAUGCUACCAAUUUAAAAAGAGUAAUCCACCACCCUAAUAAUAAUUCAUACACUAUCACAUGUCACAUGUCAAGAAAUAAAAAAUAAAAAAUAGAUUAAAAUUUGAUAAAUUAUUUUUAUUUUCUAGUUCAAACUCAUUUUACUUAUUUGAAUAAAAAAAAUUAAAAAUUUAUAAUAAAAUCAUAUUUAAAAUUUUAUUCUUUUAAACUCUUUAUUCCCUAUUUAAACAACUAAUAGAUAUUUAUUGAUAUAUAUAUAUAUAUAUAUAUAUAUAUAUAUAUAUAUAUAUAUAUAUAUAUAUAUAUAAAAGACUUCAAAUUACCUUUGGAAAUGUCCAAAAUCCAAAUUAGUUGUUUCACCGAUGAAUUCUAUGCCCCCAAUCUUAAAUGGAACAUAUAUAUAUAUUGUUUCACCGAUGAAUUCUAUGCCCUAGAUCUUGAAUGGAACAUAUAUAUAUAUAUAUAUGAUGAAUUCUAUGUCAUCAUCAUAUUUUAAUGAUAAAUUCGGAUCAUCACAUGUCAUCUGAAUAUAAUAAAAAGUGUCCAACGUCCCACUAGCCUCAAUAAUACAUCAUAUUUUAACGAUAAAUUCAGAUCAUCAUAUAUCAUCUAAAUAUAAUAAAACGUGUCCAACCCAUGCCAAUUUUGUCAUCUGAAUACAAUCCACCACCAAGUGUCAAUGCCGCCUCAUCUUUUGUCAUCCUGUAUUUGCAUACUUUGGAAAAAGAAAAAAUAGCUAAACAAGAUGAUUACAUAUAUAAAUGAUAGAACAAUCAAACCCAAUAGCUAAACAAGAUGAUUACAUAUAUAAAGAAAAAAAGUUUUUCUUCAAUUCCUUUUUUCUAUGGUGAAGUAAAAAAUAAAAAAUAAAUUGAAUCUCUAAAACUUUAGUAAACUACACCCUUAAUGCAUUGUCAUUCCAUGAUUUUGUAUUUUAGUUUUUAUAUAUAUAUUUUAAUAUUAUCUGUUAGAUGAGAUUACUAAAACUUUUUUAUAUUUAAAUAUUGCUUCUCGGUUGGACUAAUCCAAUUUCAGACCACUUCUGCUUUGAAACAUACGCCCCCUUCCCCUCUUGUGCCGGAGAGAGCAUAUUUUAUUUGAAAACUAUAAAGAAUUCAUUUAAUUCACAUCAUUUUACCUCCCUUGAAUACAUUAAAAUAUGUCAACCGACGAGUAUAAAUGCACCUUUAUCAUUUAUAUACAUCUUCCUUUCCUUUUAAUCUCAUCUUCAUGCAUGUGUGGUAAAAUAUUUUUGGCUUUCAAGAUGAGCUGUGAAACUAUAUAUUAAGUUGGAUUAAUUAUUACAAAUUGCCAUUACUUAUAUUAGAUUAUAAAAUUUGGUCACAGUAGAGGGUAGUUGGAUGUUAAACUAUAAAUUAAGUUAUUCCAAAUUGCAAUUAAUAUUAUAGAUUAUUACAUUUGGUUGAUGUUUGCUAAUGAUAAUUAAGUUUGUCUUUUACCAUCUAGGUGUAGAGUAGUUGGUUGUGCUACCUUAAAAUAAGUAUGAUUAAAUUAUAUUAAAAUAUAUAACUAAUUGUUUUAGCUUAUAUAUAAUUUUAAUAUUUAGUUAAACUUGUUUCAUUGAGAAAAAUGUGUGAUUCUAAUAGAAAUAGAUACAAAUCUCCAUUUUUUUACUUACCCUCUAAUGUACUUUAGUUCAUUAGUCAAUUUUCUAUUCUUUUAUCAUUUCUUGUAAAUUUUUUGAAACUUGUCGUGAAAUUUAAUAAAAAAUAUAUAUAAUAUUUAUAACAGGAGAAAGACUUCUAUAACUAAUAUAGCUUUCUUAAGAGGAUUUAUAAUUUUUUUUUUCCAAAAUGUAGUGAAAUAAUUUUCUAAUUUCUACUUUCUUUUCAUAAUUAUGUGAGACAUGAAUGUUAAGGUAGCAAAAUUUUAAAACGGUUGGUUAAAUUCAUUAAUUCAUUAUUGUUCUUCCUAUUUCAAGCUUAAUUUGAAAAGAGUUAAAGAUGCCCAUCACCUAAUUAAAGUAAUUUUAUCUUAUUGAAGACAAUUGUGAUAGAGACAAUCUAAUGUGCCAAGUGAAGAGUUUGAUAAUUUUGUUGUGUCAAUGGAAGGUUCACUAUAAAAAAAAUGAAAAAAAAAAAUAUAAAAACAAAGAAAUCCAUAUGUAAAGAUACAUGAGGUUUUAAAAUUGUUCAAUCAAUCAUGUUUAUCUCCACAUAUAAGAGAUAACAUUUCAUUAUACAAUAGAUUACAAAUGAUAGAAAUAGAUGCAACUAUUGGGUCUCGAAACAUGCCACUUUUUCUCAUCAUUGUAUCUCCACCUUGAAUUACGAGCCCUUUCACUUCACUAGGUAUGUCUCGUUCUUCCUUACAUCUACAUUUUAAUGAGUCUUUUUGCGCUAUGAGCAUCUCUCGCUCUUCCUCACAUCUCUAUUUAACACGUACAACCCUCAUAAUCUCAUUAAACAUUUUUUCUUCAUGACUUGUAAUAUUUGUAAAGAUAUUCCUACUAGUUUUCCUUAUUCUAUUAAGAAAUCUAAUUACAAUUAUAUAUAAACUUAAGAAAUAUUUUAUAUAAUGUUUCUUUUACAAAAAGAAAUAUAUUCAAAAUAGGAAUUUAAAUUAACAUGUUUGGUUAAAUCAUUCAUUUAUUCAUUAUUGUUCUUUCUAUUUCAAGUUUUAGAAAGCUUUAAAGAUGGUCAACACCUAAUUAAAGUAAUUUUAUCUUAUUGAAGAAAUUUGUGAUAGAAACAAUUUGAUGUGUCAAGGGAAAAGUUUGAUAAUUUUGUUGUGUCAAUAGAAGCUUUAGUAUAAAUAAAUAGAAGAAAAUAAAAAUAAAGCAAUCCACGUAUAAAGGUACAUGAGGUUUCAAAGUUAUUCGACCAAUCAUGCCUACCUCCAUAUAUGAGAAAGAACAUUCCACUAUACAAUAGAUUAUAGAGGACAAAAAUAGAUGCAACUAUUGGGUUUCGAAACAUGCCACUUUUCCUUACUCUUUGUAUCUUCACCUUGAACAACAAGCCUUUUUGCUCCACUAAGAGUGUCUCACUCUUCAUCCCAUCUACAUCUUGGUGAGUCCUCUUACUCCAUGGGCAUCUCUUGCUCUUUCUCACAUCUUUAUUUGGCACGUGUAGCUCUCACAAGCUCAUCUCUCUAUCAUAACUUUUUCUUUCAUGACCUAUAAUAUUUAUAGAGAUAUAUUCCUACUAACUUUCCUUAUUAUAUAAGAAAUCUAAUUACAAUCACAUAUAAACUUAAGAAAUAUUUUAUAUAAUAUUCCUUUUACAAAAAGAAAUAUAUUCCAAAUAGGAAUUUAAAUUAAUAUGUUUAGUUAAAUCAUUCAAUUUACCAAAUGCCCUCUUAUUACAUUGAAAUGAUUGUUUAGAACUAUGAAAUAGAAAAAUAUAAAUAAAUAAAUAAAUAAAUAAAAUAAAAUGAGAGGAGAGUGUAAAUUACCCUUCAAUUGUUGUAAUUAGGGAUGCAAUGGAAAAAAAAUAAUAAAGCUAGAUUUAAGUAGCAUGAUAGUAUUUUGCUUUUGGAGCCAACAUUUAUCUUUGACUUUAGGGGUAUCAGAUACCUUGUGCCAAUCUUCUCCAAUGUCCUCGUCAUAGCAUUGUUGUAGAAUCUUAGAAUAUGAGAUGACUAAUUCCUAUAGUGGUUUCUGUUGAAACCACUUUACAAAAGAGACACACAGAGGAGGAUAGAAAAUAAUUUUAUUAAUAUGGUGAUAUUUUUAAACUUCACCUGAUACAAGCCUUUUAUAGGCAAAACCAUCAACAGAAAUAGAAAUACUAAAAAAUAGGAAUAGAAAGAUAACUAGUCACUCUAAACGUGCUGCAACGACCUCCCUAAGACUCGAACAAUUCCUAAUUUAUUGAAAAACUAAACAGAGGCAUAUUUUUGACACAAAAACAAACUUGACUUGUUCAAUACAUCCUCUCAGCCACAUGCUGAUGUUGAUAACUUUAACACUCUCCCUCAACAUCAGCUUCCAAAAUCUUUACCAUACCGAGCUGAUGACAAAAGCUUUCAAACUUGCUACCACUCAAACCUUUUGUGAAUAAGUCUGCAACUUGGUCUUCUGACUUAAUCUGCUUCAGCUCAACCUCUUCUUCUAGGACCUUUUCCCUGAUAAAAUGAUAAUGCACUUCCACAUGUUUUGUUCUUGCAUGAAAGACUAGAUUCUCCGCCAAACGAACUACCGACUGGUUAUCACAGUACAAUGGAACUGCAUAGUCCACUAGUUGAUGUAGAUCAUUCAUCAGCCGUAUAAGUCACGUACUUUCUUGAGCUGCCAUUGUUGCUGCUCGGUACUCUGCCUCCGUUGUUGACAGAGAUACUGUCAGUUGUCUCUUGCUACACCAAGAAAUUGCUCCUGAUCCAAGCAUAAACACAUACCCGGUAGUUGAUCUGCGGGUGUCGUGAUCUCCUGCAUAAUCAGCAUCACAGUAGCCAACUAGCUUGCAAUCUUCAACUUUCUUGUACAACAGACCAUAAUCAAUUGUACCCUUCACAUAUCUCAAAAUUCGUCGAACUGCUUCCAAAUGAGGUUUCUUUGGAUUUUGCAUGUAUUGACUCAUCACACCAACUGCAUAAGAGAUAUCGGGUCUAGUUAAAGUUAAGUAAAGCAAACUACCCACCAAUUGUCGAUACAUUGUUGCAUCUUUCAAGUCUUUGCCUUCGUGUUCACACAUCUUGGCAUUUGGUUCCAUUGGUGUUGAGAUCGGCUUACAUUCGAGCAUCUCGAACUUUUUCAACAAAUCUUUGGCAUAUUUUUUUUUACAGAGAAAUAUCCCUUUGUGUGUACGAUCCACCUCUAGCCCAAGAAAGUGCUUAAGUUGUCCAAGUUCUUUCAUCUCGAAACGAACUGACAAGUUCUCCUUUGUUCGGCAAAUUUCUUCAAUAGCAUCUCCAGUGAUGAUUAGAUCAUCUACGUAUACAAGUACGAUAACUAACUUUCCUCCAUUAGCUUUGACAAACAAGCUAGAAUCUGCAGGUGUUUGAAUACCCACUUUGAGUUAGAAAUUCAGCAAUCUUACCAUACCAUGCUCUGGGUGCUUGUUUCAAUCCGUAGAGUGUCUUCCGCAGCUUACAUACAUAUUCAGGAUGACCUUGACUCUGAAAGCCCAUCGGCUGAUUCAUAUAGAUCUCCCGAUCCAACUCUUCAUGCAAGAAUGCAUUCUUCACAUCCAUCUGCCACAAGUCCCAAUCUUUGUUAGCUGCAAGUGCAAGUAAGACUUGUACAGUUGUAAUUUUUGCAACUGGACUAAACGUUUCAUCAUAGUCUAGUCUAUAUUGUUGAGAGAAUCCUCGAGCUACCAAACGAGCCUUGUUUUUUCUAUUGAUCCAUCUAUGCGACGUUUUAUCUUAUAAACCCAUUUGUAGGAAAUAGGCUCUACAUCUCUUGGCUUUGGCACGAGCUCCCAAGUCUGAUUUCAUUUUAAUGCUGCAAUUUCCUCUUUCAUAGCUUUACUCCAGUCUGGAUUCUGAAAUGCUUUUGCAAAUGUCUCUGGUUCUUUUGCGUUUGCAUUUUCUACUAUGGCAACAUUGGCAUAUUUGGGAUUUGGCUUCUUGGUUCUUGCUGAUCUUCUAAGUGGAAUUGGUGCUUCUGUUUCACUAGGCUCACCUUCUUUGCUUGGUUGUCCAUGCACACCAGUUUGCCAAGGACUUUGAGUUUCGUCAUCUCCGAUAUCACCAUCGGCUGCAUUUUCAGCUUCACCCAAGCUUAGUUGGAUUCUAGCAGAUUGCAACUCAUCCUUAAAAACAUCUGAAUCUGGUAAUAUUUCCUUUUCUGAGGACCACCAUGAAGAUGAUUCAUCAAACACCACAUUCCGGGAUGUGUAACACUUUCCAGUUGUAGGAUCGCAGCAUCUCCAUCAUUUUCGUUGACUAUCGUAUCCUACUAAGACACACCUAACAGUCUUCUUGUCCAUCUUGCUGCGUAAAUGAUUAGGUACAUGAUUACUACUCAAAAAGUGCUAUUUCAUAGCUUGUAAUGAACUCUUUUAAACACUUUUGAGUAGUAGUUAUCACCUUUUAACCCAAUUAACAUAUUAAGGACCCUUGCAAUCAAUUAUAAUCAAAUUGUGUAAGUUUUGGUGUUUUUCGUUAGUAAUUUGAUCACCAAAGCAAUCCAAGAUUGAGGAGAGUUCUUUGGAAUCCAUGGCAAAGCAAUGAAAGUUGUCCGGAUAGGAUAUGCUAUCAUCCGGACAGGGCGUCCGGGCACACCAUCGAAGGGCGGCGGAACGUGGGUCUUUUUCAUCAGGAAAACAUAUCCGGAUAGGGGAGCGCGCCGCCAUUACAUCCGGCUGCCGCCACUUUCCACCCGGAUGUAUCACAUCCAGAAUUCUGCUGUCGCCGCCAUUCCAUCCGGAUAUUUUGCAUCCGGCUCCUGGAAAUGAGAGGCGUUUCAACUUCCCCGGUUGGACAUAUCCGGAUCCUCUGACAACGUAGCCGGAGAGUUUCGCAGCCAUUUUGCACAGUGUCGCGGUGUUCUCCUGAAGCUUCCAGAUAUGUGCGACCGACAAUUGGGAUAUUUUGAGAUAUUUUGUUUUAGAUAUUUGUUGUCUAAAUCCCCAAACUCUCCUUGUAACCCACCAAUUAUAGGAUUCCUUAGUUAUUAAGUUUGGAAAAAGGAUGAAUAACCUUGUUUAUAUUAUUAUUGUAAUUUUCAUAUAAAUAUCUCUUGGGAGCCUGUUCUCAGGAGAAGACGAAUCUUUUGUAUAGUUUUCAAAGGAAGAAAAAUACAGAGCUUUGCUCUACUUUACCUUCUCAUUUUGAUUGUAUUUUCUUACUAGCCAAACAAGCUCUGAGGAUGUUUCCUCAGAGAAUGAGUGGCUAGACUUUUAGUUCCUUGGAGUUAAGGUUGCAGGGAAAGGUUUCAAGUGCAAGAAUUAGUAGCUUUGUGGUUUCAGCCAUUAAUGAAGAGAAAGUGUGAUCCUUUAAUGAUUUCUAUGUUUUUAGUUAACUUAAAACGCCUUCAAUUCACUUGAGCCAACACUUGGUAAGGCAAGUGAUCUCCGUCCAUGGAGAUGCACUAGUUUACCUCUUGCGAGCUUUUGGGAAGUGACUUGAAGGUAGGAUUUUCUAGAAUUGCCAACACUUGGUAAGCUUUUGGACUCUAAGGAGACAUCCAUUAGUUAUCUCUUGUGAGCUUUUGACGGGUAAUCCAAGGUUAAAUAUCACCUUGAAUGGCAAGUGCUAGGUGAGAGGUACGAGCCAUUGCAAGUUGCAUCAGUGAGAGGGAAUUAGAGCUUAAAUCCAUUUAAAGGAUACAUCUGUACAACACCGAUUAGAGAAUUGACUAUAUGUUAAUUCUCUAAUGCGAGGAAAUGAACCAAAUGACCGGAGCUCUGUUUUUGCAUGAGCAACCUCCCCUGUGAACCUAAACCUCCAAGGAAUGUUUUCUUCAUAAGUAAAUUCCAUUACUUCCUUUGUCGUUAGUUUAAACCUAAACCUUUUUCAAUCAAAGUUUGUGUUUUAUUUCUUAAGCUAACCUUGAAAUAGAAAGGCACCAAUUCAUCUUUGAAUUGGUAUCAUUUAUGAAUUGAAAACCCUUCCCAGUGAACGAUCCUAGAGCCAUUAUACUAUAGUAGCUUUGUCUUUGCUACCCUAGUACAUGGUGUAAUAGGUUAUAAAUUUUGUUGAUUACUCCCUCAAUCAAGGAGCACCAGCUGGACAUGAAUCAGCUUAGACACCAAUUGGGCACGAAUCAGUACAAAGACAUAGCAAACACAUCUGAAAACUUGAAAAUAACUAACUGUAGGCUUUAUGUUCCACAAUUUUUCAAAGGGUGAUGAAAAAUUUAACCUUUGUUGAGGAAGCCUAUUGAUCACGAAAGCUACAGUCUUCAUUGCUUCUGCCCAAAACCGUCCUGGAACAUUCUUUGCAUGAAGCAUACUUCUAUAGAUUUCUGCUAGGUGCCUGUUCUUUCUUUCUGCUACGCCGUUUUGCUACGGAGUGUUGGCACAUGUGAACUGAUGGCGUACUCGGCAUUCUCGGAGAAAGUAAAAAAACUCAUUUGAGGUAUACUCUCCCCCAUUGUCAAUACGCAGACAACGGAUUCUUUUAUCAACCUCUGCUUCCGUCAUUUCCUUGAAUUCUUUAAACUUUGAGAAAGUUUCAGAUUUUUCUUUCAUAAAGUACACCCACACGUACCUGGAAAUAUCAUCAAUAAAGGUCACCAUGUAUUUCAUCCCACUAAGAGAGGCUUGCUUAACAGGUCCAAACACAUCAGAGUGAAUUAGCUCUAAUGGCCCCUUUGCUUUCCAUUUUGACUCUUCAUACGGUAACUGAUGCGCUUUGCCGUACUGACAUCCUGCGCAAAUUGUAUAUUUUCUCACUUCAAGUUGUGGAAGUCCCUUCAACAUUGACUUUUUCAUCAUCACAAUUAGUUUGGAAUAACUAACAUGACUGUAGACCCUCAAUUUUGUCCAUUUAGCACACGUCUUUAAACUCGUUUUCAGUGCUCCACAGUAGCUCCUUGAUGGCCCAUUACUACUCGUACAAUUUACCUUUUUCUAAGUCACCUCGGAGAUUUUGGUUGAGGGAUUAUCUGACCCCUUAUUGUGACCUUUGGCAGCCCUAAUUUAGACUUAGUCGUUCAUUUUUAGGAUAGUUCUUAGGCAUGUUUAGGCCAUUUAGACAAUGUCCCAAUCACUUUAGGACACUUAGUUCAUUAGGCACCCAUGUAGGGCCGUUUAAACACUUCAUCGGAUUUAACUUUUAUAUAUAUAUAUAUAGAUAACUUUUAUUAUUGUUAUUAUUAUUAUUAUUAUUAUUAUUAUUAUUAUUAUUAUUAUUAUUAUUGCAUGCAUUCGAUAAUUAUAUAUAUUUUGGUUAUUCAUUUUCAUUUUUACUCUUUAUUUGUUUAUUAUUAUCAUUGUCAUUAUUAUUAUUAUUACUAUUUUUAUUUUUUAUUUUUUAUUUAUUUUUAUUCUUAUUUUAUUUAUUUACUUACUUAAUAGAAAAUUGCUUAAAUUGUUUAGACCUCAAAUGUGCAUAGGACCUCUUAUCGAAUAAUGGAAUUAUAUAACCUAGCUAGUCUCUCCUAGUUCUCUUUCUUUCAUUUGAAAUCAUAUUUCAUUAUAUUACUAAUGUCAUUAGUUUCAUAUAUUUUCUUUUACUUUUUAAUAUUAUUCUAUUCUAUUUUGCAUGAGGAGAGGAAUUGCAUAUUCCGGAAUAGGUGGCUCGUGUGAAAGCAAAAGAUGAAGCCAAUGAAGCUACCAUGGGAGGGGAAGGUACUAGAGAAUUCAAAUUCUAAAUGACUUGUACGUGGAGAAGCAAGGAAUAGCAUGCGUGUCGCACCACAAAGUGACAGCUGGAUAUUCCUCAUAGGGAUAUGGGGAUUUCAGGAUGCCUUUACGGAAGGUACAUGAAAGAGGACAAGACGAGAUCACCUUUUGAGAUGAGGGACUCUCAAGAGUUCUAUUGGGGGCUGCGUCUCAUUGCACUCUCCUGAAAAGUAGGGAAAGCUUGAAACCGAUUUCAGAUGCACAAAGCUUAACCAAACCCGUAGAGGGAACAAGUAGUGCUCCGAUCCAACCAUACGAUUCUACCCCUCAUCUCCCGUCUAUGGUGGAUCUGUUUCUUCAAGGAUGUUCAGAGGUCCUGAAAAAUGGCGGUCCCUGUGUUGGGAACCCUCCAACGUUCCGGACUGGAUUAGGAAAGUCAGUUACAGUAAAACAAUUUUCAAUAGCAAAAACGUUAUCUACUCUUGGUGGUAUUGAUUUCGGUGCUGGAAGCCAAGAUCAUGAUAGAGAUGGUGGAUGUGGUUUUUUUGAAUCCUCUUUUCUAGGCUGGUUCAGAAGAAAUGGUCGGUAUUUCUACUACUAGUCCGGUCAGAGCCAAGACAUUGUUGGGGUUAGAAGAAAAUACGGUCAUCAUUCUUGUCAAGAACACAUCACAAGGCAGAGUGUAAUGGAUGGCUUAGAUGGUGAACGAGAUUCUUCGUUUGGAGAUAUAAGAAGAUUUGAGCAGUAUAAAAGAGAGGACUCCAAACCAGUUCCAAGUUCUCUUGAUACUAGUACUUCUCGGAGAACAGAAUCAACAAAUGAGGUUGUUCCCAACCUCAAGCAGACAGAAAUAUAUAAUCUUGCACCAAAUUCGCCACCAGUCAGGUUUCAUAUUGCAGAUGCAGAUCAUUGAGGGGUCAAGGGAGGAUUUUCAGGUGAACGGCGUGUUUUCCGUCAAUAAAAUUGGAGUUUCUCCUCCGGAAAGGAUGUCAACAGCCAGCGUCAUCAACAGUUUGUUUUCUGGCGAAGAUUUGAGCACGAUCAUGGUGCUGCCAGUGAGGAAAGACGCCAUGGUCACAUCACCCAAGCAAGGUUGAACUCCGGCAGCCAUCACCGAGAAUGAAUGGAGAUUUAUGCUGGAAAAUACCACGACCCACCGCCACGCGUUCGCCAUGGGAAAAGAAGAGAAAUCUUGAUUUGUCGAUCUUACAAAGCUGCCGGAAUAUUCUUUGUCUUUUCUUUUCGGUGAAGUUUGCAUUACGAUGUGAAUGUUCCAGCGCGUGAUGGUGUAGGAUAAGGUUCCAGCCUGAUCAAUCCGAUUAAAUUAACGGCAGAUGAUGCAGUCAUUAAGAUCUGGACACUUGCCAAACGGGGUACAGGGCAACAUCUUUAAAAGAGUCUCCAAGGUGAACAAAACGUAAGCACUUUCCAUAUGUCCAAAGGCAUUAAAAAAAGAAACAAAAUAUUCCAUACAAAGAUAGGUGCUGCCAUAUAAAUAAGGGUCAGAGAGAACACGCAAGGGACUUUUCUUUUUUUGGUGGAGAGAUCAAGACAUAAAGCAGAUUUCUUCCAGAGAGGACGGAGACAGAUUUUUUUUAGAGAGAUCCAUAGCAGAGGAGAUAUUAUUUUGCUGAAACAAAAGAAGGAUUUUUGGCAGGAGAAGGAGAAAGGAGAGAAGAGAUAUUAUUUUUCUGGGAACAAAGAGAGGUCUGAAGGAAGAGGAAGGAGGCAGCCACCACACAUUCACCAUUGAGCACUAGCAGCCGCACCACCAUAGAGGAAUUCUAGAGAAGGUAAGUUAGAAUUUCUAAGGAUUUUAGUUUUAAUUUUUUAUUGGAUUGAAAGUUAGAGUUUUUAUGUAUUAAUUUUGAUUUUUUUUUUAAUCGGAUGAAAAAGUUAGAAUGUAGUUAGUUUGAUUUUGAUUCAUUGUCUUGGUUUCAAAAGUUAGGUUUUAUUUAGUUUAAUUUUAAUUCAUUAUGUUUGUCUCGAAAAUUUAGAAUUUUUGUUUGAUUCAAUUUUUUAUUCAUUGAACUAGAUUGAAAGGUUAAAAUUUUAUUUAAUUUAUUUUUUAUUCCUUGCGUUAUUUUUGAAAUGUUUGAAUUUUGUUUAAUCUAGUUUUGAUUUUUUUAUAUUAGAUUGAAAAGUAAAUUUUUGUUUGCUUAGUUUUGAUUCAUUACUUUGGUUUAAAAGGUGAGAAUUUUUUGUUUUAUUUUAAUUUUGAUUCAUUAUAUUACAUUGAAAAAUUAGAAUCUUUGUGUAGUUUGGAUUUGAUUCCUUGCUUAGUUCGAAAAGUUAGAAUUUUGCUUAGAUCGGUUUUAAUAGAUUUAAUUUUAAAAGUCAGUUUUUUUUAUGAGUCAGCUUUUUAUUUAGUUCAAGUGUUUUAUAAUUUUUAGUCUAUCAUUCUAAUUGAUCCUAUGUAAUAAAGUUUAUGUUUUUAAGUUUAUUUUGAUCAUGUUUUGGUUCAUCUUAUUUAGUUUAGAUAUUUUAGAAUUUUAGCUCAUUAGUCUAUUUGAUCCCAUCUAAUUAAAUUUAUGUUUUUUUAAAAAAAAAAUUGUAAAUCAUUUUUCUGAUUCAUCCUUUUUAGGAUUUAAGUUGAUUAGUUUAAGAAAUAUUUGGUUAAUUCUUGGUUGAUCCACUUUUAGUUUGUAUGUUUUCCAAAGUUUUAGAUAACUAAUUUAAUUAACCCUAAGUCGUAUUAUUCAUGUUUUGAGUAUACUAAUCUUCAUUCUUGGUUUAUCAAUAUUUAGUUCAUGCUUUUUUUUUUCUAAUAGGUUAAUUAGUUUAACUAAUCUUAUGUUAUUUUGCUCACGUUCUAAAAUUGAUGAUUCUAGUUUUUGAUUAGUUAAUAUGUUUUAGAAUUCUAUGUGCUUGUGUUACUAUAUUCACAUUAUUAUAAUUACAUGUUUAGGUGUUUGGUUGAUUUUAAAUUAGUUCUAGAUUGUUUAUCUCAAUUUAUGUGUUUGAUUGAUCCUUAUAAAUUCCCGAUUAAUAUUUCAUUAGUUUUAUUUGAUCUAAAGUCGUUUGGUUUGUUGCUUUGGUGAAUAUUUAUUAAAUUUGAUUUUUAGAGGCCAUUGGAAAAUCAUGAAGAUUGGCCUCUACCAUCACCAUUAUCAUUUUUGUUAAUUACUAAAAAAAAUUUUACUUUGAGGUUUCAUUUUUGUUUUGUUUGGUGUUUUAUUUCUUAUAUUUUAUUUUUUCCCAAAUUAAUCCCUUUUAUUUUAAAAUAAAAUACUUUUAUCAAAAAAUCAUUUUAAAAAAUCUAUUUCAAAAACUCAUUUAGAGUCCUCAGGAUCAAAAUCUUUUUUUUUUAUUUUAAAAAAAUAAUAUGCAACCAUAUUUUGUUCGGUUUGCAUCUUCUCGGUUUUCAACAAAAAUUUUGGUUUUGAACAAAGACACGAAUCAAAGCUUGUGGUCCCACAUAAAUGGGAUAAUUCUGAGCUAAAUUCGUGUAUAUCAAUUGGGGAAUUGGUGAAACCCCUACAUAAGAAAAUCUUUUCAAAAAUUAUUUUUGUUGCCAUUUUUGUCACUUUUUGAAAUUAUAUCUAUCUUUUUUUUAGAAAUUGUAUACAAGAUGAGUGUGAUAAUUAUUAUUUUCAUAUAUUUUGACAAUUUCUGCUAUGAUAAUUAGAUAACGAGCAUGCUAGGACUUCUUAUUUUAUUGUUUGUUAUCUAACCUCUCAUGUUUUGUGGAAGCGCAUUAGGAGUUAAAUAUGCUAUCCAGGUACGUUCCCUAAUACCCACUUUCUAAACCCUAUGAAUAUGUAUGCCCAUGCUUGCUAUCCUCUUUAAUUGCCUUGAUACACAUUUGAUGAUUGUUUGAUUAUCUUUGAUAAAACAAAUGUUGUGUGAUGUAUCUCCAAACUAAUCUCUUAUGUUUUAUGAUAGCGCUUGGGAAGCCGUCCAGGUACGCAUUUUUAACUCUCCUUAAUUGUGAUUUGAUUUUGUUUGAUAUGUUAUGUUCUUUUUGGAAUCACCUAGCCUACUUAAGUAUCUGAAAUCAACCAUUUAAUUGCCACGCUUCCCUUAACUUAGUCAAUAAAGACCUCUUUAGGGCUUAGAGGGGUGCUACCUCCUAGAGGUACCUUCCCAAUAAGUAACCUGAUCCCCGGACUUGGACUCGGGUUUUUCAAAGACACGCUUUUCCAAAAAUUAUGGAGUCAUUUUUUAGGGUUUUAUUUCUUGUUUUAUUUUCCCUUUUAAAAAAAAAUAAAAUAAGUGGCGACUCCAACUUUUUUUCCAAAAAUCAAAUUUUCACAAAAAUAAUAAAAAGCGAGUCUCGCCGAUCGAGUGGGGACGCACGUGAAAAAUGCGGGUCCACAAUGACUUAAUCGCAUAUGCCAUAAAUCGGUUGUCUCGUUCUUUUUGGUCUUGUCUACAUAUGCGGUUUCUGCAGACAUCACAUAGACUGACUCUAGUCUCCGUCCCUUUAUCACCGACUCUUCCAUAAUCUCAAGGUCACGAUAAACUUUCACAUCUUGAGGACCAAAUAGAACAAAUGGCCUGAAGACGUUAAUUGUGCUACCGAGAGAAGAUUUUUCUUCAUACCUGGGACGUGAUAGACAUUUUGAAGCGACACAUCAUUAGUAUUAUAUUGGGAAGAGACUAUCGUAUUACCAAUGUGAGCUAUUGGUAGUUUUGAGUUGUUCACUGUGACUACCAUAUGUCUUCCCUUGUACUCCGACAAAUCCUGCAGCUUUUCUUUAUCACCCGUCAUAUGAUUUGAGCAGCCUGAGUCAAUGAUCCAAUCCUUCUCAUAAUCAAUUUUUUCAGACGUUGUUGCUAUAAAAGCUGAUUCUCCUAUUGCAGCAAAAAAUACCUGAGCGUCCCACUCAUCUUCGCUUUUGGAAGUAGCAGCAUUACUUUCCACAAGCCCUUUUUUCGACCAACAAUCUUUUGCCAUGUGACACUUCUUUCUGCAAUUGUAGCACUUCCCUUCAAAUUUUUUCCUGGUGCCAAGAUUCUUCAAAUCUUCCUCAACACGAGCGUUCCUUUCACCUUGACUACUUUUUGCCUUGUCCUCAUUCUUUUUAGUUCUUCUGACGGUGUGCUGCUUGGAAUUCCACCUGCCUUUGUGGGCAUAAAGCGCUUCCUCUUCACCCUUGAGUGAAACUCCUCCCAUUUGUUUAGCCAAGGCUUCUUGACCAGCAAGCAAAUUCUCAAACUCAACAAGUGAUGGUUGAUUUUUCCAUCCCUGUACAGCAGCAACAAAACCUCUGAAUUCUGGUCUCAAACCAUGGAUGAUUAUUCUAUUCAUCUUGGUUUCACUGAUUGGGGCUUCUAGAUCCAACUCGGAAAUUUCCCGGCAUAACGUCUUCACCUUGUGAAAGUACUAAGCGAUCGUCAAGUCACGUUGUGCUACCGACAACAACUCGCUCUCUAGAAGUUGGAGCCUUGUGUCAUUCUUCUUUGAGAACAGCUUGGUGAACGUAUUCCAAGCUUCGUAAGGGGUUUCGGCAUCUCGAAUGUGCUCUAGCACAUCUUCUUCGAUCGUUGUCUUCAAAGCAAACAUCGCUUUGCCCGCUUUUAUCUUCCAUUUCCACAGUAUACCAUUCGCAUCCUCAGUCUUCGGUUGAGUAAUUUCGCUUCCGUUCACAACCUCCCAUAAGUCUUGGCCUUGCAUGUACGACAUCAUGCAUGUUGACCAAGUAUUGUAAUUUUGGUUGUUGACCUUUUUUAUUCCGCCAAUGACUUGAAGAUCACCCAUUUCAAUCUCUCUUUUCCUCACGUGUUUGACUCUCAAACACUCUCUGAAAUCCCUCUUCAACCUAGCUCUGAUACCAAAUGUUGAAACCACUUUAUAAAAGAGACACACAGAGGAGGAAAGAAAAUAAUUUUAUUAAUAUGGUGAUAUUUUUAAACUUCACCUGAUACAAGCCUUUUAUAGGCAAAACCAUCAACAGAAAUAGAAAUACUAAAAAAAUAGGAAUAGAAAGAUAACCAAUCACUCUAAACGUGCUGCAACGACCUCCCUAAGACUCGGACAAUUCCUAAUUUAUUGAAAAACUAAACAGAGGCAUAUUUUUGACACAAAAACAAACUUGACUUGUUCAAUACAUCCUCUCAGUCACAUGUUAAUGUUGAUAACUUUAACAGUUUCUUAAUUAGGAGCAUAUAGUCCGUCGAUCCCUUCAACUUUUGUUAAUAAUAGAUUUCCAAGUAACUGAGACAUGGCAUUACAAACUUCUCUUCUUAGUCUUCUUCUUUUGUUGAAAAGUUAAACUUGAUUUAAAACUUUAUAAAUAUUAUAAUUAUAUUUAGUCUCUAAAGUUUAAGAAAGAAUAUUUUAUUUUGAAUGAUUAUUUUAGUUUCUAUUUUUGAGUUACAAAUCUUAGAAGGUUUCUAUAUUUUAUUAUUAGGAGUUUCUAUUUUAUUGAGUGUGAAUAUGUAUAAAUAAGGUUAUAUAAUAUUUAAACAAAAGAGAGAGUGGUGGAAUACAACAAAUUUUAUCUUCUUUAUAAUUGUUUAUGUUUCUCUAUCAACCCUAUUAUUUAAAAAAAAUGGUAUUAAAGCCAUACGAAAAAAUGAAAAGUGGGAUAUAUGUGUUUCAAAUCCCUUAACUCAACAAAAACAAUUACAACAAUUGGAAUAUCAAGAUAAACGCUUUGCUUGGUUUACAAGAUGCAUGGGGGUUUGUAGAGAAAGACUACAAAGAGCCACAAGAUGAAACCACUCUAUCCUUAAAUCAAAGGGAUUUUUCAAAAUAAAUGAUGAAGAGAGACAAGAAAGCUUUCAUCAUUAUCUAUCAAGCAAUGGAUAAAGGCUCUUUUGAGAAGAUUUCAAGUGCAAUCACCUCCAAGGAAGUCUAAGAGAUAUUACAAGAUGCAUACAAGGAAGUUGAUAAGGUAUGAAAAGUUUGUCUUCAAACUCUUAGAAGAGAAUUCGAAGGUUUAAAUAUAAAAUAAUUAGAAGCAAUCUCCAAUUAUUUUUCUAAAGUAUUGACUACUAUGAAUUUAUUAAAAAGAAAUGGUGAGAGUUUAAAUAAUACUCGUGCAAUUACAAAAAGAUACUUCAACUAGAUUUGAAGUUUGAUUAUAUUGUUGUGGUUGUUGAAGAAUCUAAAGAUUUAGAUUCUAUGACCAUUGAUCAACUUAUUAGAUCGUUGCAAGCCUAUGAAGAGAUAUUAAAAAGGAAUAAUCAAGAAAAAUUAGAACAAGUUCUUCAGAAAAACUUUCAUUAAAAGACAUUGAAGAAAAUUUUAAUGAAAGGAGUCAAAAUAAUUGUGGGCAUGAUCAUGGAUGUGACUAAGGCAAUAGAGGAAGAGGUAGUUUCAAUUCAUCAAAAAGGAAAAAAAACCCAAACUCAUAUUCCUCAAGAGAUCAUGGAAGAUGACACAACUCGAGGCAAAGUAAAAGAGGAAUGUGAGUAUUUAGCUAGAUUGGCAAUUCUGGACAAAAUUCCUAAGUGUCUCAUAAUUCAGUUUUUUUCCACAUCCUUCUUUGCAUUACUUGCCUAAUGAAGAUCAAGUUGUUAUAUUUUCUAAGAGACCAAGGUAUGUGGUUGAGGUUGGAGUUUGAGGAAAUUGAAUCAACCAUGUUUUUUUUUCUUGAAAUAUUUAUUAUUUUUUUAGGAGUUAGGGAGGCUUAUGAAGCAUUUUUUCUUUUUCUUUUUACUAAGUGUUUAAUUAUCUUGUUCUAGGAUCAAUCCAGCUUUAGGUUAAAUCAAUCUUGGUUGCACUUUCUCGAUAUUAUUUCAUCUAUUAGAUUAAGGGUUUCUUUCAACUUUAAAAACUAAAAAAAAAAAAAAUAGCUUCUAAAAAUAGAGAGAAAAAUGUAAGGUUGCCCCUUAUACUCUCUUGUCUUACUAAAUUGAUGGUGUUUUAUUGUCGAGAAAAUCUCAUUUUGUUCCUGAUUUUCAGGUAGUUUUCCAACAAGUUUUCUUGGGAAAAAAAAUGGUUUGAUUCUUUCUUUCAUUCAUCUCUCAAUUUUUAAUCUAUUUGGGUUUGAGUGAAAACCCAUUUUCUUCUUGAUUGAGCUUCAAGAAGAGGCCGAGAUCAAGCUCUGUGGAUGCUAAGUAUGUCUUGAAAGAUGAAGGUAUGCAACUUAAGUGAGAUGCUGAUCAAGUAGUCUGUGAAGGAUUAAAGGAUUUGACCUAGCUAAAUCCUUGUACACAUUGCUUGUUCUUUAUAAUGGAAUUUUUUAUCGAUGGCAUAGUUUUUUAUCUCUUCAUAGAUUUUCCACAUAAAUUCUAGUGUCACCGUCUCUCUUUUUCUCAUUUUACUCCUUGAUUUAUUUUCAGUUUUAGUUUUCAUUUAUACUUGGGUAUAUAAGUUGAAUGGAAGAACAAUGGGUUGAAAUAAGUGUAAUUUUCUAUAGAUAUCCUAUAUAUAUUAUGAACCGUGUUAUUGAGAGUUGGUAGAUAUUGAUUAUAUUGAUUAUUUUCUAUAUAUAUUGAUUAUUUUGAUAUAGAUAUUUGGUAGAAAUUGACAUUUGUGUUAUUGAGAAAUUAUUGUUAUGAACUGUGUUGGGGAGUAUUGAAGCAUGCACAUGUGACUUGCAUUUGAAAAUUGUUGGAAGAGUGUUGUUUGUCACAAGAUGCUUCAAAUGACCCUUCCCAUAGGCUUAUGUAGAGCCCAGGAAGAAAGACAUUUGCGCCAUAGAGAUGGUGGAGGACUUUAAAAAGGAUAUCAAGAGGCAGUUCUACCUUGAUGAUGUGGCUUACCUAGCUAGGAAAAAUAUGAGGCGUCUCAAGCACAUAGGCUCGAUAUGCGACUAUGUUAAGGAAUUUUCUUCGCUCAUGCUUGAGAUUCCUAACAUGACUGAGGAGGAGGAGUUGAUAUUCAGCUUCAUGGAUAACCUACAAUGGUGGGUUGAGUAGGAAUUAAGGCACUAAGGCGUUCAAGACUUAGCCACUGCUAUGGCAGUAGCAGAGUCUUUAACAGAUUAAAAGAGGGAAUACUCCUCCAAGGUUAAGUCUUUAGAGGAUAACCACGCCACGGGUGGAGGAGAUGAGGUUUCAAGGGACCAUAAUGCUCCUAGAAUGGGAUUAGGCAAGAUGCCUAUCAUCCAGGAAGGAAAGGGUAAGGCGAAAAGGAAGGAGUUUACGCCUAAAAUAAAAUGCUUCCUGUGUGACGGUCCAUAUUGGGCACGGGAUUGUCCAAAGAGGAAGGCACUCAGUGCCAUGAUUGAGGAGAGGGAACAGAAAGAUGAAGCACAUAUGAGCUCGAUGUAACUACUAGGUGCCCUCCAAGUCAACCCAAAGCCUAGUACGCCUAAGACAUCCUUACUAUCAGGGGUGCAAGUAAAUGAGGUAAAAGGGGAACAAGCUGAGGUAACCCACUCACACAUGGACAAGGUCACCAAAGGAAAGGUGAACUCGAUGGGCAAGAUAUAGCAGCACUCCAAACAUCGAAAGUGCAGGGGGUCUGCAUCCAUCCGAGGCCUCAAGGGAAAAGGAGGUGGAAAAUAUCCUGGUUGAACUGGUUACCAGUAGACAAGGGGUCCCUCCUGUGAUAGAGUAUCUAGUCCGAUGGAAAUGACUACCUAAAAGACAGGUAAGCUAGGAACAUGUGGAUGCCUUGAGAAGGUUUUGGAGACACAUCGAGAGGUUUUAAGAAAAGGCAACGACGGGGACGUUGACAGCAUAGGUGGAGGAGAGUGUCACAAGAUGCUUCAAAUAACCCUCCCCAUAGGCUUAUGUAGAGACCAAGAAGCUUCUGGAGACUUCUACACUUAGACAUUGGAGAGAAGAGUGUGGAAGGUUCUAGAGAUGCCUAGAGAAGUCCACACAUCUCUACACUAUGGUGGAAGGCAUGAGAGGAGUCCAAGGCUUUCUAGAGAAUUCUAGAGAUCUCUUGUAUAUUCUUGUACAUAGGCUUGUACAUAGAAUGGUAUAGGGUGUUCUAGAAUAUUCUUGAUUUGUAAGGAACCCUCCAAGGUUCCAAAGAGUUCCAUUGGUGUCCUCAUUUGGCCAAGGCACCACCCAAAAACCACCAAAAUCACUUCCUAGCCAAGCAAGUGAGUUCCCAAAGCACUUGUAAAGCUUCCUUUGAGAAAUAAAAGCUUCCAUUCUUUAAGAGUUUCCUAGUACAAGUCGUGAGCAUCUUAGCCUAACAAGUUAAGCAUUGGGAGUAAGGCUGACUUAGCAAGAUCAAGUGUCUUGACUUGUCUAAGUGCUGCACGAGCUUAGGAAAAAACUAAGUCCAUGACAUGUUGCAUUCAUACUUGCAUGUGACUUUUAAUAUUUGUUGAAAUGUACUUAAAGAGAAGAAAAAUUGUGAGAAAUUUUAUGAUUAGAUAAUGUGUUAGGGAUCCUUUUGAAUUGAUUUAAAAAACACCUAUUCACCCCACCCCCUACCCCCUCUAGGUGUAGUUUAUCAUUGAGAUUCACUUUUAGGGAAGGUAUGAUAAAUCCUAAAUUUAAUGUUAAAAUUGCAACAAAUAUGGUCAUUAUACUUAUGAAUGUAGAACUUCCAUUAACAAUUUGGAAGGAUAAACCAACUAUGUUGAAAAGAAAGAUCAAGAAGAACAUAGAAUAUUGUUAGCAUAUAAAAAAGAAAGUAAAGAGAAAAACAUAUGGUAUCUUGACACUAGAGCAAGCAAUCACAUGUAUGGCUUCAAAAACAUGUUUGUUCAUAUAGUGGUCAUGUUACUUUUGGAGAUGCAUCCAAAAUUCUAGUCAAAGGGAAAGGUAAAAUCCUAAUUCUUUUAAAAAAUGGAAAUAAUCAAUUUAUCUCAAAUGUUUUACUAUGUGCCCAACAUGAAAUAAUAUAUUAAGUUUGAGUCAACUCUUAGAAAAAAUCUAUGAUAUUCAUAUGAAAAAUUAAGGUCUCUGAAUAAAAGAUCAAUAUGUCAAUUUAAUUGAUAAUAUGCCUAUGAUAAGAAAUAGAAUGUUGUUGUUAAACAUUCAAAAUGUUGUAAAAUGUCUAAAAUCUUACAUAAAUGAUUCCUCUUGGAUUUGACACUUAAGAUUUGAACAUCUUAAUUUUGGAGGAUUGAAAUUAUUGAACAAGGAAAAUAUAGUGAGAGAAUUGUUUUCUAUAGAUCAUUAAGAUCAAUUAUGUGAAUGAUGCCUACUUGGAAAACAUUUCGAAAUAAUUUUCCAAAAGAAACAAUUACAAGAGCAAAGAAGUCUCUAGAGUUUAUUCAUGUGGAUGUAUGUAGUGUUAGGAUUAAAACACUCUAAUCUUAUUUUCUGAAAGCAAUAAUAAACUCAUGCAAAAAAUAAAGCAUAAAAACGCACGAAAUUUAUAGUGGUUCACUCUUAAUUUGAGAGUUACAUCCACUUGUAGCUGCUGUAGAUUUUCAUUAUGAUGAAAAGAGAGUACAAGAGAAUCCUAAAACACUUCACCAUCUAGGUUUUUCUCUCUACGUUUUUCUAUUUCUUUCAACACCCUAAAAGAAAUAAAACUCUCUCUAGGUUGGCUACCCUAAACAUAAUAUAAAUAAGAUAACCAAAUGAAACAUGUAAAAUCCCUAAAAUACCAUUACUAUUGGGAUAAUAAUUAGGCUCCACACGUCUUAACAAUCUCCCGCUUGGAGAUUAAUCCAUCAUCAACUAUCUUCACCUAUAGUGGCUACGACUUCUCUAUCUCAGCUAAGAAGUCCAAUUGAAAUUGUGCACAACUCUAGUUUCUCAAUCAUUGUGGUCUUUGUCAACAUAUCAACUGGAUUUCAAUUCCCCUAAAUCUUCUCGAGUGUUAAAAUUGUAUCUUCCAAAGCUGAUCUUAUGAAGUGAUACUAAACCUGUAUGUGUUUUGUCCUAACAUGAUAAAUAGGAUUCUUUGCUAGAUGGAUGGCACUCUGAUUGUCACAAUGUAACACAUUUCGCUUAUACUUGUGACCCAAUUCUUCCAAGGAAGACUACAACCACAUUAGGUCUUUGCUAGCCUCUGCCAUUGCAACAUACUCUGCCUUAAUAGUAGAAAGUGCAACUAUCUUCUACAACUUUGAUACCCAACUGACUGUAGUACCACCUAGAGUAUAAUCAUAUCCUAUAGUACUUUUUCUGCUAUCUAUAUCACCAGCCAUAUCAAUAUCUACAUACCCCUACAAACCUAAAUCUAACUUCCUAAAACACAAAGUCGACUCUAUAGUGCCUCUCAAAUACCUGAGAAUCCACUUCACCCCUUUCUAGUGUUAUUUUCCCGAAUUACUCAUAUAUAUACUCACAACUCCCACUGCAUGUGCUAUAUCCAAUCCAGUACAAACCAUAGCAUACAUAAGACCACUAAUACAUAAGACACUUUUGCCAUGUAAACCCGUUCUUGUUCAAUUGAGGGCGGCUGAUCUUUAAAUAGUCGGAAGUGACUAGCUAAAGGGGUACUCACAAGCUUCACUCCAACUAUAUUGAAUAUGCUAAGGAUCAAACCUUCUUCACAUACUCUUCCUGUGAUAGUUUCAAGACCUCUUUAUCCCUAGUAAUCCUCAUUCUAAGGAUUUAUUUUGCAGCACAUAAAUCCUUCGUUGCAAACUCAUCCUAUAACUUCUUUUUUGUUUGUCAAUCUCAUGUAUGCUAGCCCCAAAAUCCACAUAUCAUCAACAUAUAACAAUAAAAUAGUAUGAGAGCCAUGAAACCUCUUGAUAUGGCAACAAUGAUCUACUUGACACCUCAAAAAACCAUUAUUGCUCAUGAAGUUGUUGAACUUCUUAUACCAUUGUCUUGGAGCCUUUUUCAAGUCAUAUAGGCUCUUUUGUAGCUUACACGCCAUUUUAUUUUUUCCCUAAACCUGAAACCCUUAUAGCUUAUGCAUGUAAAUUUCUUAUUCUAAAUCACCAUGAAGAAAUGUCAUUUUUACAUCCAUCUACUAUAAGUGCAGAUCUUUUUUUAUCAUUAACCCAAGUACUGUUCUGAUAAUGGUUAGUUUGACCAUUAGAGAGAAAAUCUCUGUAUAAUCAAUGCCUUCCUUUUGCUGAAAGUCUUUUACUACAAGUCUUGCUUUGUAUCUCUUGCUACCAUCAUGUUCUUCCUUUAUUCGAUAUACCCAUUUAUUUUGCAAAUCUUUUUUCCCUUUUAGUAGUUCUGCCAAUAGCCAUGUUUGAUUAGACAUCAACGAAUCCAUGAAGUUGGCUACUCUAAACCAAAUCACAUGUGUAAAAUCCCUAAAAUUCCACAACUUAAAAUACUCUUACUAUUAGGAUAAUGAUUAGGCUCCACACAUCUUAACAUAUAGUCCAAUUCAUCCAAACUCUUUUGGUAAAAAUAAAUAUUUUUUGCUUUUCAUUGAUGAUUUUAGUAGAAAAGGUUGAGUGUAUUUUUUGAAGGAAAAAUCUAAAGUAUUUAGUGCUUUUAAGAAAUUUAAAGCAUUUGUUAAAGAGGAAAGUAACCACAAUAUAUAAGAAAUGAGAUUCAAUAGAAGACGUGAAUUCACAUCAAAAGAAUUUGAAAAAUAUUAUGAAAAUUAUGGGAUUCAUUCGCCUUUAACAACUCCAUAUUCUCCACACAAAAAUGGUGUAGUUAAAAGAAAAAAUAGAGUUAUUCUUGACAUGACUCAAACAUGUUGAAAAGUAAGAAGAUGGCUAAAGAAUUUUGGGCCGAAGCAGUUGAUUGUUGAUUUAUUUGUAAAAUCACUCUCCUAAUUGAAGUGUAUUGAAUAAAACAUCACAAGAAUCUUAGAAUGGAAUAAAGCCAUGUAUUUUCACAUUUGAGAGUAUUUGGAAGCAUUAUAUAUACUCAUAUGCCAAAUCAAAAGUAAUCAAAGUUAGAUGACAAAAGUGGAAUAUAUAUUUUCAUCAAUCAUGACUCAAGCUCCAAAUGGUACAAUUAUAGAAUCCAAAAAAUGGAAAAGCUCAUUAUUAAUAUAGGUGUCAAGUUUAAUGAAGAAACAUGAGAUUGGAAUGUUGAAAGGUAACUAUGAUACUUCUCCCCUUUAUGAAGAAGGAGAACAAACAAGAGAAAGUUUGCAAGAGAUUGUUACUCCACUUUCAUCACUACCCCCAUCAACUUAUGAAGUUCCCACAACAUCAUCCUCUUUUGAAAGCUCAAGUGAAAAGGACACCCUGUCUUAGAAGUCUACAAGAGAUCUAUGAAGUAACAGAAAAUCAAAAUGAUCUAACCCUCUUUUUUUUUUUUGCACAUUAUGAACAAAUAAGUUUUGAAGAAGCAAUUCAAGACCAAAGAUGAAAAUAUACCAUGGAAGAGGAAAUAAAAGUAAUAAGGAAGAAUGACAUAUGGAAAUUCAAAUCCCUUGUAAAAGAGAAAAACGCAGUUGAAGUAAAAUGAGUGUUAAAGAAGAAUGAAAAAGGGGAGGUAGAGGGAUACAAAACAAGAUUGGUGGCUAAGGGUUACAAGCAACAACAAAGCAUCCACUAUGUGAAUAACAAAUUGCAAUUGAUUUAUAAAAAAAUCUAGUUUUCCAUGAUCAAACCAAGCACAUCGAUUUAAUAUAUCAUUUUAUUAGAUAGUGCAUUGUGAAUAAGGAAAUGCAAUUAAAUUUUUGCAAAAUCUCAAGAUCAAAUUGUGGAUAUUUUUAUCAAGCCUCUUAAGUUUGAAAAUUUUAGAAAGUUGAGGAUGCUACUUGGAGUCACAAGUCAAGUUUAAGGGAGCAUGUUGGAAAAUUAAACUUGAUUUAGAAACUUUCUAAUUAUUAGAAUUAGAUUUAGUCUCUAAAAAUCAAGGGAGAAUAUUUUAUUUUGAGUUAUUAUUUUAGUUUCUAUUUUUGAAUUAUCAAACUCCGAAUGCUUCUAUAUUUUAUUGUUAGGAGUUUCUAUAUAAUUAAUUGAGUAUGUAUAAAUAAAAGAUUAUGUGAUAACUAAAAAAAAAAAGGAGAGUGGUGGAAUAUAAUAAAUAUUUAAUUCUUCCCAAUUUUAUAUUCUUUGUAAUUGUUUGUGUUUCUCCAUCAACCCUAUUACUCCAAUAUCUUUUACUUCCACUUCUCCAACACUUUUAUAUGAUGAAAACUGAGUCUCUUCAACUUUGUGAAUAAAAUUGUUGACAAUGAUUUCAAAAAACUUACCACCCGUCAAGAGGUAAUUGCCCCAAUGAAGACAUACACAAACAAUUGUCACAAUUCUUAAGUAUAAGAUUUUUCAAUUGCAUUAAUGAUGACCUCGUUAUCCAACUAGGCUACUUUGUGUCAUCACAAUUCAAUUUAUUUUUUAGAGAUUUCAACUUUGGAUGUGUGGUAGAGAAGGAUGAAAAUAUAGCUUUUGGCAAAUAUAUCGGUAACUUAAUUUUAUGGAUAUAUUAGGAUAUAUCGAUAAAUAUUUAAAUACAAAAUAUCAGUGAAAUGAAAAUUAAUCAAAACUUAUAAAAUUAUCUAAAAAAAGAUUGAAACAAAUGAUAAAAUAAGUAAUAAUAUAUAUAUUGAAAUUACUUUAAUUAGAGAAAUUUGAUAUAUAUAUAUAUAUAUAUAAUAAAUUUGUAACAUUAGUCAAUAACAUGCUAAUUUAAAAACAUAUUAAUAUUAAAAUGAUAAUGUGUUUAAUUUGAACAUAUUGUAGGAUAAAAAAGAAAUAAUGAUAUUUAUAUAAGUAUUUUUAAUUUAAAAAUAUUAAUAUUUUAUUUAUAAAUUUAUAUUUGUUUUAUAUUUAAUUAAUUUACAAAAUAUAUAAUAAGAUAAUUAAAUUUUAAUUAUUUAUAAUAAAUUUUUUUAACUAAUUUAUAAUAUAUAUUUAUAAUUUAUAAAAAAUGUUAUAAUAUAUAAAAGAUAUGAUGUUAUGGAUAUAUAUAUAUAUAUAUAUAUAUAUAUAUAUAUAUAUAUAUAUAUAUAUAUAUAACACUAUGUGCACAUCUAACACAAAUCUACAGAUGAUUCAAUAGGGUAGGCAACCCACGGCAAAUUCAAGCACUCGGGUUUGGGCCUUGCUCUUUUGUGUCCUAUGUUCAUUUAAAGUGUACAUAAAGGCAAUCCCACAUCUUAGUUUGAGAGAAAGCAAAGCCUUAUUUCAUGAUGGUGCCUCCAUCGAUCCACUAUCAAAGUUAGCAAAGUGGGCUUGGGCGUGGGCUUUUCUAGCUGACUGGAUUAAGAUUGACUCUUGAUCCACCAACAAAAAUAUCCAGAGCUUCAGCCACACCCUUUCUACCCUUCAAAUCAAACUUCGGAGGUGUAUCUUAUUCUACAUUUCUACCUUCUCUCUCUUUUUCUUCUUUUUCUAAUUUUUCCUUUCCUCUCUCUUAUUUUAUUCACUUAAAAUUUAAGAACUAAACCCUUAAUUUUGGAACUCAUACAAUUGGUUAUUGAUAAUAUUUUUAGUGAAAUAUAUUUUUUUAAUUCUUAUUUUUAACUACAAAUUUAAUUCUUUAAUAAAAAAAAAUUAUUUUGUCAAAUAACUAAUAUAAAAAAAUAAAUUUUAAUAAAUACACUAUGUACAUAAAUGAUGUGGGAUGUGUCAUACUCCAACAUAUGCAUGAGCCUAAUAGUCAAACAUUGCUAUGAUACUGUAUAGGUAAUAUCAAGGUCUGAAGAGGAGUCCUGCCAACAAUCAUCCCACCCCAAAUAUGCUGCGGGUUUCUUUCUUCAACAAAAAGGAAGUGAAGCCCAACUUUUUUAAUCAAUGGAAUAAGAAAGAGACGACCUCUCAAAUCAUCGGUAAGGGAAGAAUUUUGUUUUAUCAAAACAUUCUAAGCAGAAUCAAGUAGAAAAUCCAGAUCUUCUAUCUUUCCUGUAGGCAUGAAAAUAAAACUGGAAUGAGACCUUUCUUCUGAUUCUGUUCAGAUGCAGUUUUUAAAUGCACCCGAAGGGGCUUUUAGGCGUGUAAUCAUAAUUUAAGUUAGAAUUUUUUAAGCUUAUGAAUUGCAAUAUAUAUUGAGUAUAUUGCUUACGCAUUUUUUUUUGUUGAAUUGAGGGCAAGGGAGAAUUUAAAAUGAAUUUAGUGCUCAAUUCUCAUUCAAUAAUUUGUACGUGCUAUUAGGUGUAGUACCAAAUCUAGAUGAGUUAUUACUUCAUACACCACCCAUGCUUUCCCCCACACACAAACUACUCACUCUUUUAAGUUGUAUAAAUUUUAAUUUAUUUUGGCUACACAUACACACCCCAAAAAAAAAAAAGCAGAACCCUCUUGGUCUCCCCAAUUUGUAUAAUUGAUUUUUUUUUUAAUUUGAUGAGUAUUCAUCCUGCUUUUGGGAUUGGCUAUCUAGAUACAUUCAAGGUCGUGGAAAGAGCAGUAAACCCCCUACUAAGAAUCAUUAACUUUGUUGAUAGGAAUCAUUAAAUCCAUUAUAUAUAUAAAGACAACCAAAUAAUGAUAUUUGAUUAUUUCUUCAACCUUACAACAUGAUGUUUCUUAUGAAUUCUUUUUAUCAUUCAUAGAGAUUUAUCAUAUAUAAACAGAAAACAUCUCUUAUCUCAUUCACUUCUCGAUAGAUUCUAAAACAAAUUGUUGCCUUGUGAUGUAUAUGUUGUUGAUAAGAAACCCCCCUUAUCUCUCUCUCUCAUCUUCAUUCAAAUUAAGCAAAGACACCACCUGCUGUUCUGAAAAUGCCACCACCUGCGGUGACAUUGGAGGCAUUCAAUUCCAAGUUCAAGUCCAAGUCCAAGUUUAAUGAAUCAUAUUCUAUGUUUGCUAAACAUUUGAUAUAUUCUCUACUUUCAUUUAUUUAUUUAUUGAUAUCUAGAUUAUACUCACACGAUGCCUCCAAAAAUGGUAGUUUGUAUUGUAGUUGAGUCUUUAUCAAUCCUAGAGAAGAUGCACUUAAGAGGGUAUUUGGGCAGAAAGGCUCUCCACUCGCAUGCAUAGGAGCCUUUUGCAGUUCUAUUAGGUCAAUUAUAAAAUCUAGGCCAAAAUAGGUCUGGAGCUAAAAAUCAAAUGGUGAGUUGUGAAGGAAUUCUUUGGCAAGCCUGUGCAUAACACAUUCCAUGUGUUAGAAGUAGGUUGGCUAAUAUAAAUUACAACAAAAUUUUUUGGCAUGCCCAAUGAGACCUCUAAGUCUACUCAUGCUUUGAGACCCCAAACAAAGAAUAAUGGGUUGCAAGAAAAUAAAGAUGAUCGAUGCAAAAAUCAACACCUUCAUAUGGAUCUCUACUGCAAUGAGAUCCAUGAUGUGAAAUUAUCGUGAUGAGAACCUUAGAAAUAAUGCGUUGGAAUUUUAUUUUAUUUUUCUCCUUUGCACAAGUCUUUCUUAAGAAGUCACUUAGAAGCAACAAAACAAAAAGGAUUGUUAGUUGAUCAUAGCACGUAGAAUAGAUUCUAUUAUAUAAUUGAAGUUGUAUACUAAUUUCUAUUGAACGAAAUCUUUGAAUUCUGUGGUGAAUAUUUGAUGGUUAAAUGAAUAGAAAAUGUACCUACAUAACUUCUUGAAAAUUUUUUUGGUGAAACUAUGAAAAUAUGUUCAUAGAAACAUUGUUUUAAAAUAGAUGAUUAGUUAUCAAAUUUUUGAAAUAUAAGGAUUCAGAUAUGAUGGAAUAUGAAUUCCUUGUUGUGAUAUGUUACUUAUUCUUGUGGCAACAUGAAUUAAAGUUGUUUCUAACUCUAAAUUGCAAUAUGAGCAAUAUGGAAGUUGAAAGGGCCCUCACAACUUGAAAAUAUGUAAGGUUAAGAGGAACUCAUGCAUAUAUAUCACCAGGAACUUUAUCUCCUAUCGCAUGCGAGAUAUCACAAUCACUCCUCAAUGCAAACACAAACAUCCUCGUUGUGUCCCGCAAUCCUUGGGAUUGUGGGGCCAAAUAGACAAACGUCCUUCACCAGGUCAAACAAAUUCCCACACUAGGGUUGGAGAUUGACUUUGAUACGAUUUAUUACUACCUGUACCCAACCACCCCCACACCGAGGUUGAAGAUUGACUUUGAUACCAUUUAUAACUACUUAUACCCAAUUGUAUAGAUAUUGUUUGUUUUGAAUAUAAAGAGGUUCUCACGACUUUAAAAUGCGUCUACAAGAUUAAGAGGAGUUCAUGCAUAUAUAAUGUAAGAAACUUUUUUCCUUAUCCAAUAUGGAACAUCACAACAUUGGUAUUUAAUAUAUUAUGAAAUUGGAAGAAAGGGCACCAUGAAGGCUGGCCCUAUAAAUGGAUUAAUAAGAGGGGCAAUGAACCCUUAAAAGAAAGGGAAAGUAUCCUAGAUGAAAUAUCCAAAACAUAUUCUGAAAGAUUUCCGUUAGGAUUAUUGGGGGCAUAGACAUAUAGCAUUGGAUGGAAGUUCUUAAAAACAAAAAAUGAUAUAGGUAUCUAAUGAUGUGCUAGUAUGAAUGAAAUGUGCAACUUAGAAUGAUCAUCUUACUAGUGAUGUUUUAAUGAAUUGAAUUUCUAUGUAUUAACUGUGUAUAUUUACUAAUUAUCUCGCUUAAAUUUUAUGUUAAAAUUCUUGUCUUUCGAGUUGUUUAGUUCACUCUUUAAAUUAUUUUUUGAUUCAAUAAAAGGCACCUAGAGCUAAUAAAUUACUUGGGUUACUAAUUGGUGGAAUACUAGGCAAUCUGAAACUUUUUUGAAUGAUAUUCAAAAGAUUUGUUUAAAAUUUAUAAUGAAUAAUGAUAAGUCGUCUCUUGAAUCGCCAAAUAUUCUAGGUUCAAUUUGAAAAGUAUUCUAUUAGGGUAACUAUGUUAUGCUAGUGACGAUAUCGAUCGUGACCUUGAUAUGGAGUUAGAGCUGCUAACUAUGAUGAAUGCACUAACUAUGGAUAUGAUGUCGGAAAUAGACCGAUUUUAUAUCACCCUUGAAUUCGAAUUAGCAAAAGCAAUGUCUCCUUGCAUAAUAUGGAUUCCAAACAUUCAUGAUCUAGAUGUGAAUGAGUCGAAUUACUUAUCCCUCAAUCUAUUAGUGAACUAUCUCUCCAGGGAUUGUGAAAGAUGUUCCACUAGAAAUAUUCUUGUUAUUGCUUCGACUCAUAUUCCCCAAAAAGUGGAUCCCGCUCUAAUAGCUCCGAAUAAAUUAAAUACAUGCAUUAAGAUUUCCAAGGUUUAGCCAAGGCUUAGCUCAAGACCCCACUACUUGUCGUAUUUGGUUUGGUAUUGCUACCGCACAUGACUUUGAAAGUCAUGAUGAUAUUACUGAGGAACGUCUUUAUCAAAAUAUUUUUGCUUCUCAUUUUGGGCAAUUAGCAAUCAUUUUUCUGUGGACUUCUGAAAAUUUGUUUCAUGUAACUUGGCAAGGAAAUUUUGAAUCAUGGGUACAAGACCCUUUACAUGUAAGACCUAUUGCUCAUGCAAUUUGGGACCCUCAUUUCGGUCAAUCGGCUGUGGAAGCUUUUACUCGAGGGGGUGCUCCUGGACCAGUGAAUAUCGCUUAUUCUGGUGUUUAUCAGUGGUGGUAUACAAUCGGAUUACGCACUAAUGAAGAUCUUUAUACUGGAGCUCUUUUUCUAUUAUUUCUUUCUGCUAUAUCUUUAAUAGCGGGUUGGUUACACCUACAACCGAAAUGGAAACCGAGCGUUUCGUGGUUCAAAAAUGUCGAAUCUCGUCUCAAUCGUCAUUUGUCAGGACUCUUCGGAGUAAGUUCAUUGGCUUGGACAGGACAUUUAGUCCAUGUCGCUAUUCCUGGAUCCAGGGGGGAGUACGUUCAAUGGAAUAAUUUCUUAGAUGUAUUACCGCACCCUCAAGGGUUAGGCCCACUUUUUACAGGUCAGUGGAAUUUUUAUGCUCCAAACCUAAUUCAAGUAGUCAUUUAUUUGGUACCUCUCAAGGAGCAGGAACUGCCAUUCUAACCCUUCUCAGGGGAUUCCAUCCACAAACGCAAAGUUUAUGGCUGACUGAUAUUGCUCAUCAUUAUUUAGCUAUUGCAUUUAUUUUUCUCGUUGCUGGUCAUAUGUAUAGAACUAACUUUGGGAUUAGGCACAGUAUGAAAGAUCUUUUAGAAGCGCAUAUUCCUCCGAGAGGACGAUUGGGGCGUGGACAUAAGGGUCUUUAUGACACAAUCAAUAAUUCGAUUCAUUUUCAAUUAGGCCUUGCUCUAGCCUCUUUAGGGGUUAUUACUUCCUUGGUAGCUCAACACAUGUAUUCUUUACCGGCUUAUGUGUUCAUAAUUGGAAAAAUGAGCACCGUGGAAAUACAUGCCACUCAGCCAAAGAAAGAUGAUGGAGAGUUGCCCGAAAUGGGCACUAAAUACUUUUCGAGGGAUCUCCUCCAAAUCAUUGGUAUGGCUAUCGAAAUCGUGAGCAUCAACAUGUAGGUUCCAGAUCGGUGGUAUCAGGGCCCUUAGCUAUUGUUCUUGAGAAAUGACCAGGUCUGGCCCAUUCCUCGAAAGAAGUUUUUAUGGGAUCCAAAUCUAACAAAAUUUUAACUUUUGUUUCCGGCGAACAAAUAAUCAUUGAGUCCUCCUCUUUCCGGACAACACAUACAAAGAGACCCGCCAACAGUCAAGAAAUUAGUGAACCUAUGAGAGAUAUUUAUAAUUAGUUUCUUUCUCUUCUCUUAUAUCUCCCAUCUAUCUAUUUUCUUUAGUUAUUCACUAAAGCAAUUAUGAUUUGGAAGUCGAUUCGGGCAAGUGUUCUGAUCUAUUAUGACAUAGCUUUGAGGCGCUUACUGGACCUGUUUAAUAUUAUAAAACCUUUUUCGGUCUUUGAAUUUGAACGCAAAAACGAUUUUUUUGUGCAACCUAGUGUAUUCAUAUUUCAAUUAGAAGUUCUUAGAUAGAUCUAUAUUAUGUGAUUAGUUGGUAUUCAAAAUAGACAAUUCAAGUAGGUAAGUCGGAAAUGCCACUCGAACCCAGAGCUAGCUGGUUUUCCCUGAAAUGCGUUGAGUCCGCUUAUCUCCAACUCGUGAACUUAGCCGAUACAAAGUUAUAUGAUAGAAACUCUUCUUUGGUGUUAAGGUAAUAGCUAUGAAUAGUCAUUAGGCAAGAUUGGUUGGAUUAGCCCAUUUUUCUGUAGGUUAUAUAUUCACCUAUGCGGCUUGAAUUCUAACCUUGUGUCAAGACCUACGAGCCAAGGGACCGUCUCAGGUAGACAAUUUCUAUGGGGCGUAGGCCUCCCAAAAGGUAACGGAGGCUUGCAAAGGUUUUCUCGGGCCUGACGGAGAUUGGCCCUCGAGUGCAAAGGUAGAAGGGAGCUUGACUGCAAGACCCACCUGUCGAGCAGGGACAAAAGUUGGCCUUAGUGAUCCGACGGAAAUACUAGAUCCCCACUUACACAAGCAAAUUGUUGAUAAAACUCCAAAAUGGCACUUUCUUUUGACCCAAUCUGCUUGUGGAACCUCAAUAUCCACGGGCUUAUUAGCUAAAUGACAAUUGGCACAUACAAUACGUCCAGUCGCUUCUCGUGGAUCUUCAUAACCCUGUUGUGCAAAAAUGGGGGGAUUUCACCUGCCCCAUGCUAUUUGCCGAUUUAUUCAAUGCUGGAAUCAGGCUCGUGGGAUCGGGACCCUUUAUCCCGGCCAUUAAUUGUUAGGAAAUCUCAAAUCAGACCAUUUGUCCUUACUUCCAUAAAGGAAGCAUGGGUCUUUUUUAUAGGAAAACUUUUUUUUUUCUUGGUACCAAUUCAAUGCUAAACAAGUCCGAACUAAUUGAAUACUUGUAUAGCGACGACCCUUCCACUCGGCACCAUCAGAUCACUUAGAGAUCACAUGCAAUUGUGAAUGCAACAACACUCCCUAAUAAAAAUAAAAUGCAAUUCACAUGCACAUGUUCCAACACUCCCCUAACAAAAAAAAAAAAAAAAAAAAACUUAAAAACAGUUUCUAAUUAAUAACAAGAGCAAGAUAUCUCAAUAUCCCUAUGAUCAAUAAUCAGAAACAGCAUAAAUGACAACUUAUGCUAGUUUACCUUAACAUUCCCAAAACAUAAAUAUCCAAAUUAUUAAAGAUAGUUAAAAUUGAAACUGAAAUGAAAAGGAGAAUUAGAGACAAUGAGACAACACCAAAAUUUACUUGGAAAACCUCCUAAGAGGUCAAAAACCACGAACCUACAACCAAUAAAAAAUUCUACUAUGAUGAUCAAUCAAGGUGUACAAGGAUUUACCUAGCUCAAGAUCUCCAAUCCCUCACGCACUACUUGACAAGCGCCUUCACACCUCUCCACCAUGCCUUCAUCUUCAGGAACAUAUUUGGAGUCAUUUCCAAACUUGAUCUCGGCCUUCUCCUUGAAGCUCCAUCAAGAAGAAAUUGAGUUUUCACCCAAACCCAAAAGAAUGAGAGAUGAGUGUUCAAGGAAUCAACUCAUUUCAUUUUAGAAAUCCAUUUAAGAAAAUUUUCUUAAAAAACUUAGAUGAAAUUUUCUUGGAAAGCAAACAACCUCAAAAGGAAAAGGAAAGGAAAAACUCUCUUACGACUAUUGCUCUCUUAGUUUCCAAAAAUGGGAGAAAUUUGUAUUUAAAAGGGGAAAGAAUGGUUGAAAACUGAUCUAAAAAAGAAGUUAUUUUGAUCGAUUUGCCCCUGCACUUGGAUCUAUCCAGAAACAAGGGAACAAAAACCUUUUAGCAAAAAAUAUUUCUCCCAGCUUCCCUAAUACUUUUAAAAAUAAUUCAAGGCUACCAACAUGUUGAAAAACAAGGUUGAUUCACAUUCCUUCAACACUAACUCAACUACUUAUCUCGGCCUCUUAGCAAAUUCAAAAUCUUAAUCUUCAUAGGUCAAGUAACCCAACAACGGAUUUAAAAAACCAUAGUUAGUAGACACUUAGGUAUUUUGUCUAGAAUUACCAACCUAACUAUAACACUCACAACUUUUAAAAAUUUUAAAAAUCAUUUAUAGUAUUGAAAAAUCACUUGUGCUUUAUAGAAAAAUAUUUGAUAGGUGAUUCGCCUAAAAACACUUUCAGAAGCACUUUGAGUAAAAACACUAUCAUACGCACCCUUAAUUUCAUGGAUAAUUAAAAACGAAGCAUAAGCAGUAUAAUCCAAUAAGAGAAAUAUUUAAAUAAAAUUAAUCAACUCGAAAGUGUAUUGUUCCAAUUUAAUAAAGAACUGUAAAUUUAUUAGCGGUGGCCAUAAUUCCCAUGAUGCAAGAAAACUGAAAACUAAUUAUAACUUAUAGCCUAACAAUUUUUUAAACCUAUCUUCGUAUCAUUCAUUGAAAAUGCCUAUUUUAAAUACUAUUUUUCUGUUUUAGAAACUGCAAACAUGUAAUAACUAAAACAAAUAAAACGAACAUGAUCGUGUUUUCAUAUAAAAAAUAAAAAAUUAUUAAAAUAUUCUUAAAUAAAAUUCACAAUAUUUAUUUUGGCAAGGCCUUAUUAGAUCUUAUUUUUAUUAAUUUCUAGAACCCUAUCCGUAAACUUGUCACAGAUAAACCCAUUUCACCCUUUUCCAAACAACUCUGAACAAAUUAAUGUAAUUGUGCCCAAUCCAAUAUUCAAACAUAUAUAUACAUAAUAGUUUGUUUCAUAAUCAAAACCUGAUAACAGGCAAUGAGUUCAUUACAAAGAAACUAUGGAGUAGUACAAGGAAAAAUAUCUGUAUAUAAUUAAUCAGCUUUGGACCACUUGCCAGAGUUUGGAUAUCCUGGUACACAUGCAUCGUUAUUUCACAUGGAUACAACACGCAACCUACGGGAAUCAUAGUAGAAUUCUUCAUCUCCAGCUAGCACUGCAUCAAUUAUCAAAACCAUGCAUUUAGGGAUCAUAUCCCAUUGUAGUUAUGGAAGCAAGAACAUUAAUAAUUAAUUGUUUUAAAAAAAAUCAUAAAAGUAAACAGAAUAUUGUAUGUUCUGUGUACUAUUUAAGAAGCAAUUCAAUUACCUCUCUGGAUGUGAGAUAUUUUGGACCAAUCCUCCCCUGUUUCCUCAUGGUAACGAUCUUGCAGAGUAGGAGAGCCGCUGAUAUUCAGUUCCUGUAGUGAAGCUAUCUGGAGAAGGCGCUCGGGCAGGCUUUCCAGCCUGGGGCAGUUAUAUGUGGUCAAGGAGUGGAGAUAUGGCAUUACUGACCUCCGUUCUUCUACUUCUCCUUUUACUUCCCACUUUUCCCACUCAAACAUAUGUUUAAAACUGAGGUGCUUCAGCUUUGGGAAUGCAGUUGUUGAUCCCAAAAACUCACCACCCACGUAUUUCAGUCUCUUCAUAUGCUCUAUUAUCAGGCUUUCAAGGAGAGGUAGUUCCCCCAAUGGAGGCAAACAUGUAACCUGUGCGCAAUACACAAUUUCAAGCUUUUUCAAUUGGGCCAACGAUGAGGCCGCUAUCCAACUGGGGAACUCGGUGGCAGCACGGUAAUAACUUAUUUUUAAAGACUUCAAGUUUUGAUGAGGCUGUAGAGCUUCAACCACACCUUUUGAAGCAGCUGAGGCAAGCCACCCAAAACGGCUUAGUUCCAAAUGAUGGAGGUGUUUCUUAUUCUUCAAUUCUGCUUCGCCAGCCUCCUCUGCAUCUUUCACAUUAGCUAUCCCACUUAUCACAAGACCUCCCCUGAGGCUGUUUGAGUUUUUCAGUUCUCCUAUUUUGCAUACGCCAAUUAUACGAAACCCAGUUAAUGUCCGAAGUGAGGUCAAUCUCCCGAUUCCUUUUGGCAACUCCGAUACUUCACUGCCGUACAAUUCAAGAUGUCUCAGGUUAAUUAGUUUUCGCAUCCCCUGAGGUAGUUUUUCAAGGAGGCUACAUCCAAAAACAUCUAAAGUUUGCAAAUUAUAUAGAUCACAAAUUGUUUCGGGCAAUUCCGUCAACCACUUAUUAUUUGAUAGAUUAAGGUACCUCAGAUGUAUCGAUUUCCCCAAGUUCCUCAGCAGUUCCCCCAAAAAAACACUCCCACUCAAGUCUAAUGCCCUAAGGCAUACCAAAUGUUUGAAUAAAUUAGGUGGGGGUUGAGGAGUGAAGGAAUUGACCAGAUGUGCAGCAAGCAAUGUGUGCAGAUAUUUCAAAUUAUGGAUAGUGCUAGGAAAUCCAACCCUUCCUGCGCUAAUUAAGGUUGCAUGACGAGCCUUUUGGAAGGAGGAAGCCAUCCUCACUUCCUUUUCAUCAUCAAUCUCCAGAAUGAAGCAUUCAUUCUUGGUCAAAUAUUGGGCAAGAUCAUGUACUGUAUCAUGCAUCUUGCACGAUAUUAUGUUGCCCUCAUCAUCUCUACGAAAAUCUUGGAAAAGUGACCGUGACACCAAGUCUUCAAAGUAGUCUCCACCUGUUUUCUCCAUCUCUAUACUUUCUCUAGAAUUGAGAUAGCUAUUUGCCAUCCACAACUUGAUCAAUCUAUCUUUACUAAUGAUUUGAUCUUUUGGGAAGACAGCACAAUAUGAGAAGCAGCGUUUAACAGCAGGGUAUAAAUCAUAAUAACUCAACAAUAAAGGAGGGGAAAGAUGUUUCUCAAUCACAUCAAGUUGCCAUAUUUCAUUAUUCAAAAUACUCUCCCAAUCUUCUUUAUUAUCUUUUAAGCGCAUGAGACUCCCUAAAACCUUUGCAGCAAGAGGCAAGCCCCUACACUCGUCUGCUAUUUUCCUGCCAAUGUUUUCUAGUUCUUCAACUUUUUCUCUACUCCUUCCGUAAAAGGCUAUGUUACUGAACAAUGACCGACAUUGCUCCUUGGACAAUUCUCCCAAGGGGACCUUGUACGUGGUUCCCAUCAUUGUAGAAACGUUUUCGUUUCGUGUGGUCACCAAAAUUCUACUUCCCGGUGCCCCACCCUUGAGAGAACUCUCUACUUGUUCCCACAAUUCAUAGUUUUCAGUCCAAACAUCAUCUAGCACGAGUAGGAACUUCUUAUCGGCAAUAAGUGUGCAAAUUUUUUGUUGUACAGCUUCCAGAUCAUGGAAACCAGAAGACUCUUUCUGGAGGGCUUCAAGAAUAGCCCUAGAAAUCCUCAUUGGGUCAAAAGGAUCAGACACACAGACCCACAUCCUUUCAUGGAAAUAGGACUUCACCUUUUCGUGGUUGUAUGCUAAUUGAGCAAGAGUUGUUUUGCCGAUCCCUCCCAUCCCAACUAUGGAGACGAUGUAGAGGGAGGAGCUUUCUUGGCAACUCCCACCCAACAGCUUGCCUAUUAUAAUGUUUAUAUCUGCAUCCCGACCGCAGAACUGGCUAACAUCAAUUACAGAACUGGUUAUACGUCUACGUGGUUGCUGGAUGGUACUACUUGACACAAAAUUGAACUGAUUUCUCUCAUUUGCAAUGGCAUUUAGUUGUUUUUUUAUGUCCUUAAUCUGAAGAGCAAUAUCAUGGCGCAAAGAAACUUGUUUGAAGCAAACACAAGGGGAGGGAAGGCAGGAACUUAUCUUGGGCUUAGGGAUGCCAGGGUUUUCAGCUGCAAUCUGUAAUUUGAGAAGAGCAGUGUUCCACCCAUCCACCACGUCAUCCAUCUGGUAGGAGAUGUCCUUUAGCCUUUCUAACCAAACUUUUACAAGUUCUUAUGUGAACUGUCUCUUCUCUGCAUCUCCAAGAACAGCUCUGAUGCUCUGGAGUGUGCUUUUUAGGUUGUCCACCUCGCUUUUGACACCCACCACCAGUGUAACUUGUUGACGAAUCUGUUGUUCCAAGACUGAAGCCAAUCGCUCCAGCACGAUAGAAACAAGAGCAUCCGCCAUAAGGGUUGAUGAAUUAGGUAGGGUUGAUGAAUCAAAGAAAAUGGACAGAUACAACUUAGAUCAAUGGAGAGAAAGGAUGUGGAGCUUUGGCGAGCUUAAUUAUGUUCCCUUAAAUAGAAUGGAAUAGAGGUAUGAAUGGAUUACUUAAAAAUGGCAUUUCUGUAUGACAAGAUAUGCUGAUCUUCUUCAUCACUUCUUCCCUUUCUUUUCCUUCUCAAGAGAAACCUCCAAAUCCAAUGCCCAAAUCUGCAUGGAAAAGCAUUUCUUGCCUCUUUGGAAUGGCAUUGCCUGUUACACAAGUAUUGGACAAAGGCAAAGCAUCUUACUGGAUAGAUUUUAUAUUGCAAUCUUGCACUGCACUUUGUCCAAAACAUUUCUCCACUUUAAUUCAGGUACGAAUCCACUUUCAAUUCUAUUCUAGAAAAGGCUAAGCUGAUUUCUAGUGUUUAUAUAUAUAUAUAUAUAUAUAUCCUUACAAAUAAUAAGUCUCUUAGAAAAUUUUAAACAUCACUAUAAAGAAUUUAUAAGAAUUUAUUUGGUCACAAUCACAAAAACUAUUAUCACAAAUAUAAUUAAAAAAAUUACCCUAAUAUUGUUGUUAUUUAAUUAUUUGUACUAACUCUGACAUUACAUUUGUUUUAAAAAUCGGAUAAGACCAAUCAAUCAAAUCAUUGACCAAACCUCAGUCCUAUUCAGUUCAAUUAAUUGGAUCAGAAUGGGGUCAAAAUGGCAUUGAACCAGAGUGAAACUGGCAGUACAACUGCUAAACUGGUGAGUCGGCUUAGUAGUUCAGUUUAACCUUUUGGCAUGUUUGUCCAAGCCAUUGGAUCUUUGUUUACAGACCCAAUGUCCUAUUAAAUCUUAUUUUUUUAUCCCUAAUCCAUAAGCCCAUCAAAUAGAUGGACCAUAGGAGAAACUCUUCCCAAUUCGUUAAGCAAGUUGACUCAUGUAUGGUUGAAUUGGCAUAUUCACAGGGUGAUAAAGGUAGCUGGAGUCACUAGAGCCGCAUAGACAACUGGCCAAGGGCAUGGCUGCCCAUGAAGGUGGUUGGAGGAAGCCAUGCUAGCUGAUGGAGGAAUAGGAGAGUGGGUAUAGCUGAGAUAGAGGGUGGUUUUUCCAGAGGACGGGCGGUGAACGGAAGGAGGGGGAAGAACUUGAAGAAAGAGAGCCGUGAGAGAAGACAUGGGUGGUUUUGGUAGGGUUUCAGAGAUAUUUUGAGAGGAGAGAGAUAGCAAGAGGAAAGGGUUUUGGCUGGUUUUUCUUUGUGAAAGGAGCCCGGUAGUCGCCAGAGCAGGACGGGUACUUUCAGGUAUCACCAUCUAUAGUUUUUUUUCUUUCUUUCCAUAUAUUCCCUCAUAUUUCAUAUUUCUCUUGUUUUCCUCUCUCUGAGUUCAACUCUGCUUGUUGAGCUGCUGUGUUUUGAUGAUUAUCAGUUUAAUCUUCGAAGAGCUUGCUGUAUUUUAAUGUUUCACUCUAGCAAGCAUCUUCCAUUUCAACCCACUGAUUGUUAGAUUCAUGGAUGAGAUAGUAAAAUGGGUUUAGGAUAUUUGUUAAAUGUUCCAUGCUCUGUUUCCCUUCUAUCUCUUUGCUUCUUCAUUUUCGCCAUGAAAGAAAUCGUCAGGCUUUAAGAUUGAAAAUCUAGAGAGAUCCUAGAUCUGACUGAUACUAUCCAAGGCAUUUAGAAAGCUUGAAGGAGCGACAGUCGCGAGCUUCAUCUCCGGCGAUGCCCACUGAAGAUGCAGAGAGAGAAUGUCAUGCAAAACAUGUACAAGUUCCUUUGAAAAUCACUCGUGCAUGGCGUCGACUCAUAGGAUAUUCUCAUGGAGACGUAACCCGCUUCCAUGCCUAGAUUGUUCUCGCGCGCCACCUUGAUCAGAUCGGAAAUGGGCAUGCAUUCGUUCUCAGUUGUUACUCCCUCGUGCUCACUCGUAGGAAUGGCAACGGGGCGGGUUCGGGACGGGUCGCCCCCAUCCCAACUCCGCCCCGUUUAUUUAAAACAAAUCCCAUCCCCGUCCCAUUUAAAAACUUAAACAGGGCGAGGCGAGGCGGGGCGGGUACAAUAAAUUCCUAUACCCGCCCCGCCCGCCCCGUUUAACUUUUUUUUUUUUGAAUUCACCAUUGAAACCGGCGAGACAAGGCUUACUGCCGCAGUGCCGCCGCGAUAAGAUCUCCGUGGGUAAAGCCAACCACCACCCCUCCUUCGCGUACUGCCGCAGUACCGCCGCGAUCAGAUCUCUGUGGGUAACGUUGCCACCCCUUCUUCGCAUACUGUCGCAGUGUCGCCGCGAUCAGAUCUCCGUGGGUAACGCCAGUCGCCGCUCCUCCUUCGCGUACUGUCAUAGUGCCGCCGCGAUCAGAUCUCCGUGGGUAACGCCAGCCGCCGCCCCUCCUUCGCGUACUGCCGCAGUGCCGCCGCGAUCAGAUCUCCGAUUGUUGAAUCUGACGACAUCACAACCUGGACUGGCCAGCUUCCCCUUUCGGUUCUUCUCUUCGUGUCCUCUCCGGUGAGUCUUGGAAGUGGAGAAGAAGCUCUUUGGUUUCCGGCGACAGGAAGUUGCCAUACCCAGAACGGUGGAAGAGUUCAAGGGCAAAAGUGUGAUGGAGGAUCGGGGCGAGGCGGGGUGGGGCAAUACCCGCCCUCGCCCCGAACCCGCUCCCGCCCCGAACCCGCUCCGAGUUUUUUAAACCAUUCCCAAACCCGUCCCAAACCCGUUUAAUAAAAUUUAACCCCGUCCCAUUAGGGGCAGGGCGGGUACCUGAAAAAACCUGCCCCAUUGCCAUCCCUACUCACUCGCCACCUUUCUUUUCUUCACAAAACCACCACCUGCCAGUACCCAUUUCCCUCUUUAACCACCGCAUCCAUUUCAUGCCUGUAUGCACCUAAACCACGCGUGCAUGGUCACCCCACCUCAUUCCUUCCUCAAUUCUUACAUAACCGUCACCAUACCCACCAUGCUCACAUUUCCACUCAUUCCUCUCAUGCAUCCACUUGUCUCCCCCAAGUUUCUCCAUCCCAUUUUUACUACAUGCAGCUAGUAUCUUGGCCAUGCAUGCACGCGUUGCGCCCCCUCCCCCCCACCCACCAUGCUCAUCUCUCCACCCUCCUUGACCACUCGGUCCACCACCCAAGCCUCCCAUUCCCAUCCCUCUCCCAUUGUUUUCUCUAUUUUUUCUAUCAAACAAUCCAAGCCCAUUUCCCUUGGAUUGAAAGAGAUAUGUUUGUUUCUUCAUCUUUGGUGUUGAUCUUUUUCCUUUUGUUGUAACUUUUUGUUUUUGAGGAAGGGAGAGAAUGAAAGAGUUUUGGUCGUCUCUUGCGUCUUUUCUGGGGGUGUUGGCCUUCUGCCAGAGCAUCCUCCGCGUCGUGUUCCCGCCGGAGCUCCGGUUUGCAGUGCUAAAGCUUUUCAAACGCCUCUUUAACUGCUCCUCCUACUGCUACUUUGAUAUCACUGAAAUCGAUGGCAUCAACACCAAUGAGCUUUACAACGCUGUCCAGUUCUACCCGAGCUAGUCCGCCUCCAUCACCGGCAACAGGUUGAGCCUCACCUGGGCCUUGAAUUCCUCGCCCACCACCUUCAGCCUCUCCAAUAACGACUCCCUGGUGGACACCUUCAACGGGGUCUCCGUCCUCUGGGAGCACGUCGUGACGCAGCAGCAAUCACAUACCUUCUCGCGGUAGCAGCUCCACCGUCUCGGCGCCGCCCUCGAAAUUGCCACCCCUUCCCUCUCCACUAUGUCGCUGAUGGUGGAGGCCUCGUCUGAGGGUGAUGUCUAGGUGGAGAGGUGGGUUGUGAUGGAGUUUGGAGCCUUGGGCUUGCCUAUGGUGACAGGGAUGGUUUCGAGUUGGAGCCCAGGCCCAAAGUUGCUGAUGAAGGGCCUCAUUGCUCCUCAAACCAAUCACUCUCAUGACCCAUGUCCAUUUCAGGACAGCCCAUUUGGCUGCUUCAAUUCUAAAUAAUUUCUUUUAAACCUCUAAUCUUCGUAAUUUAUCAAUUUAUUCAUUCACUUUUAUUUUUGUCUUAUUUUAUUUUUACCUAUUUUGUUAACUCAACUUAAACACAACUAAAAGACAAAUCAUUAAGAUUGAAUAUCGUUUUUGAAACUUAAAAAUAAUUUAUAUUUCAUCUUCAUUUCUUUAGAUAUGUCUAACCAUCAUAUAUGAAAAUUUUUAUAUAAUUAGAUUAUGUCGGUCUCAAUGAAUUUUCUACAUUCUAAACUUUAAAUCCUAUUUUCAAAACUUAGGUCCUUAAGCGAUUCUUCAAAAAUCCAAUGUCCUAAUUUAAUUUUCAAUCUCAAGAUUUCCACUAUUCAAUUUCAUUCGUUUAAAUAUUAUGUUUGUUAAUCAUUAUUAUUAUUUCGUAUGUAUUUAUUUAUCCUCUUCUAAAAAUCUCAUUCAUUAAAGUCCAAUCCUUCAAAAAUCCAACGUCCUAAUUUAAUUUUCGACCCUAAAAAUUCCACUAUUCUUUUUUAUUUGUUUAAACAUUAUCUUCAUUAAUUAGCAUUAUUAUCCCAUAUUUAUUUAUGUAUUUAAAGUCCAAUCCUUCAAAAGUCCAACAUCCAAAUUUAAUUUUCAAUCUUAAAAUUUCCACUAUUCAAUUUCACUCGUUAAAAUAUUAUGUUUGUUAAUUAUUAUUAUUAUUUCGUAUGUAUUUAUUUAUCCUCUUCUAAAAAUCUCAUUCAUUAAAGUCCAAUCCUUCAAAAAUCCAAUGUCCUAAUUUAAUUUUCAAUCUUAAGAAUUCUACUAUUCUUUUUUAUUCGUUUAAAUGUUAUUUUCAUUAAUUAGUAUUAUUAUCCCAUAUUUAUUUAUCUAUUUAAAGUCCAAUCCUUCAAAAAUCCAACGUCCUAAUUUAACUUUCAAUCUCAAAAAAUUUACUAUUCUUUUUUAUUCAUUUAAAUAUUAUUUUUGUUAAUUAGCAUUGUUAUCCCAUAUUUAUUUAUUUAUUUAAAGUCCAAUCUUUCAAAAGUCCAACGUCCAAAUUUAAUUUUCAAUCACAAAAUUUCCACUAUUCAAUUUCACUCGUUAAAAUAUUAUGUUUGUUAAUUAUUAUUAUUAUUUCGUAUGUAUUUAUUUAUCCUCUUCUAAAAAUCUCAUUCAUUAAAGUCCAAUCCUUCAAAAAUCCAAUGUCCUAAUUUAAUUUUCAAUCUUAAGAAUUCUACUAUUCUUUUUUAUUCGUUUAAAUGUUAUUUUCAUUAAUUAGUAUUAUUAUCCCAUAUUUAUUUAUCUAUUUAAAGUCCAAUCCUUCAAAAAUCCAACGUCCUAAUUUAACUUUCAAUCUCAAAAAAUUUACUAUUCUUUUUUAUUCAUUUAAAUAUUAUUUUUGUUAAUUGGCAUUGUUAUCCCAUAUUUAUUUAUUUAUUUAAAGUCCAAUCUUUCAAAAGUCCAACGUCCAAAUUUAAUUUUCAAUCACAAAAUUUCCACUAUUCAAUUUCACUCGUUAAAAUAUUAUGUUUGUUAAUUAUUAUUAUUAUUUCGUAUGUAUUUAUUUAUCCUCUUCUAAAAAUCUCAUUCAUUAAAGUCCAAUCCUUCAAAAAUCCAAUGUCCUAAUUUAAUUUUCAAUCCUGAGAAUUCCACUAUUCUUUUUUUAUUCGUUUAAAUGUUAUUUUCAUUAAUUAGUAUUAUUAUCCCAUAUUUAUUUAUUUAUUUAAAGUCCAAUCCUUCAAAAAUCCAACGUCCUAAUUUAAUUUUCAAUCUCAAAAAUUCCACUAUUCAUUUUUUAUUCGUUUAAAUAUUAUUUUCGUUAAUUAGCAUUAUUAUUCCAUAUUUAUUUAUUUAUUUCAAUCAUAAAAGUUCAAUUCUUCAGAACCCGACUUCCAAAUUUAAUUUCCAAUAUAAAAAAUUCCACUGUUCAUAUCCCGUUGUUUAAUGAUUAUUCUCGUUAUUAAUGUUGCCCCAUCCAUUUAUUUAUUCAGUUAUUCAUAUAUCAAAGAUCUUAUCUCUAAAUAAUUUCUUAAAUUUUCAAUCUCUAAGUUUAAUCUCCAAUCUCUAAGAAUUCCAUCUUUCCCAAUUAUUUACCUGAUCUUUAUUAUUUCACCAUCAGUAUUAUCCUAUUCAUUUACUUAUUCACUCAUCCACUUAUCCACUUAUUUAAAGUCCCCUCUCUAAAUAAUUCUUCAAAUUUCCAAAUCUCUAAAUUCAACUUCCAAUUUCCAAGAUUCCUGUCUUCGUGAUUAUUUAUCCAAUCAUUAUUAUUUUCAUUAUUUUACUCAUUUAUUUAUUCGGUUGUUCGUUCAUUUAAAAUUCCAUUCCUAAGUAAAUCAUCAAAUUUCCAAUCCCUAAGUCCAAUUUCCAAUUUCCGAAACCCCUCACUUCUGCAAUUAUUUACUCAAUCCUUAUUGCUUCAUCAUCAUUAUUCCAUUCAUUUAUUUAUUCACUUAUUCACUUAUUUAAAAUUCCGUCUUUAAAUAGUUCCUCAAAAUUCCGAUUUCCAAAUUUAGUUAUCUGAAAUCCCAAUUCUUUAAUUUCUAAACUUAAUUUUCAGUUUCCAAUGCUCCAAUUCUCGCAUUUAUUCCGUUACUUAUUAUCGUUAUUAUUAUUAUUAUUUUAUUCAUUAUUUCUAAAAAUUCUGCCUUCGAAUGAUUUCCAGGAUUUCCAAUUUUUAUAAUUCAAUUUCCAUAGUUUCUGCUUCUCAAAUAACUUUCAAUUCUGAUUUCUUUCAAAAUCUAAUUUCCAAGGACCUAAUUUUCGUAAUUUAAUUUUUUUAAAAUCCUGAACUCUCAAAUCAUUUUCAAAAUUUCAAUCUCUUUGAAAUUUAAUUUCUAAAAUUCUUAUUCUCAUAUUUAAUUUCUAAAAGUCUGAUCUUCAAAUAAACUCUAAAACUCCAAUUUUCAAGUAAUCUUUGAAACUCCAAUUUUUCAAAUAAAUUUCAAAAAUCCAAUUUUCUCUCAAAUAGUUUUAAUUCCACUCUGGUUUUCAAACAAUCUUCUGCUCCUCUUGAUUUUAAUAAGCAUGAAUGAAUUUUUCAUAAUUCCAGAAUAAUGGAAUCUGUGAUAUUAAUUCAUGCAAAAUAAACGGGUUUUGGUGGGGGCCCUACAUAAGUGAUUUUUAUGAUUGAUUGAUUGAUUGAUUUGAUUAUUGCACAUGAUUGAUUCAUUAUGCUCUAUGACAUGCAUGAGAUUAUUCUUUUAAUUGUGCACUGAUCCCAUUUUUAAGAUAGCGCAUUGCUCGUUCGUGGCCCAAGUACGCAUCCACUCCUAUUCUGGUCAUUCUCUAUUGCAUGUUUUGAUUCCCAUAUGUGCUUAAUCGAUUUGAGUAUCCAUUGAUUUUCCUAUUGAUUGCCACGUUAGCUUCAUUUUAUUAGUAGAGACUCGACUUUAAGGACUUAAAGGGGUGCUACGGCCUUUACCGUACCUUCCCGAUGAGUAACCUGACCCCCGAGCCCGAUAUGAUUUUUCACAGACCACCUUUUCCAAAAUAAGGAGUUACACUAAGGGUUUUCUUUCUUAUUUUGUUUACCCUUUUAAAAAUAAAACAAAAAUAAGUGGCGACUCCAAGUCAUUUUCUAAUAAAUAAAAUCAUUUUUUAAACAAAAAUCGAGCUUACCAUCGAGUGAAAAUGGAUGAGCCGAAAUGUGGGGUCCACAAAAUGGUGAUUCCACUGGGGAUAGAGAGGGCGUAACUUGAAAUUAAGAUGAAGCAAAUGUGGCAUUUGAUGAGUCAAUCAGUGGGUACCUGUCUCUUGAUUACACAUUGAGGGUUCCCGAGUUUUCACUUGGGACGUUGGCAUGUUGAUCAUGUUCGUUGAUGUCUUGAUUGAUGAUCUUGAUAUAGUGUUGCUUUUUGUGCUUCAUUUGCCAUAUUCGUUUGAGAUAUUGACAUGCUGAUUGCCUAUUUUUGUUUCGCUUAGCAUAGUGAUCCUGAUAUUUGCCAUGAUUUUUUUUAUCUCCUUGCAUGUAUGAAUUCAUCGUUGUACAUCAUUUGACUUGACAUGUUGAUUCUCUAGCUUGUAUAUCCUCUUGAUCGUCUUUGAGCAUGAUGUAUAUAUGUAUCACUUUUCAUCCAAUCGUCAUAGCUUGUAUGUGUGCAUGAGUGGAAUAUCCUGCACUCUACUUGACCGCAUGUUGCAUGGCUGCCCUCCCUCUGCAUGAUUGCAUGUCGCUUGUCUAUGUGGGUCGCACUUCUAUCCCCCUAUCUCUAACUUUCUUGGUCUCGAUCAUUCCUUUCAUUCCGGUUCUCACUAUUGUAAGUGUGAGGCCUUCUGCAUGCUUGCUCUCUGACCGAGCCAGAGAUUAGGAGUAGGGUCUAGCGAUGGGCUAUAUCAAUGUACGAGAGCAUUCUAGAGGAGAGCAACACUUUGUUGUCGAUUGGAGUCCGAUCAUUGAAGACUUGUAUAGCCCUGAGCUAGUUCAUGGAUAUUUGUGUGGCUAGUGUGUUUCCUUUCCUGCUUUAGCUUCAUAGGGUUAUUGGAUGCACCCACACUAUUCACUGUGCACUUUAGUUUACCACUAAGUGUUGAGAGUUUGAGAGGUUUCACCAUAGGAAACCCCCUAGGAUGUCGAGGUAGUGCAUGUGUGGAGGUGAUGACCACCUUGCAUGGAAGCACCCCGUCUCUUCAGAGGCAUGCAGAGGGUUGCAUACCGCCGAAGGGUAUGAUCGCUUCUGCUAGGGAUCUUUUAAAGUCCACUCAUAUCCAUUUAGAGCCAUCUUCAUCUCGUAGGUUGAGCCGUAGAUCCUUCGAUUAGGACCCAUCCCCUAUGUCUGAGUGGGGCAGCCCAGCGCUAGUUUGCAUCCCUAGAGUCUUCACGAUGUCGGACAUGGGACGACUUGGCCUAGGAGUUCUUACGACAGUUUUCAUUUAACACUGUCGUAGAUGUAUCGAGGAGAGAGCUCGAGGCUCUGAGACAAAGGACAGAUGAGUUCGUUUCAUCAUUUAUCUCCCGUUGGCGCGGAAAGAUUGCCGAGAUCAUCGAUAGGCCUCCAGAGAGGGAUCAGAUACAGAUGGUUUUGAGGAGCCUACAACCUAGGAUUGCCAGAUACGUGGUCGGGGUACCCUUCACAGAUUUUGGUUCAUUAGUUUCGGCUUUGUACGAUGUCGAGUGUGGACCGAUUCUUCCCCUAGUGAUGUUAAAGGGAAGAAGCCCUUCGGGGGACAGAGGUAAAGGGAUGUGAGUGCCAUUAGUUCUUCCAGUCAGAGGCCUCUUAGACGUCAUCAGGCGGUCCCACGGCUUCCCGAGACUCAUCAUUCUUAUUCACCUCAACAGUAUAGGUCGUGAGCGCCUCGUCCAACUUAUGAUCAGUUCUACGUGCCACAGACUUUGGCUUUGCCUUAUUAUGCCACCCAGGGCAUUGAGAGACCCUCAGUUUCCUACACAGCCACAAGACAGCCAUGCUAUGCUGCUUAGUUCACUGCGAGACCCACAACGCCUUAUCCCCGACCCAGAGCUCAGCAGAGUUCUGCUCCAUUUGCUUUGAGGACACAAAGGCAGUUCUCGCAGUUAGGCAUGCCGUUAAGCCAGGCCCUUUGGAAGCUCACAAAGGCAAGGUUGUUGACUGCUCUCACUCCCAAGUCGCCACCUCAGCCGAUUCCACCACAGUUCAGGAUGGAUUUGCACUGUGCAUACCAUCAGGGGCCUGGACAUGAGACCGAUCAUUGUACAGCUCUCAGACAUGCCGUCCAAGAUUUGAUCGACCAAGGUUUGGUACACUUGGGUCAGCCGAGUGUGACCACAAACCCGUUACUGACCCACACCACACAUGCAGUUCCUCUACCAGCCGAUGAUAUUCAUUUCUUGGACUUUGAUGAGAUCAAUGACCACAUCCACAUGUUGAGUGGGGACGAUUCAGACCCAGAACCCAUCAUGCUAGAUGUGAUUUAUGAGAUGAGUGGGGUGACUCUAGGGCCUCGGAUUCCCGCUCCAUUCCGAUUAGUUCCUAAGGCAGCAUCUAUAUAGGUGACCACUUCUAAGCCUCUGACUUUCACACAUUAUAGCGUUCAGAGGCCAUUCAUCUUGAUCCCGGAUGUUGAGGAGGUUCAGGCUCCGCCUGUUGAUGAUUCUCAGACUCUGGAUGUUCAGUAUAUUCUCUAAGGAGGUAGAGUGAUGCGACAACCACCUCCCGUGGCAGCUAGGCCAGUUGAGGGUACAUCCACUCCCAAGGAGGUCAGAGUAGAGGAUGACGAGAUUUUGAGGCAGUUAUAGAGCACUCAGGCCCGUAUUUCCAUCUGGAGUUUGUUGGCAUCCUCAAGAACUCACUGUGAUGCAUUAAUUCGAGCCCUGAGCCAGAUCAGAUUUGAGAACACCACCACUCCUGAGGGUUUGAUUCACAUGAUGACAGCUGGUCAAGCCACAUGCAUCGUAUUCUCGGAUGACGAUUUGCCACCGGAGGGCUUGGACCACACUCGUCUGCUUUAUAUAUCUGUCGAUUGUUCGGGUCGUCGAGUCCUAUCUAUCCUUCUGGACAAUGGCUCGGGCCUAAACGUCUGUCUGUUGGCCACCGCCAUUGCCCUCAGCUACGCACCAUCUGAUUUCGGUACCUCCACUCAGACCGUUUGCGCGUAUGACAAUACUCGGAGGGAGGUCAUGGGUACACUAGAGAUUGAGCUACUGAUUAGUCCGACCACUUUUGUCGCCGUGUUUUAGGUUUUGAGGAUUCCUACAUCCUUUAACCUGCUUCUAGGUCGACCAUGGAUCCAUAGAGUUGGGGCCAUUCCUUUUUCCCUUCAUCAGAAAGUGAAGUUUAUUCAUGAUGGCUAGGUCGUCGUGGUGCAGUCUGUGAGGGAUAUGUUCAUUUCGGCCGAGCCUGUACUCGAGAUUAGUCACACUGAUGAUGAUAUUUUUCUGACCAGAUUUACCUUUGAUGAGGUGCAGACCGUGGAGAUAGAGGAUCUCUGUCGAAAUUUCGUAGCCAUGUCCUUUAACCAGCAUAGUAGCAUGGUGGUGCUCGACAUGAUGAGGGGUAUGUCUUAUAUUCCCAGCAUGGGGUUAGGGCGACGUCAGCACGGGCCUAGUGAGUUCAUGACCUUCCUUGAUCACGACGAUGACUCAUUUUCUGUUUCCGAUUCAGAUCCCGUUGAUUAGAGAGUUUCGCCUGUUACAGGCGACAUAGAGACAGUUGAUUUCGGCACAGCAGAUCAGCCUAGGGAGUUGAGGAUCAGAUCAGAUUUAUUUACAGAUGAGAGGGAUAGCCUUAUCCAGUUGCUCAGAGUAUACUUGGAUCUUUUCACAUGGUCCUAUGAGGACAUGCCGGGCCUUAAUCCAUCUAUCAUCCAGCAUCGUUUGCCACUUCUGCCCCAUGCUAGACCGGUUAAGCAGAAGUUGAGACGGUUGCAUCCUCGUUGGAGCUUGUAGGUCAAGGAGGAGAUUCAGAAGCAGCUCCGUGUAGGAUUUUUAUCAAUGGUCGAGUACCCGGAGUGGCUGGAAAAUGUCGUCCCUAUUCCCAAAAAGGAUGGCAAGGUGAGAGUCUGUGUUGAUUUUCGAGAUCUCAACAAGGCCAGUCCUAAGGAUGAUUUUCCUCUUCCACACAUUGACAUGCUAGUUGACAGUAUGGCAGGUCAUUUAAUGUUGUCCUUUAUGGACUAAUUUUUCGGGUACAGUCAAAUCUUGAUGGCUCCAGAGGACAUGGAGAAGACGUCCUUCAUUAUGGAGUGGGGUACUUAUUGCUAUAGAGUCAUGCCGUUCGGAUUGAAGAACGCAGAAGCCACCUAUUAGAGAGCAGCGACCAUUCUCUUCCAUGACAUGAUGCAUCGGGAUGUCGAGGUUUAUGUAGACGACAUGAUAGUGAAAUCCCGAGACAGAUCAGAUCACUUAGCAGCUUUGGAGAGGUUCUUUGAGAGGAUCCGACAGUUCAGAUUGAGACUGAACCCCAAAAAGUGCACUUUCAGAGUGACUUUUGGGAAACUCUUAGGGUAUAUGGUCAGUGAGAGAGGCAUAGAGGUAGAUCCGGAUAAGAUCAGAGUCAUCCUUGACAUGCCAGCACUGAGGACAGAGAGAGAGGUUAGAGGCUUCUUGGGUAGACUUCAGUACAUCAGCAGAUUCAUUGCUAGAUUGACAGACAUCUGUGAGCCCAUUUUUCGACUCUUGAGGAAAAGUCAACAUACUGUUUAGGAUGAUCAGUGUCAGCGUGCAUUUGAGAGGAUAAAAGAGUACUUUUUGUCACCUCCAGUCUUGGCGCCUCCUACGUCAGGCCGUCCCUUACUCUUAUAUCUGUCAGUUUUAGAUGUAGCAUUGAGAUGCAUGUUGGCUCAACUUGAUGAUUCGGGCAAGGACCGAUCCAUUUAUUAUCUGAGUAAGAGGAUGCUAGGCUAUGAGACGAGGUAUGUCAUGAUUGAACGCUAUUGUUUGGCAUUGGUUUGGGCCACUCGCCGACUGAGACAUUACAUAACCGAGUAUUCAGUGCAUUUGAUAUCCCGUCUAGAUCCUCUGAGAUAUUUGUUUGACAGGCCCGCCUUAGUUGGUCACCUUAUAAGAUGGUUGGUACUUUUGACUGAGUUUGACAUCCAUUAUGUCACUCAGAAGUCCAUCAGAGGGAGCAUUGUCGUGGAUCACCUAGCAUCAUUACCAGUUUCCAACGGCAGAGCCAUUGAUGAUGACUUUCCAGACGAGGAUGUCGUUGCUGUGACCAAUUUAUCAGGUUGGCGUAUGUUCUUUGACGGUGCAACCAACCAUUCUGGAUACGGGAUAGGUGUCUUGUUGAUAUCCCCUCAUGGCGAUCAUAUUCUUAGAUCUACUCGUUUGGUAUUCUCGGAUCGACAUCCUGCCACGAACAACAUUGUUGAGUAUGAAGAUUGUAUCUUAGGAUUGGAGACAGCCCUAGAGCUCGGGAUUAGACAGAUGGAGGUAUUUGGUGACUCCAAUCUGGUAUUGAGACAGAUUCAGGGCGAGUGGAAGACUAGAGAUGCAAAGCUUAGGCCUUACCACACGUAUUUAGAGCUACUGGUCGGGAGAUUUGAUGAUUUGAGAUACACACAUCUGCCUAGAGCGCAGAACCAGUUUGUUGAUGCCUUAGCUACUAUGGCUUCCAUGAUUGACAUUCCUGCUGAUGCCACUGUUCGCCCAUUGUUAAUCGAGUCGAGAUCUGCUCCUGCGUACUGUUGUCUGAUUGACGAUACGGAGAUAGACAAUGGUCUGCCCUGGUACCAUGACAUAUAUCACUUUAUGAGACUUGGAGCAUAUCCUGAGGCUGCCACGGCCAAGGAUAGGAGAGCACUGAGACAGUUAGCCGCCCGAUUCGUGAUUUGUGGUGAGACGCUAUAUAGACGAUCAGUUGACGGGAUGCUAUUAUUGUGCUUGGACCUAGCCUCUACCGAUCGAGUGAUGAGAGAGGUUCAUGCGGGAGUCUAUGGACUACAUAUGAGAGGACAUAUGUUAGCCCGUAAGAUCAUGAGGACUGGCUAUUUCUAGUUGACCAUGGAGACGGAUUGUUGUCAGUUUGUUCAGAGAUGCCCCGAGUGUCAGAUACACGGAGAUCUCAUUCACGUGCCGCCCUCCGAGUUGCAUGCACUGACUUCACCAUGGCCAUUUUCGGUAUGGGGUAUUGACAUCAUCGGGAAGAUUUCACCGAAAUCUUCUAGUGGUCAUGAGUUCAUCCUGGUCACCAUCGAUUACUUCACCAAGUGGGUGGAGGCUGCUUUGUAUGCGAGAUUGACAUCAUCUAGAGUUGCUAGUUUCAUCUGAUCACACAUUAUCUGUCGCUAUGGAGUCUCUCAUGAGUUGAUUUCGGAUAGAGGGGUACAUUUCAGGGUAGAGGUUGACACCUUAGUGCAGCGAUAUGGCAUCCGACAUCAUAGGUCGUCUGCGUACAGGCCGUAGACGAACGGGGCAGUAGAGGCCGCGAAUAAGAAUAUCAAGAGGAUAUUACGGAGGAUGGUCGAGACUUCUCGGGAUUGGUCAGAGAAGCUCCCAUUUGCAUUGUGGGCUUAUCGGACUUCUUUUCGCACCUCUAUAGGAGCCACACCCUACUCAUUGGUAUACGGCAUGGAGGCGGUGCUACCCGUUGAGAUUGAGAUGGGUUCGUUGAGAGUAGCACUAGAGCAGUAGAUUCCUGAGGCAGAUUGGGCUUAGACUCAAUUUGAUCAGCUCAAUCUCCUAGAUGAGAGGGAUUGAGAGCAGCAGACCAUGUUCGUGCAUAUUAGAGGAAGAUGGCCCGUGCUUUUAAGAAACGGGUUAAGCCCAGGCCAUUAAGGAUAGGUGACUUGGUUUUGAAAGUCAUCAGGGGAUUGAUCAGAGAUCUUAGAAGGAAGUUCAAAACCAAAUGGAGCGGACCUUAUUUCAUUAGGGAGUUGACCCCAGAGGGCACCGCAUGGUUGAUGGAUUUAGAUGGAAACCGAUUCUCAGAGCCGACCAAUGUGGAUCAGCUAAAGAGGUACUAUGUUGAGACCAUGGUCGCAGGAUGGGUGGCCAUCAUUUCGGUUAGCCGUAUACCUUGUUAUUCCUUUUUGAUACAUAGUCCAUUGCUAGCCCAUUGAGCCUCGCAUGCGCAUUAUAGUCUUUCUUUCUUAUCGCCUUGCUCACAUUUUCACACCGGGAUAGGGGCCCUUUAGUAUAUGCAUGCAUUGUUUGGGAGUUUCAUGAGCCUUGGACCUAGGGGCACGUUCUUCUCAUUAUCUUUUUGUGGACCUGCAUUUUUCAUGUGCGUCCCCACUCAAUCUACGAGACUCUCUUUUUAUUUGUGAAAAAUUAAUUUUGGAAAAAGUCGGAGUCGCCACUUAUUUUAUUUUUAUUUUAAGGGGAAAAUAAAACAAGAAAGAAAAACCCUAAAAUGUGACUCCAUAAUUUUUGGAAAAAACAUGUCUUUGAAAAACCCGAGUCUAGGUCCUUGGAUCAGGUUACUUAUUGGGAAGGUACCUCUAGGAGAUAACACCCCUUUAAGCCCUACAAAGGUCUCUACUGAUUACGUUGAAGGAAAUGUGGCAAUCAACUAAUUAAUUAAGGGUACCUAGGUAGGCUAAGGUGAUUUCAAAACGAGCAUGCCAAACAAAGAAAAACCAAUCACGCCCAUAAAGGAAAGUUAGGAUGCGUACCUGGACCACUUCUUAAGCGCUAUCAUAAAACAUCAAUGGUUAGUUUAGAUAAUAUAUCACUUAACAUGCGUUUUAUCAUGAAUGAUCAAACAAUGUAGCAAAUAUCAAGACAUCCCAAGCGUUCUCAGACAUAGGUAUAAUUCAUGAUGACAAUCAUAUUUACAAAAUUUAGAAGGUAGGUGACAGGAGACAUACCUGGAUAGCAUAGAUAACUUGUAACGUGCUUCCACAAAACAUGAGAGGUUAGAUAACAAACAAUAAAAUAAAAAGUCCUAGCAUGCUUGUUAUCUAAUUAGCAUAGAAAAAAAAAUUAUCAUAGUAUACAAAACCAUCAAUUAUCACUAAUAUCUUCUAUAUAAUUUCUAAAAAAUAAAUAGACAUGAGUUCAUCAAAUAGCAAAGGGGUCAACAAAGAUGAGUUUUGAAAAAUUUCCUUUUGUAGGGGUUUCACCAAUUCCCCGAUUGAUAUACACAAAUCUAGCCUGGAAUUAUCCCAUUUAUUUGGGACCACAAGCUUUGAUUCGUGUUUUGUUCAAAACCAAAAUUUUCAUUGAAAAUUGAGAAUGAUGCAAACUAAUCAAAAAAAAAAAAAAUGAUUGCCUAUUAUUUUAAGAAAAUGAGAUUUCAAUUCUAAGGACUCUAAAUGAGUUUUUGAAAUGGGUUUUUUAAAGGGAUCUUUUGAAAAAAGUGUUAUAUAUUAAAAUAAGAGAAAUUAAUUUGAGAACCAUGAAACAUAUGAGAAACAGAAUACCAAGCAAAAAAAAACGGAAACAAAAUCAUGAAAUAAAAUUUUUGGCAACCAAGCAAGCAUAAAUGGUGUGAGUGGAGGCCAAUCUUCAUUAUUUUCUAAUAGCUUCCGAAAAUCAAAGUAAAGAUAAGAUUAUUAUAGCAACUGACCAAAGAUAUUUAGAUCAAGUAAACUAACAUUUUAACAAAUCCAACUUUCAAUUUGACACCAAAAAUUACAUGCUAAUACCUUAAAAAAAAAAAAUUUACUUUCAUUCUAUUAUUAAGAACUAUGGAAAACAAGUGUCUAAAAAAAAUUCUAUCUUUAAAAUGAUCACCAAGAGUAAUAAUAAUAAAAAUAAAUAAAGACUUUAAGAAAAUCUUAAACCAGCAUAGAUAAUCAAGAACUAAUUGUUGGAAUUUCUAAUACGUCUAAACUUAAGAUAAAUUAAUCAAGCGCUUAUAAAUGAGUUUUAAAAUGAAACUAAUAAUACGAGAUUAUCACAAAUUAUCAACUUAGUUUCAAAGAAAUAAUAAACGUCAUCGGGAUCGCCUAAACAACGUCUAAUAAUUUAAAGAACAACAUAUAAUAGCAUAGAUCAUCAAAAAUCAAUAACUUAUUGCUCAAAGACGAAUAUAAAUUAACAUAGAAUUUUAAAAUUAACUAUUAAGGAUUCUAGAAAAAUAAAAAUCAACAUGGAUCGAUAAAAAUUAACAAUUUUAAAAACAACUCAAAUUUACGGAUCAAUCAAGACUGAAGUUUAAAAAUUAAAAACAUGGAUUUAAUCAAAUGGUCCAAUAAGGAUAAUAACCUAUAAUCCUAAAAAUGUAACCUAAAAAAAAAUCAAAACUUGGAAUCCCUACAAUGGUAUUCCAUACAAUUAAAUAAUUCUUAAAUUUAAACUCAAUCAAUUGAAAACAGAAACUUAGAAUCGAGUCGAUAAUAAUUAAUUUAUUUAGUUAAAGUUCUCAAUAAAAAUCAAAACUCAAAACCAACAAAUUAAUCAAUCAAGAAUUCUCAAGUAUGCCAUGUCGUUAUACAACUAGAUGGAUGCCAAAAUUAGAAAUCAUAGAAUUCCAAAGCAAGUCAUUAACUAAAAUAUACAUGAAAUAAUCAAUUUGUAAUAAAAAAAAUUAAUCAUGAACCGCACCUUCAAUACACAAACCAAGGUGCUGUCCUGCUCCUACUGGUGGCGCAGGUUGAUGACUCACUGAUGACACACAAUACACAAAUUAAAGAGAUGAUUGACCUGAGACUGCAACUCUUCAAGUUGCUUUUUCCUGCGCUGGCGCGAAUAUUCUGGCAGAGUCUCUAUUGGGUUGCAGCCGCUUAUGCUUAUUCUCAUCUGCAGCACUCAGUUGGCACCCUUUCUCUAGCCGGUUAUGCUCGCUACCAAGCGACCUGAAUGGUGUGUGGCUGCUGUGAUGCUUGGGGGUAUGUGGCUACGAGUCCUAGCGUGGAAUUGGUGCUGGAAGUGCUGCCCAUGGAGGCUCCAUUUGUGCUUGUGUGGGUUCAUGCGUGCAUGGCAGCUUUAAUGUAUCGCCCACUUAAGGUGGCCUUGUGGGCUACCAUCAAUGGAGGAAAAAAGGUGGCUAUGAGGCGUCAACCCUCCUCAUGCAGUCCGCACAGCCACCUCUUAAUCAAUAUAAAAAAAAUCGCCUCAAGAAUUCCUUCACCAAAACUGUUGAAUCUCCCCCGAAAAACCUCAAAAAGCCUCACCCAAAAAAAACCUCCCUAUGUGGACCUUCCUUCUCCCUCGAAAUGGUGCCUCUCUCCUCUCCCUAGAAUGGUGCGGCUGCACCUUCCUUUUUCUCUUUUUAUGCAAUGCAUGCCUUCCUUUUAGUGCCUGGUCUCAAUAUUGAAUCCCCUUGCUAUUUGUGCCUCUAAUUAGAAAAUCAUAAAAUCUCGCAUUUCUUCCCAUGUAUCUGUCCGUUCAUGGAGAUUGCGUCUCUCCAAAAAUUCCUUUUUGUAUGGAAAUUUCCAUAUAUUCUUCUAUGGGCAGCAACUUCUUCCUCUUCCUUGUGGCCGUGUUUUCCUUAUAUGCAUGGUGGAGGUAACUUUAUAAAUAAUGCAGCUGUCACUUUCCUUUCUCUAAAAUUUCGGUGAUCUUCCUUCCAAAUAGAUGGUAAUUACUACUCAAAAAGUGCUAUUUUAUAGCUUGUAAUUAACUCUUUUAAACACUUUUGAGUAGUAGUUAUUACCUUUUAACUCAAUUGGCAUGUUAAGGACCCUUGCAAUCAAUUCUAAUCAAAUUGUGUUAAGUUUUUGUGUUUUGAUAGCUUUUUGAUCACCAAAGCAAUCCGAGAUUGAGGAGAGUUAUUUGGAAUCCAUGGCAAAGCAAUGGAAAGCUUAGAAACAUGAAGAACCGAAUCUUUGAAGUCCUUUGCCAUAAGCAAAUCCGGAAUGCAAGGAGGGGAAGCAAAGAGAAAUCUGCCAUGAAGCAUUCUUGAUGACAGUCAUGUCAGCCACUUUUGGAGCACUUCCUGGAGUCCAAUUUAUGCAUUCUAUAUGUCGUUUCGAAGCUCAGGAAGUUAACAAUCCAAUUCUUUAAAUGGUGUACGAUUCGGAGUUGAAAUGAAGGAGUUACAACCAUUGUAAGCCGAUCACUCCAAGCUAAAGGAAGAAUUUUUCACGACUGCGAAAUCACCCUUUUACUGCGAAAUGAUUUCGCAGCCAUUUUGCACAAUGCUGUGGAAUUUCUCCUGAAGUUUCCCGAUAUUUGCGACCGACACUUUUGGAUAUUUUGCUUCAGACUUUUGAUGUCUAAAUCCCCAUUUUCUCCUUGUAACCCACCAAUUAUAGGAUUCCUUAGUUAUUAAGUUUGGAAAAAGGGUGAAUAACCUGAGAUAUUUUUGUUUUGUAAUUUUCUAUAUAUAUAGAUCUCGGGAGCCUGUUCUCAGGGGUAGGAGGAUGAGGAAGACGCAUCCUUUGUACAGUUUUGAAAGGAAGAAAUAUAUUUUACAGAGCACUUGCUCUAUUUUUCCUAUAUAUUUUUGUUUUCUCGUUAUUUUUAUUUCUAGCCAAUCAAACUCUGAGGAUUUUUCCUCAGAGGAUGAGCGGCUAGGCUCUUUGUCUCUUGGAGUGAGGAAAGUCGGGUAAGUUUCCACAUGCAUAAAUUGGAAGUUUUGUUGUUUUAGUUUUUAAUGAAGAGAAAGUGUGACCCGUUAAUGGUUUUUAUCUUUUUAGUUAACUUAAAACGCCUUCAAUUCACCUGAGCCAACACUUGGUAAGACAAGUGAUCUCCGUCCUUGGAGAUGCACUAGUUUAUCUCUUGCGAGCUUCUGGGAGGUGACUUGAAGGUAGGAUUUUCUAGAAUAGCCAACACUUGGUAAGCUUUUGGACUCCAAGGAGACAUCCAUUAGUUAUCUCUUGCGAGUUUUUGACGGGUAAUCCAAGGUUAAAGAUCACCUUGAAUGGCAAGUGCUAGGUGAAAGGUAUGAGCCAUUGCAAGGUGCAUCAGUGAGAGGGAUUUAGUGUUUGAACCCAUUAAAGGGAAGCAUCUGUACAACACCGGUUGGAUAAGGAACUAUAUGUUAAUUCUCUAAUGCGAGGAAAAGAAACAAGUGACCGGAACUCCCUUUUUGUAUGAGGAAUCUGAGCCUAGUGAUCUGAAACUCCAAGAAACACUUUUCUUUGUAGUUAAAAUCAGUUACUAUUUUUGGUUAGCUUAAAACCAACCUUUUCAACCAAAAAUUAUGUUUUCUUUUAAAGCUAACCUUGAAAUGAAAAGGCACCAAUUCAGCUUUGAAUUAAUAUCAAUUGUGAAGUGAAAACCCAUCCCAGUGAACGAUCCUAAAGCCACUAUGCUAUAGUAGCUUUGUCUUUGCUACCCUAGUUCAUGGUGUAAUAGGUUAUAAAUUUUGUUGAUUACUCCCUCAAUCAAGGAGCACCAGCUGGACACGAAUCAGCUGAGACACCAAUUGGGCACGAAUCAAAUGGUGUUGUUGCCGGGGAGCUAGAAAUGAAGAAUAUGCAAGAAGUGCAAGCCAUCUCUCAAACACCAUUGCUACCUAUGCCUUGUUCCAUUUUUCGAUCAUAUGAGCACUUGGUGGAUGAGUGUCCUACCAUUCCAGCCGAGAGGGAAAUGUUUGGUGAUUGCAACACCUACAAUUCCAAUUGGAGGGACCAUCUAAAUUUCUCUUGGAAACCACAGCCGCCUCAGUACAAGCAACCCGCUCAAGCACCACAGCAAGCCUCAAACCUUGAACAAGCUAUGAUGAAUCUUAACAAGGUCAUGGAAGACUUUGUUGAAGCUAAAAAAUCCAUCAAUGCUCAGCUCAGUCAAAGAAUUGACAGUGUAGAGAGUUCAUUGAACAAAAAGAUGGAUAAAGUGCAAAAUGAUCUAUCUCAGAAGAUAGAUAAUCUCCAAGAUUCAAUAUCAAGGUUUGCCAACCUCGACACAGUGCAAGAGAAAGAAAACUUUCCUUCUCAACCUCAUCAAAAUUCCAAGGGUAUCCAUCAAGUGGAGGCUCGAAAGGGAGAAUCUUCAAUGGUGAAGGAAGUUAAAAUGGUUAUCACUUUGAGGAGUGGUAAAGAGGUUGAUCUGCCCACAUCCAAGCUAGAGCAUAAGGAAGAGAGUGAAACAGAGAAAGAAAAGAGGGAGGAAAUCAAAGGAAAGAAAAAGGAGAAAAACAUAGAGAAAGAUGACUAUAUAGAUGAAAAACCACAGAGGAUAGUCAUCAAGGAAGAAAUGAAGAAACACAUGCCUCCACCUUUCCUCCAAGCUUUGUAUGGGAAAAUCAUACAAACCAAGUCUCAAGUGGAGGAUGCAAACUUCAUAUGGGAUCCGGGCAAGCUAAAUCAGGAUCAAAUUUUUUGAUGGACUUAGUCUUUUUAAAGACUAACUAGUCCAUAUCUUUUUGUUUUGUUUUUUACUUAUUUUAAUUUUGAUUUCAAUGCUUUAAUUCUAAUUUGUUUUGAUGUAAUAUAGGUUUUUGGAUGAUCAAAAUCAGGAGGAAUUGCAAAGAAAUUGAAAUGAAGUCUUUCGGAGCAAAAACAGGGGUCUACGAGAUUUCGAAACCUCUGCGAAAUCAGCACUUUGCUGCGAAACCAGUUCACAGCCUCAAGCCCCUCUCUGCGAAAAUUUUCGCAAUUGCGAAACCAUUUUUGGCACACAAGUGUCAUUUCGCAGCAUAGUGACCCUCAUUUCGCAGCUGCGAAGUCCCAAAACGUGAAAAAUCCCAAUUUCGCAGCCAAAGCUCCAUUUCACAGGGUAUUUCGCAGCUGCGAAACCAACUUUUGGCACACAAGUUCCAUUUUGUAGCACAGUGACCCUCAUUUCGUAGUUGCGAAACGGCUGCGAAAGCCAAAAAAAAAAAAAUUUCCAAUUUUCGCAGCCCAAUCCCCAUUCCACAGGGUAUUUCACAGCUGCGAAACCAUUUUUUGGCACACGAGUGCCAUUUGGAAGCCCCGUACACUCAUUUCGUAGUUGCAAAAUGGCUGCGGAACCUCAACACCUUAAAAUCCUUCAGCGCGCACACCAUGAGCUGACAUGUCACAACCGCACCCCCAUUUCGGCAAUUGUUGGACACAUCUUGAUCACUUCCUGAAGUUCAUUUCCUACAUACAUUAUAUCGUUUAAAAUCUUGGGAAGUCAGGAGUCCAUAGCUUCAAACGGUAUGCCAUUUGGAGGUGAAAUGAAGAAGUUAUGGUCGUUUGAAAAAGAGCGCGCAAAGCUGAGCGGGAAUUUCGCAGCUGAGACGCCAUUUGGAAGGGUGUUUCGCAGCUGCGAAACAACUUUUUGGCACACGAGUGCCAUUUUGCAGCGCCGUACGCUCAUUUUGCAGCUGCGAAAUGGGCUGCUAAAAUAUUUCUCCGCUGCGAAAUCACCUUUAAGCUGCGAAGUCACCUUUAGGUUGCGAAAUGGUCUGCGAAAAUGCCACUUUGCUGCGAAAUGAUCUCCAAGCUUCGAAAUGGCUGCGAAAUGACCUCCAAGCUUAGAAAUGGCCUUCAAAUUUCGAAAUUGACUUGCGAAAUGGAGGAAGGUUUGCAAAAACACCUUGCAAAGCCAAGGGAAGUUGCUAAAAUGCCAUCAGAGCCCCGCGACCAUGCAUCUGAAGAGGAGAGCCCCGCGCACCUUGAGAUCACACACACAAAGUCUCUCACUCCAUUAUUGACCUCCUUAAACCAUCAAAUCCCAUAGCUCCAGCUGAGAGCUCCAGCUGAGGAGACUAUGCCACCUAAGGAGACUAUCAGAACAGAGGUCAAAAUCCUGAUCCAACCCACUCAAGAGGCCACCAUAGUUGCAUCAGCUCCACAGGACCCUACCAUUACUUGAUCAUCUCUUUACUUUUGUCUUUACAUAUUAUAUUAGUGUAAAUAAUUUCAUGUUUUGAUGUUUUAUAUUCUGGGAUUGGAUGUAUUACUGAUGAUACAUCAUAUAUAGACAUCAUUUUUGUUUAAACUUGGCAUUUUUUUAUUAUUUCCUCUACUCACUAACUCUUAUGUUUUCUUUGAAACAUGUGGUUUCUCCUAUACGACUCAGACUCCAUGUCACUCAAGAGGUACCACUUCCUUCCUAUUUUUCAAUCGAUUUUGUCACAUUGAGGACAAUGUUCAGCUUAGUUGGGGGGAGAGUUGAGGAAGUAAGUAUUGUUAAUAAUGCUAAGUUAUUUUGGUAAUUUAGUUGUUUUUUGCUUAAUUUUUAAAAAAAUUUUAAAGUUUUUAUUCUACUCUCCAUGGUUAUUAAGGAAAAAUUUUCAAAAUGAAAAGGGAGAAAUUGAAUUUUUGUCUUUUUACUUGACUUAGAGUUUGUAUUAUGGUUACUAAAGUUGAUGAAUUGUUGAAACUUCUAUUGAAUUCAACCUUAGUUCUUCCACUUUAAGCUAUUCACACACUGUGCACAAUAGGUUCCGAGUAUAAGGUGAAAAACUAUUUCCCUCUUGACUUAGGAAAAUUUUAGACUUGGUACCUUUGACCUUAUUUAAUAGUGUUGGGACACCUUAUAAAAGGCCAAUGAGUCUUUGAAGAAAAAAAAGAAAGAAAGAAAAAAUGUUUGCUUGCCUUGAAACCCGAGCAAGGUCUGAGGGGUAUAUGGUGAAAAUCUUUAAAACCUGGUGCCCUAAGCCUUAAUUGGUUGGGAGUCACCGACCUCAAUGCUCGUUACAAGGGUGGAUAGGUGGAUUUUAACAUACUGUAGGUGCUUGGGUAUUAAAAUUCAUUCUCAAAAGUUCGGGGUAAAAUCCGAGGAGUUAGUGGUUGAAAGAUCCUUAAAACUUGAUGCCCUAAACCUUAAUUGGUUGGGAGUCAUCGAUGGACCCCCGUUACAUGGACAAUUUAGAAAAGAAUACCUUUAAGCCUUGUACUCCUACAAUGAAAAAAAAUUUUGUGAGAAAAGAGGUGCGUUCUUAGCCUAUUGGAGGUUGAUUAGUUUGCUAAGUUUUGAAAAAAAAACUAGGUUGGGGGGAGAGAUUAGUUCAACAUACUAUAUUCGGAAACUAAUAAAUAACACUUAGAUUUUUGUGGAAGAGUAAGGUUUGACCCUUUGGGAGUGGAAACUCUUUUAAAGCUUAAAUUUGCAUAAUGCCUUCUCUUUAAGAAUUGUGAUUAGACAAGUUAUUUGAUAACUCUUGUUGAAGUUUGAGUUUUAUUUCUUUAAUGUUCCAUGUGAGAGUUAGAUCAUCAUGCCACUUUAGAAUUGUUUUUUUGAUUAGUAUGAUGUUGUAAAUUAUAGUAUUGUUUAUUUUUAUUUUUCUCUCCUUCAUUGCUAAGGGACUAGCAAUAUGUCGGUUGGGGGAAGUGAUUACUACUCAAAAAGUGCUAUUUUAUAGCUUGUAAUUAAUUCUUUUAAACACUUUUGAGUAGUAGUUAUUACCUUUUAACUCAAUUGGCAUGUUAAGGACCCUUGCAAUCAAUUCUAAUCAAAUUGUGUUAAGUUUUGGUGUUUUGAUAGCGUUUUGAUUACCAAAGCAAUCCGAGAUUGAGGAGAGUUAUUUGGAAUCCAUGGCAAAGCAAUGGAAAGCUCAGAAACAUGAAGAACCGAAUCUUUGAAGUCCUUUGCCAUAAGCAAAUCCGGAAUGCAAGGAGGGGAAGCAAAGAGAAAUCUGUCAUGAAGUAUUCUUGAUGACAGUCAUGUCAGCCACUUUUGGAGCACUUCCUAGAGUCCAAUUUAUUCAUUCUAUAUUUCGUUUCGAAGCUCAGGAAGUCAACAAUCCAAUGCUUCAAACCGUACACUAUUCGGAGUUGAAAUGAAGGAGUUACAUCCAUUGGAAGCCGAUCACUCCAAGCUGAAGGAAGAAUUUUGCACGGCUGCGAAAUCACCCUUUUGCUACGAAAUGAUUUCACAGCCAUUUUGCACAGUGCUGUGGAAUUUCUCCUGAAGUUUCCCGAUAUUUGCGACCGACACUUUUGGAUAUUUUGCUUCAGACUUUUGAUGUCUAAAUCCCCAUUUUCUCCUUGUAACCCACCAAUUAUAGGAUUCCUUAGUUAUUAAGUUUGGAAAAAGGGUGAAUAACCUGAGAUAUUUUUGUUUUGUAAUUUUCUAUAUAUAUAGAUCUCGGGAGCCUGUUCUCAGAGGGAGGAGGAGGAGGAAGACGCAUCCUUUGUACAGUUUUGAAAUGAAGAAAUAUAUUUUACAGAGCACUUGCUCUGUUUUUCCUAUAUAUUUUUGUUUUCUCGUUAUUUUUAUUUCUAGCCAAUCAAACUCUGAGGAUUUUUCCUCAGAGGAUGAGCGGUUAGGCUCUUUGUCUCUUGGAGUGAGGAAAGCCAGGUAAGUUUCCACAUGCAUAAAUUGGAAGUUUUGUUGUUUUAGUUUUUAAUAAAGAGAAAGUGUGACCCGUUAAUGGUUUUUAUCUUUUUAGUUAACUUAAAAUGCCUUCAAUUCACCUGAGCCAACACUUGGUAAGACAAGUGAUCUCCGUCCAUGGAGAUGCACUACUUUAUCUCUUGCGAGCUUCUGGGAGGUGACUUGAAGGUAGGAUUUUCUAGAAUAGCCAACACUUGGUAAGCUUUUGGACUCCAAGGAGACAUCCAUUAGUUAUCUCUUGCGAGCUUUUGACGGGUAAUCCAAGGUUAAAGAUCACCUUGAAUGGCAAGUGCUAGGUGAGAGGUAUGAGCCAUUGCAAGGUGCAUCAGUGAGAGGGGUUUAGUGUUUGAACCCAUUAAAGGGAAACAUCUGUACAACACCGGUUGGAAAAGGAACUAUAUGUUAAUUCUCUAAUGCGAGGAAAAGAAACAAGUGACCGAAACUCCCUUUUUGUAUGAGGAAUCUAAGCCUAGUGAUCUGAAACUCCAAGAAACACUUUUCUUUGUAGUUAAAAUCAGUUACUAUUUUUGGUUAGCUUAAAACCAACCUUUUCAACCAAAGAUUAUGUUUUCUUUUAAAGCUAACCUUGAAAUGAAAAGGCACCAAUUCAGCUUUGAAUUAAUAUCAAUUGUGAAGUGAAAACCCAUCCUAGUGAACGAUCCUAGAGCCACUAUGCUAUAGUAGCUUUGUCUUUGCUACCCUAGUUCAUGGUGUAAUAGGUUAUAAAUUUUGUUGAUUACUCCCUCAAUCAAGGAGCACCAGUUGGACACGAAUCAGCUGAGACACCAAUUGGGCACGAAUCAGAUGGCAGCCCGUUUUUUAGAAAAAAAAAAAAAAAGUCUUCUUUCUAUCCUUCAUUCAACCGUGAUCUGCUUUCCUUUCUUUAACACUUUAAAUCUCCUUUCCAUCCUCCAUUCAAUCGUGAUCUGCUUUCCUUUCUUUAAGGAUAUAAAUCUUUUUUCCAUGUUGCAUAGAAUAUCCCCACAUAUAUGAAGUCGUGUACAUCAAGAAUCUUCUCCAAUGUGUGCAUUCAAAUCUCAUGCCAAAAUAAAAUAAGAAUUAAAAUUAGUAAAGGUCAUGAAAUUGAAAAUUAAAACUAAUUUAAAAUUAUGCAAUUAAAAACAUUAUGUCUAUCAUAGGUACACCAAAAUAAUUAAGACAUCGGUUUACGGAAUUAAUCAUCAAUCGCAUGCAAUAUUCUAUAAAUAAAUAAAAUAAAAGCAAAUAACUAACCAAAUAAUAAUAAAUAAGUAAAUAAAUAAAUAAAUAAAAUAAAUAGAUGAAUAAAUAGAAAUAAGAAAUCAAGUACAUGCAAGCGUUAAAAAUGCAAAUCAUGGAAAUUAUGCAAUUCAUGUAGGAAUUACCUAAAAGGUAACAUAGGUGGGCCAGGAUGCCUAAGUAGACCUAGCGAACCAAAGUGGGUCUAGAUGUGCCUAAAUGAGCCUAGGUGAAUUUAAGUGGGUCAAGGUGGACCUAAAUGGGCUAGGUGUAUCUAAAUGGGCCUAGAGUGCCUAAGUGGGCCUAAGUCUAAGUGAGCCUAAGUCUAAAUCAAGACUGCCAAGAAUCAUAAUAAGGGGUUAGGCAAUCCCUCAACCAAAGUCUCCGAGGUGGCUCAGAAAAAGUAAGUAGUAUGAGUAGCUAUGAUUCACCAAGGAACUACUGUAGAGCAUUGGAAAUGAACUUAAAGGCAUGUGCUAAAUGGACAAAAUUGAGGGUCUACACUUUUCUUAUCACUGCACCUCUACAUUUUCAUCUCAUCUCGUUGGUUGUGUUACUCGUCUCUUCUUCCUUAUCCUAUCUACUACUUGUUUUGUUUCAUAUUCUCUCCACCCUAAGUGGUGAUCCUCCUUAGUUUAUCACAUGGAGGAUAGUCACAUCAUUUCCACCAUCUAUCUCGCAAACAUUGGUUUAGAGAUCCUUAGUUUGAGAAGGUCAUCUUGUCAGAGAGAGUUUUUGUUGCUUUAGCACUUGAGAUGGUGUCCAUCCAUUAUCGACAUCAUCCUUGGGGUUCAUUUGUUCAUGUUCAGGGUAUGUGUAUUUGUAUAUAUGUAAAAAAUAAAAAUAAAAAAAAAUAAAAAAAAUGAAUGAAAAGAAAAGAAAAAAUAAGCACAUGUGUGUAUGUGCAUAGUAUUCUCAAUCAUUGAGUGUGUAUGUUGAUAUUUGAGGGUCAUUUUUAUCGAGUAUGGUUGUUAUUGAGAGUCUGUAUGUGAGCUCUCUAGGAUCCUAUGGUAUUUGUAUUUGCUUUGUCAUGUCUCUUUGAGAAUGAGAUGAGUGACCUUCUCCUAAGGACUCCGAGUCAUUGUACUUUCCAUCAUUACAUUCAUUAUUGAUGUGACUUCACUUCAUGUUUGAUUUGAGUCGAUUACCACAUUUCUUCGUAUAUUCAUUGUUUCGCUGUCAUCUUUGUCAUUGCCUGUGAUUCAUCUCAUUCACUUCACCCCCCUUAUUCUUUUCUUACACUGACCUAUGCCAGAUUUGACGUUUCCCUUUCAUCGUUCCUGCAUAUCUCAUUAUCAGUUUGAUUUGCCUCAUUGUCUUAUUAUUGACAUCAUAUUCACGUUAGGCAUCCUUAAGUCCAUGGCUCACGGGAUUUACUAUACAUGUUGCAUUUCAUAUAUGAGGGCAUGGGUUUUUUAUCAUUAGGUAUUUGAGCCUAGUUUUCCUUCAUUUCUAUCACCCUAUCACCUUGACCUACGUUACGUCCCAUGUCUUAAGACCACCCUGAGGCCAUGGGAUCAUAUGUCGUAUUUGACAGCCUCUACUUGGACAGGUGUUUGAGAUCUGGUUAAUAUUUAGAUAUCGUCAUGCUUCUUCUUCCGGGAGUCGCCUCUUUGAUGUGUAGGUCUGAUUCAGUUGUGUUCGGAUUACUAGGAUCAUGCGUUUGACGAUGGAUGAUUUGGUGUCACCCGAUUUUUGACCUAUCUUACCUCUGGUGCCGCACUAGGGCAUAUCCCAUUUCAUUUAGAGGUUUAUGGAUCCUCAUGGACUUGCACGAUCAUCAUCACUUACUGGAUGCUCAUUGAGACAUGGACAUGAUCGUUACCUUAUCAUGAUUCCUCAGGGGAGCCUCCUGAGAGCCAUCCAACUAGGCCUACACUUCUCGGCAGUUAGAUGCCAUCAUGCUUCUCCAUCCGAGAGGUACAUCUUGGAUCUGUAGACAUGAUUUAGUUAUGGAUUCGAAUGACUAGGAUUACAUGUUUGAUGAGAGAUGGUUUCAUGUCACUUGUUCUUCUGACCUAUCACACGUCCGAUGCCAUAUUGGGGCAUAUUUCCGUUUCGGAUGAGAUUUACGGAUCUUCACAGAGGUCACAUGUUCGACGAUAGAUGAUUUCAUGCCACUUGUUCUUCUAACCUAUUGGGCACCUGAUGCCAUGCGGGGGCAUAUUUUCCAUUUCAGAUGAGAUUUAUGGAUCUUCACGAAUGUUGCGUGUUCGAUGAUAGAUGAUUUCAUGUCGCCUGAUCCCUGACCUGUCAUACGUUCGAUGCCAUACUGGGGCAUAUUACCGUUCAGGAUGAGAUUUACAAAUCUUAGUGGAGUUGCGUGCUUAUCCCCAUUUGCGAGACGUACAUCGAGACGAUGAUCUAUUCACUAUCUUUACGAUGAUUCCUCAGUGGAGCCUCUCGGGAGUUGCCCAGUUAGGCCUGCACUUCUCGACACUUAGAUAUCAUCAUGUUUUUCUUCCGGGAAACGCCCCUUUGAUCUAUGGGUCUGAUUCAAUUAUAGACAUGGAUGACUUGGAUCGCGCAUUCGAUGAUGGAUGAUUUGAGCUCAUCUGAUUUUCUGACUUGUCACAUUUUGAUGCCACACUGGGGCGUAUUCCCCAUUUCGGUCGAGAUUUGUAGAUCCCCCACUGAUUUGCAUGAUCACCCUCGGUUUUGAGAUACACAUCGGGUUGAUGAUUCGAUUUCAUUGUGUCCUAAUACUCCGUGGAGCCUCUCUUAAGUCUUUAAGCCAGAUUCACAUUUUUUGAUAUAGUCGUGAUUCUCGGACGAAGUUAUCUCAGGCGCAUGGAUUCUCACAUCAUCAUUUCAGUGGGGUACGUAUCAAAUCCUUCAUGCAUCCCUAUGGAGUUAUUCUCGGGUUAUCAGGAUAGAUCGGGUACAUAUGAUGCCAUACUGGGGCAUAUUUCCCUCAUUCAACCGUGGAGGCGAUCGUUCUCUCACAGAUCCUUUACAGUUUCCAUCCCUCAGCCGAGAUAUAUUGUAUUUGCCUUACUGAUUGUUAUUCCUGUGAUUUUCGUCGAGAUGAGCUUUCAGUGGAGCACGACGUUCAGGUUUUAUUCGCCCUACUAGCCAUGACUUUUCAGUGGAUUGUUACUUUGAGAUUGAGACGUCGUGAUUUAGUUGGGAGUGUUGUGAGACUAUGUUCACAGUCAAUUUGAUUAUCCGGACUCGCUAGUGGAGCAUCGUUCGAGGCCCAUGGAGUCUCUUUUAGACCCUUCCAGCGGAUUGAGAUUUGCAGUGGCAUGCCACACUGAGGCAUAUUUCUCCCAUUCAUCAUUCCCUCGCAGUUUGGUGUUCAGAGCCACCGGUCAUUCACUAUUUAUGACAUUCAAAGUCAUCAUGUCACACUUUCAGUUCGGCGUUCAGAGCCACUUCUCCAGUUUUGGCAUUUAGAGCCACCAUCACUUUUCAGUUUUGGCGUUCAGAGCCGCAUUCUCAGUUUCGGUGUUCAGAGCCAUCAUCACUUCCCAGAUUGACGCUCAGAGUCGUAUUUUCAGUUUUGGCGUUUAGAGCCAUCAUUGUCGCAUUCCUCGGUUUCGGCAUUCAGAGCCAUCAUCACUUCCUAGUUUGACGUUCAGAGUCGCAUUCCCAGUUUCGGCAUUCAGAACCAUCAUCACAUCUUCAUUCGACGUUCAGAGUCAUUGUUAUCACUUCUCAGUAUUAGUGUUCAGAGCCAUCUUCAUAGCAUUUUCAGUUUCGGCGUUCAGAGCCAUCAUUAUCGCUUCUUAGUUUCGGCGUUCAUAGCCAUUAUCACUCUUCAGUUUCACGUUCAGAGUCGCAUUCUCGGUUUCGGCGUUCAGAGCCAUGUCUCCGUUCGGCAUUCAGAGCCAUUACAUCAGUCAUUCUGGCGUUCAGAGCCAUUACAACAAUCAUUCCGGCAUUCAGAGCCACAUCUUCGUUCGGCUUUCAGAGCCACGUCGUUGUUCAGCAUUUAGGGCCAUUGCAUCAUCCAUUUCGGCGUUCAGAGCCAUCACUUAUCUUCAUUUAGGCGUUCAGAGCCAUUACUCAUCUUCUAUUUGGCAUUCAGAGCAGCAUGGUCAUCUUGGUAUUCAGAGCCAUUACUCAUUCUCAUUUCGAUGUUAGAGCCAUCACCUUCUUCAUUCGACAUUCAGAGUUGUUAUUCGUCUUCGUUUAGGCGUUCAGAGCCAUUACUCAUAUUCUAUUUGGCGUUCAGAGCUGCAUGGUCAUCUUGGUAUUCAGAGUCAUUACUCAUUCUCAUUUCGAUGUUAGAGCCAUCAUCUUCUUCAUUCGGCAUUCAGAGCUAUUAUUUGUCUUCCGUUUGGCAUUCAGAGUCGUUGUUCAUCUUCAUUUUGACAUUCAGGGCUGCAUUAUCAUCUUGGUGGUCAAAGCCACAUCUUCUUUCGAUUUGGCGUUUAGAGCCGCAUUGUUAUCUUGGUGUGCAACACCUUCGUUUCGGUGUCCAGAGCCAUUACUAAUCUUUUAUUUGGCGUUCAAAGCCAUGUUUUUCUUCGUUCGACGUUCGUAAUCACAUAUGUGUUUGGCGUUCCAAGCCACAUCUUCGGUCGGCACUCAUUUCCACAUCUUCAUUUGGCGUUCGGAGCCACAUCUUCAUUCGGUGUUCAAAGCCAUUAUUUGUUUUUGCUUAGAGUUCAGAGUCAUGGUUUUAGUUCGACACUUAGGGUCAUCAUGUCUAUCUUUCGUUCGAUUCAUCACCUUUUUCCUCCAUUCUGGCUUUUAGAGCCAUCGGGCACACUCUUUCGGGUCUUUUGAGUCAUUUCUCUUCUUUAGUUUUGGCUUUCAAAGCCGUUUUUCAUACCCAUUCAUGCAUCGUGAGUCACCAUCUUUCCAUGUUUUGACGUUCAGAGUCACUUCUCCUCAACUGUAUCGUUCAGGGUCACGGUCCUUCAUGGUUUUGCACUUAUCCUCAAUUUCCUCACCUUGUUACCCUAUGCUUAUCGCCUAUUCGUCAUAGCUCUUCCAGAUUUCUCUUUUCACUACUCACGACACAACCCUUUAAGUUCACGACACGUACUUCGGUCAUGUUGUUGGGCACCCUAUACUUGUUAUUUUCAUGUAGUUCGCAUAGGAUAGUCUCCUUUGGGCGUAGUCUUUCCUGUGCUCUAGAGUGGAUCGACCGGCACUCAUCCUUGACAUCGAUUCUUCGAGUCACUUUUGGAGACAUCUUAGAGGGAGUCUGGGUCCUUGGUGUAGCUUUAGGGGCACCUUGAGAGAUUUUUUUCUAUUAGGAUUAGAGCCCUUUUGCUUGGAGCCUUGAGCGAGCUUGUGUUUUACUUAUGUACCUUUCGGGGGUCUUUCUUUGCUCUUCAGUAGAGUUCACUUCAUUCCACUCACUUUUCACACUUUCCUUUCACUCUAAUGUUCAUGCUCCUUACACUUGUAAACUCUACCGAAGAAAGGCAUAUUUGUAGACCAUUUUUUAAGUAAGGGAGGGCCUGGGAGAAUUUUUUUUCCCCUUUUCAUUACAUUUGUGGAAGAAAGGGGGGGGGGGGGGGGACAACCCCCUGCCCCAAAACCCCAAAAACAACUGGCCAAGGGCAUGGCUGCCCCUGAAGGGGGUUGGAGGAAACCCUUUUGGCUGAAGGAGGAAAAUGAAAAUGGGUAUACCCGAAAAAGGGGGGUUUUUCCCAAAAAACGGUGGUGAAAGGAAAGAGGGGGAAGAACUUUAAAAAAAAAAACUUUGAAAAAAAACAUGGGUGGUUUUUGCUGGGUUUCCAAAAAAUUUUUAAAAGAAAAAAAAAAAAAAAAGAAAAGGUUUUUGCUGGUUUUUCUUUUUUAAAAGAACUCCGUAAUCCCCCAAACAGGACGGGUACUUUCCGGUAUCCCCCUUUAAAAUUUUUUUUCUUCCUUUCCCUAAAUUCCCCCCAAUUUCCAAUUUCCCUUGUUUUACCCCCCCCGAAUUNNNNNNNNNNNNNNNNNNNNNNNNNNNNNNNNNNNNNNNNNNNNNNNNNNNNNNNNNNNNNNNNNNNNNNNNNNNNNNNNNNNNNNNNNNNNNNNNNNNNGGGGGGACAACCCCAUGCACGAGAGCCGCAUAGACAACUGGCCAAGGGCAUGGCUGCCCAUGAAGGUGGUUGGAGGAAGCCAUGUUGGCUGAUGGAGGAAUAUGAGAGUGGGUAUACCUGAGAUAGGGGGGUUUUUCCAGAGGACGGGUGGUGAAUGGAAGGAGGGGGAGGAACUUGAAGAAAGAGAGCUGUGAGAUAAGACAUGGGUGGUUUUGGCUGGGUUUCAGAGAUAUUUUGAGAGGAAAGAGAUAGAAAAAGGAAAGGGUUUUGGCUGGUUUUUCUUUAUGAAAGGAGCUCGGUAGUCGCCAGAGCAGGACGGGUACUUUCAGGUAUCACCAUUUAUAGUUUUUUUUCUUCAUUUCCGUAUAUUCCCUCAUAUUUCAUAUUUCUCUUGUUUUACUCUCUCUGAGUUCAACUCUACUUGUUGAGCUACUGUGUUUUGAUGAUUAUCAGUUUAAUCUUCGAAGAGCUUGCUGUAUUUUAAUGUUUCACUCUAGCAAGCAUCUUCCAUUUCAACCCACUGAUUGUUAGAUUCAUGGAUGAGAUAGCAAAAUGGGUUUAGCAUAUUUGUUAAACGUUCCAUGCUCUGUUUCCCUUCUAUCUCUUUGCUUCUCCGUUUUCGCCAUGAAAGAAAUCGUCAGGCUUUAAGAUUGAAAAUCUAAAGAGAUCCUAGAUCUGACUGAUACUAUCCAAGGCAUUAAGAAAGCUUGAAGGAGCGACAGUCGCAAGCUUCGUCUCUGGCAAAGCCCACUGAAGAUGCAGAGAGAGAAUGCCAUGCAAAACAUGUACAAGUUCCUUUGAAAAUCACUCGUGCAUGGCGUCAACUCAUAGGAUAUUCUCAUGGAGACGCAACCCGCUUCCAUGCCUAGAUUGUUCUCGCACGCCACCUUGAUCAGAUAGGAAAUGGGCAUGCAUUCAUUCUCAACUGUUACUCCCUCGUGCUCACUCGUCACCUUUCUUUUCUUCACAAAACCACCACCCGCCAAUACCCAUUUCCCUCUCUAACCACUGCAUCCAUUUCAUGCCUGUAUGCACCUAAACCAUGCGUGCAUGGUCACCCCACCUCAUUCCUUCCUCAAUCCUUACAUAACCGUCACCAUACCCACCAUGCUCAUAUUCCCACUCAUUCCUCUCAUGCAUCCACUCGUCUCUCCUAAGUUUCUCCAUCCCAUUUUUACUACAUGCAGCUAGUAUCUUGGCCAUGCAUGCACCCUCCCCCCCCCUCCCACCUACCAUGCUCAUCUCUCCACCCUCCUUGACCACUCGGUCCACCACCCAAGCCUCCCAUUCCCAUCCCUCUCCCAUUGCUUUCUCUAUUUUUUCUAUCAAACAAUCCAAGCCCAUAUCCCUUAGAUUGAAAGAGAUAUGUUUGUUUCUUCAUCUUUGGUGUUGAUCUUUUUUCUUUUGUUGUAACUUUUUGUUUUUGAGGAAUGGAGAGAAUGAAGGAGUUUUAGUCGUCUCUUGCGUCCCUUCUGGGGGUACUGGCCUUCUGCCAGAGCAUCCUCCGCGCCGUGUUCCCGUCGAAGCUCCGAUUUGCAGUGUUGAAGCUUUUCAAACGCUUUUUCAACUGCUCCUCCUACUGCUACUUCGAUAUCACUGAAAUCGAUGGCGUCAACACCAACGAGCUCUAGUUUCUUUUCAUGUCAACAAGCUUGUGCAUAGUUCAAAGAAUUUAAAAUAGUACUUAGGCAGGCUUCCAGGGUUACGUGAUUUAUGGCCCUCACAACCAAUGUUGUAUACACCUUUCUUCCCAUGGUUACUCUUUUUGGUCAUCAUAAUCAUUAACAGAGAUCAAAUUCUUUGGAGCCAUGUGCAAAAAAACUAUUAAAUUGAGAUAUGGGAGACCUCAGCUCAUCUUACCCCUUGAAAUGUUAAAGAUUACCUAAACAUGUUUGAGAACUAAGAGAAGAACCAAAAACAUAAAUUUGCAAGAUGAAACUAAAAACUAAAAAAUAAGAUUAAUUGAAAAGACUGGAAAAUUCAUUAACUUGGAAAUUAAAGAAAGGUUACAAAGAAAAUAAAUGAUUACAACUAAGAACUAAAACUAAUGUUAAGUUACUCCCACUCCUAAGAGAAAGAAAGACUAUCUAACAUUUUUAUCUCUAUCAUCUACUUCUAUUUGUAUAUUCAUAGUCCUUCUUUUAAUCUCAAUCUCCCCACAUUCCAACUACUCCCAUGCCAACUUGUCUAUAUUUGCCCUUUGCCCUUUGCCCAUGUUGUGGAUUUAGUCUUAUGUUAGUGCAGUUAAUCAAUCAUCAUUCUUGAUGUGUUAGCUUGAAGUUGGUGGUUGCACCUCUUUUUCUAUGUAAUCAACAUGGGGUAUGUUUUGGUAGUACAACUGAAGAUUUUGAGGCAUGAAUGAUUGUGCUACUUUGGGAGGUGCAUUGCUUUGGCAUUUUGCUAGCUUAGGUGAAAGGUGCACAACUUCUUAGCUUAGCACAAUUAAGAAGUGUGCAAUUUGUGUUGCUUAAAGGGGAUGAGCAAUUUGGUCCAACACACAUGAAAGGUGGACAAAAGAGACUUUAAGCAUUAGUCUUCAGGAUGCAUACAAGAGGUGCGUUGUGUGGCUCUACACUGAAAAAGGAAUGCAAAAUUAAGUCUUACUCACCUUAAAGUACACAAUCUACGUUUGGUUUCUACAUGUGCACUUUUGUCCCUAAGAGUUCCCAAAAAAGCUCUACUACAUAAAAAAUAUCUUAAAGCUCAUUGAAUACUCACAAAAUGCAUGAAACACAAUUUUCUAAGGUACUAACAACAAGAUAAAAUAGAUUCUUUAAAGCAAUCAAAACAGUGAGUUUGAGUUCUCAUCAAUUACUUACAAAAAAUCAUGAUACACAUUGGUCAAUCAUCACUCUAGUCUCCUUAGGGGGAAUGACACAAGUGUCAGAUUCCUAGAAAAAAUCUGCCCAAGCCUUAGAUCUCUCCAAAUGAUGUAUACAUCUAUAAAUCCUAAGCACAGUAGAAACUAAUAUGUCUCUUAAAACUUAUUCUAAGGUGAGAAAUAACUAGAAAUCACACCUCAGAUUUAGAUGUUUCCAAAUCCAUUUCCAAUCUAUGAAAAAUAAUCUUGAAGGCCUAGAGCCACCUAAUAGCUCUUCCUUUGAUCAUGAUAAUGAAGAAGGAAGGACUUCUCUCUAAAAAGAUAAAGGAUAGGUUUUUUUCUCUCUUUAGAAGACAUCAAUGAAUUAGAGUCUUUAAACCCAAACUCUAAAAGGGUUUAUGUAGACCUUCUUAUAGGCUUACAUGACUUAAGUCAGAUUAACUCUAGCUCCAAGGAGCAUAUGUUAAAUUUCCACUAAAGAAAAUGUUACGGCCAUAAUCUUUUAAAUCACAUGUCUUUUGGAUCACGCAAAGGAACAUAUUACCUCAAUCCAUGAGAUAUCAUGGUGCCUCUAUUGAGAAUACUUAUUGUCAUCGGCCUUCAUCAAUAGUGACCCAAUCCACAACGAUAUGACUACUUUAAGGUCUCAUCCAUAGGUCAAAGUCUCCUGUUAACUUUGGCACAGGCUCAAUAUCCUCUCAAGGUUGAGAGUUCAUGCGUUAUAGUAGCUUAAUGAAUCAUAACAAUUGAUAGUCUUAGGUCAUGAUUCACGUAGGUCUUGUCUAGUCUGACAUAAUGGCCUAAACAAGUCAUGAUCCCUCCAAUUAGGAGGUAAUGCACUACAAUCUCAAAUGGAUUGCUCAAAUCCAUAAACAAACUAUGGACAACUCAUCAUUCUACAAGGAACUCAUGACUUGGGUCUUCUAUGUAAUUCGUAAUGCACCCAAGUCAUGUACAAUGCAGGUGAUGUGGGGCAUGUAUGCUCAAAGAGUCCAAUCAAUGCAUAAUGGGAUAAUAAAAUAAAAAACUAGAAACAUAAAUAAAUAAAUUUAUAAAUGAAUUUUUAUCUAUUACAUCACGUCAUGCUUUCUAGGGCACAAUACCAAUAGUUAUAACCACUCAAUAGCCUUACAUCAUGACUCAACAUAGGUUAUGUCAAAUGUGUAAUAGUACACACUAGUGCACUCACCAUGGGAGCCUCAUCCCGAUGAUCAAAAUAAUUUAUCCCUAAAAUUAGGAGGUAGUGCAUUAUCAUCUCUAUCAGAUUGACUAAACUCAUGAACCGACUAUGAACUAUUUUUCAUCUUGCAAGGAACCCAUGACUCAUAUCAUCCAUGCAACUCUUGAUGCAUCCAAGUCAUGUACAAGAUAAAUGAUAUGAGUAUGAAUGCUCAAAUCAAUAUCAAUGCAUACAAUAAAUAGAUAAAGUGGAAGCUCAAGUCUAACUUUGUUAUAUCAUGUCUUACUUUUAAAGACUUUAUCCCAACAUAUAUGACAAGUCAGGUCUAGUGUGGGUUAGAUAGAUCAAUUUUCCCACUAGUCUCUAUUAUCUCUAUUUGUUAAUUGGAAUUUGAUGAGAAUAGAUGGACAUAUCAUGAUUUAUCUCAAUGGAAAUAUCUAUAGGUUUGCAAUUGAAGUUACCAGUUUCAACCAAGAGAUCUAAUGUAUGCUUUUGUUAUGAAAAGAAAAGUCCUUACUUCGACUCAAUGCCUAAGAAGUAUUUUAGAGCGCUGAAGUCCUUCAUUUCAAAUUCCUUAGCCAACUAGCUCUGAAGCUUCACUAUUUUUCUCGAGUUACUACUUGUAACAACCAUGUCAUCAACAUAAACAAUAAGCAUAAUAAUGUCAUCACCAUUUCUCUUAUUAUUUAGAGUGUGAUCUACCAUAAGUUGUUCAAAACCAUACUCUUUUUCAUCGAGUAGCUCAACUUUCCAAACCAUGCCCUUAGCGAUUCCUUUAACUCGUAUAGAGUCUUUUUUAGUUUACAUACCUUGCCUCUUUUUGGUGUAAACCCUGGAGGGGGAUUCAUGUAUGCCUUCUCUAACAUAUCACCAUGGAGAAAGGCAUUUUUCACAUCAAACUAUUGUGAUGGCCAAUUCAAAUCGACCAUAUGAGAGAGUAUGACUCUAACAGUGUCCAUCUUAGUCAUAGGGGCAAAGUCUCUUGAUAAUUAAUUCCAUAAAUUUGAGUAUAUCCCUUUGCAACCAAUCAAGCAUUGUACUUGUCAAUUGUCUCAUCUAACUUGUACUUUACUGAAAACACUCAUUUACUUCCCACUAUCUUCUUUUCCUAAGGGAGCUCAACCAUCUCCCAAUUAGAAUUCUUUUAGAGAGCCUUCAUAUCUUCUACCAUAGCAAACUUCUAUUUAGGAUCUUCAAAGGUCCCCUAAAAAUGACUAGAAAUAGACACAAAAGACAACUGAAGAGCAAAAGCAAGGUGAGUCUUAGAUAGACGACAAUAAGCGAUGAAAUUAGAAAUAAGAUAGACAACAUUAAAUGAUGAUUUUAAAAAACCCAAACUUUCAGGUUCUUUACCAUCAUGAAGAGUGAUUCGUGCCCACUUGGUGUCUCAGCUAAUUCAUGUCCAGCUGGUGUCCCUUGAUUUUGGUCCUCAGGGAGUAAUCAACAAAAUUUAUAACCUAUUACACCAUGUACUAAGGUAGCAAAGACAAAGCUACUAUAGCAUAGUGGCUCUAGGAUCGUUCAUUGGGAUGGGUUUUCACUUCACAAUUGAUAUUAAUUCAAAGUUGAAUUGGUGUCUUUUCAUUUCAAGGUUAGCUUUAAAAGAAAACAUAAUCUGUGGUGGAAAAGGUUGGUUUUAAGCUAACCAAAAAUAAUAACUGAUUUUAAUUACAAAGAAAAGUGUUUCUUGGAGUUUCAGAUCACUAGACUCAGAUUCCUUGUACAAAAAGAGAGUUUCGGUCACUUGUUUAUUUUCCUCGCAUUGGGGAUUUAACAUAUAGUUAUUUCCCGAACCGGUGUUGUACAGAUGCUUCCCAUUAAUGGGUUUAAACACUAAAUCUCUCUCACUGAUGCACCUUGCAAUGGCUCAUACCUCUCACCUAGCACUUGCCAUUCAAGGUGAUCUUUAACCUUGGAUUACCCGUCAAAAGCUCGCAAGAGAUAACUAAUGGAUGUCUCCUUGGAGUCCAAAAGCUUACCAAGUAUUGUCUAUUCUAGAAAAUCCUACCUUCAAACCACCUCCCAAAGGCUCGCAAGAGAUAAACUAGUGCAUCUCAAUGGAUGGAGAUCACUUGCCUUAUCAAGUGUUAGCCCAGGUGAUUUAAAGGCAUUUUAAGUUAACUAAAAAGAUAAAAACCAUUAACGGGUCACACUUUCUCUUCAUUAAAAACUAAAACAACAAAACUUCCAAUUUAUGCAUUUGGAAACUUACCCAGCUUUCCUCACUCCAAGAAACGAAGAGCCUAGCCUCUCAUCCUCUAAGGAAAAAUCCUCAGAGUUUGAUUGGCUAGAAAGUAAAAUAACGAGAAAACAAAAAUAUAUGAAAAAGUAGAGCAAGUGCUCUGUAUUUUACUUCCUUCCCAAAACUGUAAAAAGGAUCGAUCGAUAUAUGAUCGAUAUAUGUUCGAUAUUACAAACUAUAUAUAAGAGGUUAUUCACCCUUUUUCCAAACUUAAUAACUAAGGAAUCCUAUAAUUGGUGGGUUACAAGGAGAGUUUGGGGAUUUAGACAACAAAUAUCUAAAGCAAAAUAUCUCCAAAUAUCCCAAAAUGUCGAUCGCAAAUAUCGGGAAGCUUCAGGAGAACACCGCAACACUGUGCAGAAAAAUAUCUCAAAAUGUCGAUCAGACAUAUCAGGAAGCUUCAGGAGAACACCGUGGCACUGUGCAAAAUGGCUGCGAAACUCUCCGGAUAAGCGCUAUCAGAGGAUCCGGAUACGUCUGACCGAGGAAGUUGAAACGCCCUCCUCUUCCAUCCGGCGUCAGGCGCCGGAUGUGAAAUAUCCGGAUGGAAUGUGCCGGAUGUGAAACAUCCAAGUGGAAUGGCGGCGGAGCAGAAUUCCGGAUGUGAGACAUCCGGGUGGAAUGUUGGCAGAGCAGAAUUCCGGAUGUAAGACAUCCGGGUGGAAUGUCGGCGGAGCAGAAUUCCGGAUGUAAGACAUCCGGGUAGAAUGUCGGUGGAGCAACUCCAUCCGGAUUCUCUAAGAGGAUAUGUGGCGCGCUCCCCUAUCUGGACUCCCUCUUGGAGAAGCACACGACACUCGCGAUCAUUACACCCGGACGAUAGCAUAUCCUAUCCGGACGAUAGCAUAUCCUAUCCGGAUAUGUUGUCCGGAUGAAAAAGACAACCUGCCACAGCCUAUGUUCCGCCGCCCUCCGAUGGUGUGUCCGAACGCCCUGUGCCUUGCCAUGGAUUCCAAAGAACUCUCCUCAAUCUUGGAUUGCUUUGGUGAUCAAAAAGCUAUCAAAACACCAAAACUUAACACAAUUUGAUUAGAAUUGAUUGCAAGGGUCCUUAAUAUUUUAAUUGGGUUAAAAGGUGACAACUACUACUCAAAAGUGUUUAAAAGAGUUAAUUACAAGCAACGAAAUAACACUUUUUGAGUAGUAAUCACUCCCCCUAACCGACAAAUUGCUAGUCCCUUAGCAAUGGAGGAGAGAAAAAUAAAAAUAAAUAGUACUAUAAUUUACAACAUCAUGCUGAUCAAAAAACAAUUUUCAAGUGGCAUGAUGAUCUAACUCUCACAUGGAACAUUAAAGAAAUAAAACUCAAAGUUUCAACAAGAGUUAUCAAAUAACUUAUCUAAUCACAAUUCUUAAAGAGAAGGUAUUAUGCAAAUUUAAGCUUUAAAAGAGUUUCCACUCCCAAAGGGUCAAACCUUACUCUUCCACAAAAAUCUAAGUGUUAUUUAUUAGCUUCCGAAUAUAGUAUGUUGAACUAAUCUCUCUCCCCAACCUAGUUCUUUUUCAACGCUUAGCAAACUGGUCAACCUCCAAUAGGCUAAGAACGCACCUCUUUUUUCAUAAUUUUUUUUCAUUGUAGGAGUACAAGGCUUAAAGGUAUUCUUUUCUAAAUUGUCCAUGUAACGGGGGUCCAUCGAUGACUCCCAACCAAUUAAGGUUUAGGGCAUCAAGUUUUAAGGAUCUUUCAACCACUAACUCCUCGGAUUUUACCCCGGACUUUUGAGAAUGAAUUUUAAUACCCAAGCACCUACAGUAUGUUAAACUCCACCUAUCCACCCUUGUAACGAGCAUUGAGGUCGGUGAUUCCCAACCAAUGAAGGCUUAGGGCACCAGGUUUUAAAGAUUUUCACCAUAUACCCCUCAGACCUUGCUCAGGUUUCAAGGCAAGCAAACAUUUUUUCUUUCUUUCUUUUUUUCAAAGGCUCAUUGGCCUUUUACAAGGUGUCCCAACACUAUUAAAUGAGGUCAAAGGUACCAAGUCUAAAUUUUCCUAAGUCAAGAGGGAAAUAGUUUUUCAUCUUAUAAUCGGAACCUAUUGUGCACAAUGUGUGGAUAGCUUAAAGUGGAAGAACUGAGGUUGAAUUCACUAGAAGUUUCAACAAUUCAUCAACUUUAGUAAGCAUAAUACAAACUCUAAGUCAAGUAAAAAGACAAAAAUUCAAUUUCUCCCUUUUCAUUUUGAAAAUUUUUCCUUAAUAACCAUGGAGAGUAGAAUAAAAAACUUUAAAAAAUUUAAAAAUUAAGCAAAAAACAACUAAAUUACCAAAAUAACUUAGCAUUAUUAACAAAACUUCCUUCCUCAACUCUCCCCCUAACCAAGCUAAACAUUGUCCUCAAUGUGACAAAAGCGAUUGAAAAAUAGGGAGGAAGUGGUACCUCCUAAAUGACAUGGAGUUUGAGUCAUAUAGGAGAAACCACAUGUUUCAAAAAAAAACAUAAGAGUUAGUGCGUAGAGGAAAUAGAUAAAUGCCAAGUUUAAACAAAAAAUGAUGUCUAUGUAUGAUGUAUCUUCAGUAAUACAUCCAAUCCCAGAAUAUAAGACAUCAAAACAUGGAAUUAUCUAUACUAAUAUAAUAAGUAAAUACAAAAAAGUAAAGAGAUUAUCAAGUAAUGGUAGAGUCCUGUGGAGCUGAUGCAUCUGUGGUGGCUUCUUAAGUGGGUUGGAUCAGGACUUUGGCCUCUGUUCUGGUAGUCUCCUUAGGUGGCAUAGUCUCCUCAGUUGGAGCUCUCAGCUGGAGCUAUGGGCUCUGAUGGUUUUAGGAGGUUAGGAAUGGAGUGAGAGGCUUGGUGUGUGUGAUCCCAGGGUGCGCGGGGCUCUCCUCUUCAGAUGCAUGGUUUGCAAUUCCUCUUGAUUUUGAUCAUCCAAAAACCUAUGUUACAUCAAAACAAAUUAAACUUAAAGCAUUGAAAUCAAAAUUAAAACAAGUAAUAAAAUAAAACAAUAAGAUAUGGACUAGCUAGUCUUUUAGAAAGACUAAGUCCAUCAAAAAAUUUGAUCCUGAUUUAGCUUGCCCAGAUCCCAUAUGAAGUUUGCAUCCCUCACUUGAGACUUUCUCUGUAUGAUUUUGUCAUACAAAGCAUGGGGGAAAAGUGGAUGCAUGUGUUUCUUCAUCAUUUCUUCCUUGAUGACUAUCCUCUAUGGUUCUUCAUCUAUAUAGUCAUCUUUUUCUAUCAUUUUCCCCUUUUUCUUUCCUUUGAUUUCCUCCCUCUUUUCUUUCUCUGUUUCACUCUCUACCUCAUGCUCUAGCUUGCAUGUGGGCAGAUCAACCUCUUUAUCUCUCUCCUUAGCCUCCAUUUCAUGGAUACCCUUUUGAUUUUGAUGAGGUUGAGAAGGGUAGUUUUCUUUCUCUUGCACUGUGUUGAGGUUGACAAACCUUGAGAUUGAAUAUUGGAGAUUAUCUAUCUUCUGAGAUAGAUCAUUUUGCACUUCAUCCAUCCUGUCGAUUCUUUGACUGAGUUGAGCAUUGAUGGCUUUUUGAGCUCCAACAAAGUCUCCCACGACCUUGCUAAGAUUCACCAUAACUUUUUCAAGGUUUGAGGCUUGCUGUGGUGCUUGAGCAGGUUGCUGGUACUAAGGUGGCUGUGGUUUCCAAGAGAAUUUUGGAUGGUCCCUCCAAUUGGAAUUGUAGGUGUUGCAAUCACCAAACAUUUCCCUCACGACUGGAAUGGUAGGACACUCUUCCACCAAGUGCUCAUAAGAUAGACAAAUGGCACAAGGCAUAGCUUGCAAUGGUGUUUGAGAGAUGGUUUGCACUUCUUGCAUUUCUAGCUCUUCCAAUCUCCUUUCCAUAGUUGCAAUCUUUACCUUCAUGUCUAUGCCGUCAUUCAAAAUAUUCAUCUCACCCUUAGCAUUAGGUUGAGACAUCAUUCUUCCCAUAUCUCUAGCAUUUGGUUCAUCCCAUCCUCUUGAAACUUCAGCCACAUAACUCAUGAAGUUCAUGGCUUCCUCUACUAUCUCGUAUUCAAUAUGGCAUGCACAACUAGCAAUUUGUGAAUUAAAAACAAAGAAAACAAAAGAAAAUAAAAUAAACAAAAAUUCUAGAAAGGAAAAAAAAAUAUUAUUAAGAUUAACUAAAAACUAAAUAAAAGCUAUACUAAAAUAUGAACAAAGAAAAAAAAACAAAAAAAAAGAGUUAGUAAAAGGAAAAGAAAAGUCACCAAACUUGUGAUGAAGAUCACAAGUACUCUGAAAAGGUGAUAUCACUGUAAAGUGGCACCAUCCCCGGCAACGGCGCCAUUUGAUUCGUGCCCACUUGGUGUCUCAACUGAUUCAUGUCCAGCUGGUGUCCCUUGAUUUUGGUCCUCAGGGAGUAAUCAACAAAAUUUAUAACCUAUUACACCAUGUACUAGGGUAGCAAAGUCAAAGCUACUAUAGCAUAGUGGCUCUAGGAUCGUUCACUGGGAUGGGUUUUCACUUCACAAUUGAUAUUAAUUCAAAGUUGAAUUGGUGCCUUUUCAUUUCAAGGUUAGCUUUAAAAGAAAACAUAAUCUGUGGUGGAAAAGGUUGGUUUUAAGCUAACCAAAAAUAAUAACUGAUUUUAAUUACAAAGAAAAGUGCUUCUUGGAGUUUCAGAUCACUAGGCUCAGAUUCCUUGUACAAAAAGGGAGUUCCGGUCACUUGUUUAUUUUCCUCGCAUUGGGGAUUUAACAUAUAGUUAUUUCCCGAACCGGUGUUGUAUAGAUGCUUCUCAUUAAUGGGUUCAAACACUAAAUCUCUCUCACUGAUGCACCUUGCAAUGGCUCAUACCUCUCACCUAGCACUUGCCAUUCAAGGUGAUCUUUAACCUUGGAUUACCCGUCAAAAGCUCGCAAGAGAUAACUAAUGGAUGUCUCCUUGGAGUCCAAAAGCUUACCAAGUGUUGGCUAUUCUAGAAAAUCCUACUUUCAAACCACCUCCCAAAGGCUCGUAAGAGAUAAACUAGUGCAUCUCAAUGGAUGGAGAUCACUUUCCUUAUCAAGUGUUGGCCCAGGUGAUUUAAAGGCGUUUUAAGUUAACUAAAAAGAUAAAAACCAUUAACGGGUCACACUUUCUCUUCAUUAAAAACUAAAACAACAAAACUUCCAAUUUAUGCAUUUGGAAACUUACCCAGCUUUCCUCAUUCCAAGAGACGAAGAGCCUAGCCUCUCAUCCUCUGAGAAAAAAUCCUCAGAGUUUGAUUGGCUAGAAAGUAAAAUAACGAGAAAACAAAAAUAUAUGAAAAGCAGAGCAAAUGCUCUGUAUUUUACUUCCUUCCCAAAACUGUACAAAGGAUCGAUCGAUAUAUGAUCGAUAUAUGUUCGAUAUUACAAACUAUAUAUAAGAGGUUAUUCACCCUUUUUCCAAACUUAAUAACUAAGGAAUCCUAUAAUUGGUGGGUUACAAGGAGAGUUUGGGGAUUUAGACAACAAAUAUCUAAAGCAAAAUAUCUCAAAAUAUCCCAAAAUGUCGGUCGCAAAUAUCGGGAAGCUUCAGGAGAACACCGCAGCACUGUGCAGAAAAAUAUCUCAAAAUGUCAGUCGGACAUAUCGGGAAGCUUCAGGAGAACACCGCGACACUGUGCAAAAUGGCUGCGAAACUCUCCGGAUAAGCGCUAUCAAAGGAUCUGGAUACGUCUGACCGGGGAAGUUGAAACGCCCUCCUCUCCCAUCCGGCGUCAGGCGUCGGAUGUGAAAUAUCCGGAUGGAAUGUGCCGGAUGUGAAACAUCCGAGUGGAAUGGCGGCGGAGCAGAAUUCCGGAUGUGAGACAUCCGGGUGGAAUGUCGGCGGAGCAGAAUUCCGGAUGUAAGACAUCCGGGUGGAAUGUCGGCGGAGCAGAAUUCCGGAUGUAAGACAUCCGGGUAGAAUGUCGGCGAAGCAACUCCAUCCGGAUUCUCUAAGAGGAUAUGUGGCACGCUCCCCUAUCCGGACUCUCUCUGGGAGAAGCACACGGCACUCGCGAUCAUUACACCCGGACGAUAGCAUAUCCUAUCCGGAUAUGUUGUUCGGAUGAAAAAGACAGCCUGCCACAGCCUACGUUCCGCCGUCCUCUGAUGGUGUGUCCGGACGCCCUGUGCCUUGCCAUGGAUUCCAAAGAACUCUCCUCAAUCUUGGAUUGCUUUGGUGAUCAAAAAGCUAUCAAAACACCAAAACUUAACACAAUUUGAUUAGAAUUGAUUGCAAGGGUCCUUAAUAUGUUAAUUGGGUUAAAAGGUGACAACUACUACUCAAAAGUGUUUAAAAGAGUUAAUUACAAGCUAUGAAAUAGCACUUUUUUAGUAAUCAAAGAGGAUAUCUCAUACCUUGAUCACCAAUUUGUGGAUUCAAGGUAGAAGUUUCAGAAGUUACAAGUGAAGGAACAUGUACCUUAGGAUUAGUCUCAAUGGAAAAGUCAUUUAAUGGUAUGGUAGUAUCAUUAAUAGGAGUAUUGAAACCUUGAAAAGGUAUGACAUUAGCAUUUUUGUUCUUUCUUAUAUAACCUUAUUAGAAUAAUUUGGUUGGUCUUUCACACUUCCUUUCCUCAUAUUCAAACUCAGUUGUCAGAGGGUUGGGAGCAUCUAAAGACUCCCCCUUAUGCAAAUCAGUUGAAUCCUUACUAUUAAUCUCCCCUUAAAGAGGAACUAGAAACACAUUCCCACAAAAAUAAUACUCCAGUUUGCAGAAGUUGACAUCCAUGGAGACAUAGUAUUUUCUUGUAGGAUGAUGAAAACAUUUAUAGCCCUUUUAAGAACUAGAGUAACCAAGAAAGACACAUUUAAGAGCACGAGGAUCAAGCUUAUCCCUUUGAUGAGAGUGUAUACAAGCAUAACAUACAUAUAAAAAACUUUAAGACAAAGAUUCAAAACAGAAAGAAUAGGGUGAAAUUUUGAUAACAUUCACAAAGGACUUUGAUAAUCAAUGACAUGAGCAAGCAUUUGAUUGAGGAGAAAUACAACACUCUUGAUAACCUUAGCCUAGAAACAUUUUGGGACACGCAUAGUAAAGCAUAAAGCUUGGGCCACCUCUAGAAUGCGUUGAUUUUUACGCUCUACUAUGUCAUUCUAUUAUGGUGUGUAUGUACACAUUGUCUAGUGGAGAUUCCAUUUUCUUUGAAUAAAUCAAUAAGGGAUUGAAUUAAAAACUCACAACCAUUGUCAAAGUGAAAGACCAUAACCUAAGUAUUAAAUUGUGUAGCAAACAUUUUGGAAAAUUGAGGAAUAACAUGUAGAACAUCAUUCUUAGACUUAAGCAAAUAUACCCAGCUCAAUCUAGUACAGUCAUCAAUAAAAGACACAAAGUAUAUAUGAAUAGAAACAGAAGAAGUAGAAAAUUACCUUACACAUUUGUAAAAACACAAGUAAAAGGAAUUGGACUUUUUUGAGACUUAUUUUGAAAUAUACACAAUGAUUUUUAGCAUAAAUGCAUUGUUCACACCUUAAAAUAGAAACUAAAAUAUUCCAAAACAACUAAGGAAAUAAACAUUCCAAAUAAGAAAAUGAUGGGUGGUCUAAUCAGCAAUGCCAUUAAAAAAAUCUUUUCUCUAUCAAACAUCUCUUUUGCUACUUGAAAAACACGAUUAGAUUCAAAUUGUAUCUUGCCCCCUAUAAGUUGUAAAGACCUCCCAUUUCCUUACCAAUUCCAAUCGUUAUCUUCAUAAGAUUGUCCUAAAACACACAAUGAGUAGAAUGAAAGCUUACAAAAUAAUUAAGAUGUUUGGAAAUCUUGCCAAUGGAAAGAAGACUAUUAAAAAGAUUAGAUGCAAGUAAGACAGAGGACAUGGAGAGUAUGGGAGAAAGUGAGACAUUCCUGGCUCCUGAAAUUAGCAUAAAAGUCUCAUUAGCAACUUGAACAAACUUAAUAGGUGAGAGCAUUAAAGAGUCAAGAAAUGAAGAAUUACUAGUCAUAUGAUCAAUGGCCCCUAAAUCAAUAUCCAAUUGUUAAAGGUAACAAAAAUAAAGGCCAAUCCAAAAUUACCUUCUUGAGAAGACAAUCAAGAAACCUCACAAGCAGAAGUUGGAGGAGGAGUGUCGAUAAGAGAAACCUAAGCAGAUUUCUUGUUCUUUCUUUAAGCUUGCUUAAGCUUGUAAUACUUUGGAUAAUUAUGCUUCUUCCAAAAACAUUUACCAUAUGUUUAGUGCUAUUUGCAAUUGUUAGAAAAAUUAGGCUAAUCCGACCUAUGAUAAUCACCCUAGAGGGGGAGUGAAUAGGGUGAUGAUCUCUUUUUGUAAAUUUAAAUUAUGUGAAUACAAGAGACAAUUAUAUGCAAGUAUAUAAUAAAACAAUAUAAAGACAAUUGCAUAUAAAUUAAAAGAGUAAGGAAGAGAGAAUGCAAACACAAGAUUUUAUAGUGGUUCGGCGCAAUCCGACCUACAUCCACUCUCCUCAAGCUUUAAUCUCAAGCUUGAAGUUCCACUAAUUCAAGGCUUUGAAACCAAGCCUUCAAUCAAUACAAUUGGAUUAUGGUUCCAAUCCACCUUCUUGGACUUUUGGCUCCAAGCACCCUUUAUAGUUCUCAAAAGAUACCCCAAUCUUGAAAAUCCCUAAGUAAUACCUCACACUUAGAUUCUUCCUCUCAAAGAUAUACAAAUAAUUUCACAAAAUCCUAGUACAAAACUUUAGGCUCAAAUGAUACAAGAAAACUAUGAUUGAAUGGUGCACUAAAGAUAUGCAAGUUUUAGAACAAUGGUGCACUCAAAAACACUCUUCUAAGGCUCAAAUAUAUUCAAGAAAUGUUUGGAAAGGUUAACCUCAUGAAACAAUGAAUAUUGGAGCCUUUUUAUAGAAGAAAACGACCAAACUAGCCGUUGGGGGUUGGACCGGUCGAGUUGGGGGUCAACUAGUUAACUGGCUAUUAGCAUUUAAUAUUUGGCAGGUGACUGUUAGACCUCAACCGCCCCUUGAGCAGACCUUAACCGGUUGAGGUGGGGGUCAACUACCUCCUCAUUCGGUUGAACAACCGUUCUAGAAAAGAGAUAAGGUUUUUUUGCACCACUCGACCAAUUGAGCUAGGGGUCGAUCGGUUACUAUUCAACCUUGCUCAGUUGAACUAGGGGUCGACCUGCUUCUAGAUCGGUUCAACCUGUUGAGCCGUUUUUGGGUCAACAGCCAACUUUUUUAACUUAAAACCUUUUAAACAAGUUUGAAAAACAUUUAACACAAGGUUUUAGUUGAAAACAUGAAAUCAUCCAAUUUUAAAUAUUUAAAACAAAAUAACUCUUAGAUGAUUUUGGUGCAUAAGUAAAGAAUGUAAUGCAUGAAAAUCCUAGUGCACUAACAACCUUACAAAGAGAUCUUAUGAAGCUUGGGUCUUGAAAAACACUUCUCUUUGAGGUGGUCUUCUUCUUCAUGAUUUCUCCUUGACUUAAUUUGUCUUUGUGAUUGCCACUUUGGAAAUCGUCUUGCCUAAUCUUACUUGAAAUAUAAUCAUUAAUUCUAAACCUUGUUUUGUUAUCAUCAAAACCGAGAUUAACCAAACCUUGGUUUCAUAGCAAUGAGUUUAGAAGCAAGAAGAAGAGUUGGUAGAAAGAGUUAAAUAUAUUGGUCAAGUGUUAUUCUUAUGGACAGCCAUUGUAGAAGCCUUAGAGUGAUCUUAUGUUCCCAUGGUGACCUACCUCCGCACUUCACGAUAGACUAGUGAAUAGGCUUUCUCUAGAUUUAGUAAAGAAGAGUUGACUAAAACAUAACUGCUAACUUGAUUCAAAUUGUGAUCAAGACCUAUAAGAAAUAUAUAAACCCAAUCCUCAGCAAUAUGCUUCAUUUGUUUCUCAAUAUCAGUUACACACAUCAUAUCAUUGGGUCUUCGAUAAUCAAGUUCUAUGAAUAUUGAGUUUAACUCAUUGUAGUAUUCUACAAAGGGGUGACCACCUUGGUGUGAUUGAAAAGAUAUUUUCAUCAGUUCAUAUACUCGAGAAGAAUUCAAAGACAUCAAGAUAACUUCUCUUGACUGCGUCUCAAACCUCCUUAGCCAUUCCACACUACACAAAGUGUGAUAUCAACUUGUUAGUCAUGGAAUUGAUGGGCCAAGACUUAACUAGAGCAUUUUUAGCCUCCCAUUCAUCAUAGUUUGGGUCAUCCUCUGCAAGUGUAAUCUUCCUUCCUAUGAUAUAACCCUUCUUCUUUCUACUAGUAAUAUGUAUCUCUAAAAUUUGAAACCAAACAAGAUAAUUAGAACCAUCCAACUUAAUAGAAAUUGUUGGAGAGGUAGUCUCAUAAAUGGUCACCAUGGAUGACCUUUUGUUGUCAAAAACACUCAAAUUUGCUUUUGUAAACAUGCAUGAUAUGGUAACGAAGAGGGUGAAAAAAAUUAUGGAAGAAGAGUCGACUAGGCAAUAGCAUAAAUUCCCUACUCCAGCUUUGAUACCAACUUGAUAAAUUGUUGAAUACUCUUUCGAUAUAACUCAAGGGUAUUUAUACAAGAUGCACAAGAUUAUUUUAGUAUUGUCAACUAUUUAGAAUAAUAAACAACUAUACAAAAAAGAUACAAUUGUAUAAUAUACAUUAACUCAAUUGUAUAAUAUACGCUAACUCACAGCUAUAUAUGCUAACUCAAUCUCACCACUUUUUUUUCUAAUAUUUGUAAGUUAAUAAUAAGAAAAAAGAUUAUUCAAAAGGUAAAAUCAUCAUCUCAUAAGUUGAGUCCUCCCUUGACAUUUUGGAUAUUUUCCCUUUCUUUUUCAUUUCUUUCUUUCAAAAACUACUACUUUUCCUAAUCCAUGACCUCUCCAAGCCAUUGUCCCCAUUAACAUUGUCUCACCAAUCGCCACAGAAAAUCAUUAUUUUUACCUCACAUUCUCUCUGAUCUCUGCAUAACCCUCUUAUCUUCUACACAUAAACCCGUCAAAACCCCAUUUGUUCUUCUCUAAUAUCCUAAGAUGCACCUACACAACUCCUAGGUAUAAUUAUAAUCUAAAAUUUAAAACAAAUCUUGAAAGGAUUGGCCAACGAAAGAAGUAAAAAUUGUAUUUUGAAGAUGGAAAGGGAAGUCACUCUCACUAUUUGCCUUUUCUAGUUUCCUUCUCUUUGCCUUCCAUUAAAGCUAAAAAGAAGGAAGUUGGACCAACCACACCCUCCUUUACAUAUCAAUUCAUCCAUUUUACCAUUCUAUUAAUUGGAUAAUAAGUUAGUAGUUCUAGCAUAGUGUCACAUUGUCCUUAAAUGACCCCUUACGUGAGUACAUAUAGUUCAAUAGAACUUUCUAGUCAUAAAGGUAAAUUGCUUAUAUCCUCAAUAAACUCAGCAACCUUCAAUGGUUUAGUGAGGCUCCUCUAAAGGUAGGUGAAAGUGUUAUGAACCCUCAUUUGGCCAGGCGCUAAGCACUAGGACCAAUGAAUCCUUGUAAAGUGGUCUUAUAUGACAAAAACUCAACUUAUUACUUCUUAUUCAUCUCUAACUUUUGCAACUUUACAUGUCUUAAGUUAUUCAAGUACUGUAUAGGUUGAUUCAGAAACAUUUAAUGUCAACUCUCAUCAAAAUGGUACACACAACAAGUUAAGUCAUAAGAUGAAAAAUAUCAAUUUUUACAAAUAUACCAAUAGAAUGAUUUUACAAAUAUAUUGGAAAAUAUCAACAAAAAUUUUGACAAAAAAUAUCGAUAUAACCAAAUUUGAUCAAAACUCAUAAAAACAUUUAGGAAAACUUCAAAAUGAUAAAGAAACAAUAAUACAUAUAUUGAAAUCGCUUUGUUGAAUAAAUUAAUACAUUUAUAAUAUAAGUUGUGAUAUUCAACAACAAUAUCAUGUGUAUUGAUAAGAAAUAUGAAUUUUAUAAAUAUACACUUAAUAUUAAUUUACAUUAAGUAUUUAAUUUAAUUAAAUGUCAUGUCAAUUAUUUAUAAAUAUUACACUAUAGUGGUUUUUUUUAGUACUAAAAGGAAUAUCAAUGUAAUUCCAUAACACUAUUGAAUGAAGGAAUCUUAUCUCGAUGGAGACAAUAAUAUAUAUAUUAAAAUUGUUUUAUUAAAGAAAUUAAUAUAUAAAUGAUAUAAUUAGUGGCAUUCGUCAAUAAUACCUAAAAUUUGAAAAUACAUUUAAUACUAAAAUGAUAAUAUAUCUACUUUACAAAUAUAUGUGAUUAUUUUUCUAUUUCAAAAUAUUUAUAAUAUUGUUUACAUAUUUAUAUAUUUGUGCAUUUAACUCAUGAUUUUUGGAUUUUUAAUUGUAAAUUAAAUGGAAUUUGAAAAUAAGAUAAUUAAAUUAAUUAAUUUAUUAAAAAUUUAUUUUUCAUCAAUGCGUACAAAAUUUACGUGUCAAUAUACCAUAGUAUAUAAUAUGUAGGGUAGGAAAUUUAACAUGGGCAUGGUUGCCCAAGUGGAUGGAAGCUGGCUUUUCACCGGGAAGAACAAGGUUGAAUCAGAAAAAAAAAUCCGAUAAAUCAGGAAAAAAAAAUCCAAAAAUGACAGGAAAUUUCAACCAUUCGAUACAUCCCAUAAUAUUUUAUACAGGGGUCUACCAAAACCCGAAAUAUCGAUAAUAUUUCGCCAUGUUUUGAUGGCAUUUUUUCAUUGGUCACAGACGAAAAUUUUCUAUAUAUCUACCUGUAAACCCCCUGUUUUGAACCAAGUGUAUUGGUUCAAGUGAUAUGAUUUUUAUUAUUAUUGCCUUCUUUUAUUAUAGAUAUAAGUUGAAGCAAGGUGGCAUUUCAAGGAGGAUCCCAGAGUGGGAUUUAGUGAGGAGGGGGGACCUCCCUUUCGGCAUGAAAGCAGCUACGAGAGAUGGGAUGUGCAGCAAGUCAAGAUGGCAGGGGCCAUGCUGGUGAUUGGAGGGCCAUGCUGCUGAUGCGAGGAACAGUAGGGCAAGUAGAGACUUGCCAAAGAAGAUAGGAACAGGGUAAGGAGGAAGGGGGGAGGAGACCAGUUGAAAGAGGAAGCUUGGGGGGAAAAAAGCAGGGUAGCGGACGGAUUUUCUGGAGAGAAGCUUGGAGUCCUGCUGGUCUUGCUGGAAAAGACUUCCUCAGGUAUGAAUGCAACUGGUUAUGGUUUGAUUCGGAUUCUUGCUAUCCCAUGAAUGCAACAGGCUAUGGUUUAUUUCGGAUUCUUGCUAUCCCUCUGCAUUUUCUUAUUGAUAUUUUGGAUAUUUGUUGUUUUGUUUGGAGUGGAUAAUGAAGGCCACUUGUUGCUUAUUGAGAUAUAACCGUGCAUUCAUGUUUGGCAUUGUUAGUCUGAGCAUGUCUAUCUCUGUUGCGAAAUGCCCCAAAAAUCAUGCCAAUAUUUGCAUUUGAUAUUAUUCUUCACCUAGUCAGAGGGCUCACGGAUGACCCACGAAUGAAGUCUCAUUUGAGGAUAUUUUCAUCUCUUAUUUUUCAUGCUCUGUUUCCAUGAUUUCUUCUUUGUUGUGGCUAUUCCUUGUUCUUGGACCAUGUUCAGUGCAUGAACUGUGAGAGAGGAAAUCUGGGUUUGACUGCGAACUUUUGCAAGGGUAUAUGUUCACAAGGUUUAGAUGACAUGGAAGAACAGAACUGAAUAGAAAAGACUUCAAAUGAUUCAACACUCCAGCUUCGUUAGCGUUAUUCUUUUUUUUGGCAGCCAAUAUGGUGAGAAUAGAUCAUGGUUUGAAGAAACGUUCAAUGGGUUUCCUCACUAAACGGCAUCAUUACAGAGCACUGAUUUUCCCAUUGGCAUGAAUAGCAGCACCUAGACACCAACUGGACAUCUUGUAUUUUCAUCCCUCUUAGUCGCCCUGAAUCCUACCGACCCAUUAUAACCUCUUCAUGAACCCGAGGCAAUAACAGUGAAAAUACAUUGAGGUGUCAUGAAAUAUCUAGAGAGCUAUUAUGGAGAAUAAGGACCUUUGUGGCAGACAUUUGUAUCAUCUUUAUGAGUGUAUGAACCGCUAUCAGUUGGAGGUGCAGAUGACCCUCAUGAGGGAAGAUAUGACUUUGAUGGUGCAGAAGAAAAAAAAAGGCCUUGAAUCCUUUAUAAUCCAAUUAUUUGCGUUGCUGUUGACCAUUGUGGGUGGCAGAAGAUUGGCAAAGGCUGCUGCAAAUAGAUUUAGUGAGUCACACGAGUUCAUUCACUUGCAUUUAAGCCCCACGUGGAUUGGGUUGAUGGGAAAAUGGGUUUCUAUGGGUUUGUGGCCUUUUUUAUUAUUAUUAUUAUUAUUAUUAUUAUUUGUUUGUUUGCUUUUCUUAAGUGCAAGCCUGUUUGCCACGCUAAGGCCACUCCUAUUUUUAUCAUUUUCUUAGUUUUUCCAACUUUUGAUGCCAAAGAUUCAUUUUCAAAAUUUUAUUUUUAAUUUAAUUAUUAUAAAAAAAAAUUCCUAUUAAAAAAAAUAUAUAUAUACAUAUAUAUAUAUAUAUAUAUAUAGUUUUCACAACUUUGACCUCCCAAACUUAAAUUAUUUUAUUUAUUUAUUUAUUUAUUUUUAAAAUUUCAUCCUUAAUAAUUUUUCGGGUUUCUAAUUUUUGGAAAUUUAAUUUUUCGGCAUUCCGUCCUUAAAAUAAUUUUUCGGGUAUCCAAUUUUUGAAAUUUAAUUUUUCGACAUUCCAUCUCUAAAUAAUUCUUCAAUUUUCCAAUUCCCAAGUUCACUUCCCAAUUUUCACAACUAUUUUCCUAAUCAUCAUUACUAUUAUUCCAUUCGUUUAUCUAUUCACUUAUUCUUUCAUUUAAAAUCUCAUUUUUAAAUAACUCUUCAAACUUUCAAUUUCAAAGAUUCCACUAUUCACGUUCAUUCGUUUAAAUAUAAUUCUCAUUAUUAUUAUUAUUAUUCCAUUCAUUUUAUUUUACAAAUUCCAAUAAUUAAAGUUCAAAUUUUCAAAAUUCCGUUUUCUAAAUUUAAUUUUCAAUAUCAGAAAUUCCACUAUUCACAUUCAGUUGUUUAAUGAUUAAUUUCAUCAUUAUUAUUAUUUCAUUUAUUUAUUUAUUCACUCAUUCGUUUAUUAAAAUUUCGUCUUUAAAUAAUUCUUCAAAAUCCCGAUUCCUAGAUUUAGUUUUCCGAAAUUUUAAUUCCUUUCAAAUUUAAUUUCUAAAAUUCUCAUUCUUGUAUUUAGUUCCUAAAAUUCCAAUUUUCAAAUAAUCUCUAAGACUCCAAUUUUCAAAUAAAUUUCAAAAAUCCAGUUUUCCCUUAAACUGUUUUUAAUAUCUAUUUGGUGACGCAUGUGAUAUGUUUUGUGCUCUUUAUUAUACACUGACUCCAUUUUUAUGAUAGUGCAUUGCUCGUUCGUGGCCCAGGUACGCAUCCCUUCCCAUUUCGAUCAUUCUCUAUGCAUAUUUUGAUUCCCACGUGUGCAUGGUCGAUUUGAGUAUCCAUUAAUUUUCCCAUCAAUUGCCACGUCAGCUUCAUUUUAUUAGUAGAGACCCGAUUUUAGGGACUUAGAGGGGUGCUAUGGUUUUUUUUACCGUACCUUCCCGAUAAGUAACCUGACCCCCGAACCCGAUCCGGUUUUUCGUAGACUAACCUUUUCCAAAACAAGGAGUCACACUUAGGGUUUUUCUUUCUUAUUUUGUUUACCCUUUUAAAAAUAAAACAAAAAUAAGUGGCGACUCCAAGUCAUUUUCUUAAUUAAUAAAUCAUUUUUCAAAAUAAAAAAUGAGCUCGCCAUCAAGUGGGAAACGCAUCGAGCCGAAAUGUGGGGUCCACACUACCAUUUCAAUCUAUCUUUCUUUUAUUUUUUAUUUUAUCUCUAUUACUUUUUUUUAAAUGAAUUAAAUAUCAUAAACAUACUCCUUAUAUUUAUUUUUAUUUUUAUUUUGAUUUCUCAAUUACUUAUGUGAAAUUCAUAUUUAUUAUAACUUUCUCUAAUAGAUGUUGAUUUUUUUAAUAUUUGUACUAAUCCAAUUUUUUAAAUAGUGCGUUUUCUUUUUGUUUUAAUUUCUUUUCCUUUUUAUAAUUUUACAACGGAGAUGGUGGCACUUUUUUUUAUUGGUAAGGACAAAGGAGUUUUUUAUUUGACUAAGGCUAAAAGUAAAAACUAAAAAAUAAAAAUAAAAUUUAAGAGUUCGAUUGUCUAUAUUUUCUAAAAUUUAUUUUUAAAAACUAUUUUUAAGUUAAAAAAUAAAAAAUUAUUUUCAAAAACAAGUUUUACAUAAUAUAAUCAAACUGACCUAUGUUUUCUUUUAUUCUAAAAAAUUGAUGAAAAAACUCUUAUUUGAUUUUUUAAAAAUUAUUUUCUAUUUCACUUUGUUUUUAAAAAUUAUUUUCUGGAACGAUGAUGUGUUAAGAAUUUUUAAAAACCAUUUUUUGUUUUUAAAAAUAUAUCAAACGGCCAAACAGGCUGUGCGCAUGCGCUUGAGUAUGGGGGACAACUUUUAUUGCCACAGUAAGUCAAACUCUACCAAAACUCUUGAACAAACUUCUAGAUCUUUAAUUUCUUACUAAAAUUAUUAAUUUUUAUCUAGAAAAUAGAAUAUUUGAGGUACACAAAUUUUGCAUACUCUUGUCAAUUUUUCUUUAUAUAGAAUUUUUCUCUAUUUUUUUUAUUUAAAUUGUUGAAUUUAUUACAUCUCAAAUUUUGUAACUGUUCUUACUAAGAUUUUAACCAUAUUAUUUCCAUGUUUUUGUUGUAUAAUAUCUCUAUAACUAAAAUUUGUGGGGAUUAAUUGAUUGAAACUAAGGCCUCAUUUGGGAUGGUUUCAUACAUUUAAAAGGUAAUAUUGGUCUUAUAAAACCAUGGUUUCAUACAUGGUUUCAUACAUGUAAAGGCCUCAUUAUUCUUACAAAACAAUUUAAUAAGGAAGAUAAAUAAAUUAAUUUAUAUGCUCGGUAUAAUUUAUUUAAUUUUGAUAAGUAUUAAAUAUAAUGUAUUUAACUAUUUUUUAUCUUAAUUUAUUGUCUUGUUUAUCAAAUUAUAAAAUUAUGUAAAAAUUAUUAUAAAAAUAAUAAUAGAUUAAUUAAAAUUUGUAAAAAAAAAUUACUUUUAAAAUGUAUAUAACCAAACUCAUUCAAAAUUUCUUUGUUUUAUUUUAUUAACUUUCUAAUUGAUUAUUUAUUUAUUUUUAUUUUAUCUUUUGAUUAUUAAGUAACAAUAAAUUAUUGAUGCAAAGUUUGACCAUUUUUAUAAUUACUCUAAAAAAUUUUGUAUUUAAAAUAUUAAAAUCGAUUUAUACUUUAAAUUUUUAAAUAAUUUUUAAGUCUUUAAGAAUUAUUGUAUAUUAUGUGUGACUUAUUUUUGAAAAUAGAAAACAAGAAGUGGAUUUAAACAAUAUCUUAAUUUUAUUUUUCUCAACUUCUUAAUGGAUUAUUAAAUAACACAAAAUUAUAAUUUUGUAUUCUUUCUUUAUUUUCCAUUUUUCUCUCCAUUUUUGCUUCUUCGAAUUUUCCAAUAAUCAAACACAAACUUGAGCAUCUUGUUCUCCUACAUGGUUUAAGACGGUUUUGUGAGAAUUUGUUUUCAUUUUAUUUUUGUAAAUGUCAUUCUUUAGGUUAUAAAGUAAGGUAUUUUAUUAUUUAAUAUUUUAUGUUGGGUGAGGAAGUAGUCAAAAGUUGACGAGAAAGUAGAAAAAGUACCCAAUCUCCAACCAUUUUUGUAAGGUAGCAUCCACUUUCCUUUCUUCCUUGUUGUGUUGAGAAUAGCCUAUUUUAUUUGAAAUGAUAAUUAGUAAUGACUUAUUUGAUUCACAUUACUACAACAAAAUAUUUCCAAUGAAGCCUGUUUUAAAUCCACCCGCAAGAGGUGGUGAAGCCAACAAUUUAGCUCGGGGGUGGGAGAGGGGCAACCUUUGAAAUAAAUAUGGGUCUUACCCCAAUGGUUCAGACUUGUCAUUAUUAUGGGAACAAUAACAAUGAGUCCUCUUAUUGUAAGAAGUAUAUAUAUAUAUUUAACAUUUUUAGGGGGUAGGGUGUGUCGCGAGUGUGAAUGCUUCUCUUUUAUCGUUUGUAGAUAGUUCUUGCUUUUUCUAUUUAUCUUCUUUCUUUACAACUCAACACCAAAAUAAUGAACAUUCUUCUUUCACUUUCAGUUUUUUUUAGAAUGUAAACAUUGAUGGAAAAUAACCCUUAUAUCUACAUUAUACAUUUAUUUUUUUUCAAUCUCUUAGCUUUUACAUAUUCUAAGAUCUAUCUAGUUUCACCAUUGAACUUUUUCUUUUGAAAAAUGUUUCUUUCACCAUCUUACUUUAUCAUAGUUUUAUCACCUUCUAUGUAGAUAUAAAAUAAAGAUUAAAAUUUACCUUUUAUUUCUAUCUAUAUAUAUCCACUUUUUUUCCCCUUUAACCAUCACUUUAUCAUAUUUUUGGUUUAUAAAAAAACACAAUGAGUUGUAGCUUAACUAAUAUGCCUUCAAAGUUCAAUUUGUUAGUGUGAUUAUAACUUAAAAUUAAAUAAAAAUUAAAAAUAGAUUUAAAGUAAAUAAAUUAUUUUAUAUACUUUUUCAAACUCAUUUAACUUAUUUUCCUCAAUUAUAUAAAUAUAUAUAUUAAAAAAAAUUUAAAUGCAUAAAUUUUUAACUAAUUUAAUUAUAUUUCAUUUUUUUCAUAUUUUUUUAUAGUCAAACCAUUUUCCUUAGGCUAUAUUUGGUUCCCAAAAAGCAUAAAGGAAAGGAAAAAAAAUUACUGAAGAAAAUGUUUUUUUUCAUGUUUGGUUUCACCAUAAAAUUGUCUAAAGAAAAUUAGUUAGAAAUUUAUACAUUUUAAAAUUAUUUAAUUUUUAUAUAAUUAAGAAAACUAAGUGAAAUGAGUUUGAAGAAACAUAUAAAAAUAAUUUAUUGAUUUUGAAUAUAUUUUUUAUUUUCCUUCAUUUUUCUUUCUUCUAUUUUUUCUCUUUAUUUCAUUUUUCUUACAUAUUCCCUCGAAAUUUCCAAGUACCAAACAUAGCAUUAAUAUUUGUUUUCUUUACUUGCUACUUUCUGAAUACCAAAUAAGUCUAAGGAAGAAAUUUAGUGUAUCAUGAUGGAGAAGAGGAAAAGAAGUAGCAUUUGCAAUAAAGAUAGAAUUUUAGAGUUCAAUGUAAAAUCAAUAAUUAGAAUGAUAAAAUCAAUAAUAGUGGUGGCCAUAAUUCCCAUGAUGAAAAAAAAUUGAAAACUAGAUAUAGCUUAUAGCCUAACAAUUUUUUAAACCUAUCUUCAUAUCAUUCAUUCAAAAUGCCUAUUUUAAAUAUUAUUUCCUGUUUUAGAAGCUGCAAACAUGUAAUAACUGAAACAAAUCAAAUGAACAUAUUCGUGUUUUCAUAUAAAAAUUAAUAAAAUUUUCUUAAAUAAAAUUCACAAUAUUUAUUUUUGCAAGGCCUUAAUAGAUCUUAUUUUUAUUAAUUUCUAGAACCCUAUCCUUAAACUUGUCACUGAUAAACCCAUUUCAUCCUUUUACAAACAACUCUGAACAAAUUAAUGUAAUUGUGCCCAAUCCAAUAUUCAAACAUAUAUACGUAAUAGUUUGUUUCAUGAUCCAAACCUGAUAACAGGCAAUGAGCUUAUUACAAAGAAACUAUGGAGUAGUACAAGGAAAAAUAUCUGUUUAUAAUUAAUCAGCUUUGGACCACUUGCCAGAGUUUGGAUAUCAUAGUACACAUGCAUCAUAAUUUGACAUGGAUUCAUCAGAAAACCAGUGGAAUGAUAAAAAAUUUAUUUGUCUCAUCUCUUGGGAGCAUGAUAGUUGAUUUCUUCCAGCAUGAGAUGCACUCCUUUGGACGGAGGGAGUCAGGCUUGCACUGCAUCAAUUAUCAAAACCAAAAGAAAACAAACCAUGCAUUUAGGGAUCACAUCCCGUGGAAGUUAUGGAAGCAAGAACAUUAAUAAUUAAUUGUUUUAAAAAAAAAAAUCAUAAAAGUAAACAAAAUAUCGUAUGCUGUGUGUACUACUUAAGAUCGAAGCAAUUCAAUUACCUCUCUGGAGUGCAUGCAGCUAGAGCUAGCGAUGCUAUCAGAACGGCCGAUAAAACUGAACUUGUGAAAUAUGAGAUAAUUUGGACAAAUCGAUCCCUCCUCGCACAGUAGGACAGUCGAUGAUAUGCAGUUUCUGUAGUGCAGUAAUCUGGAGCAGGCGCUCGGGCAGGCUUUCCAGCUUAGGGCAUUCACAUGUGAUCAAGGAGUGGAGACAUGGCAUUACUGACCUCCAUUCUUCUUCUUCAUCUUCUUCUUUUACUUCCCACUUUUCCCACUCUUUCAUACCAUAAAAAAUGAGUUGCUUCAGCUUUGGGAAUGCAGUUGUUGAAGAAGAUCCCAAAAACUCACCACCCACGUAUUUCACUCUCUUCAUAUUCUUUAUUAUCAGGAUUUCAAGGAGAGGUAGUUCCCCCAAUGGAGGCAAACAUGUAACCUGUGCGCAAUACACAAUUUCAAGCUUUUUCAAUUGGGCCAGCGAUGAGGCCGCUAUCCAACUGGGGAACUCGGUGGCAGCAUCGUAAUUACUUAUUUUUAAAGACUUCAAGUUUUGAUGAGGCUGUAGAGCUUCAGCCACACCUUUUGAAGCAGCUGAGGCAAGCCGCCCAAAAUCCUCUAGUUCCAAAUGAUGGAGGUGUUUCUUAUUCUUCAAUUCUGCUUCGCCAGCCUCCUCUGCAUCUUUCACAUUAGCUAUCCCACUUAUCACAAGACCUCCCCUGAGGCUGUUUAAGUUUUUCAGUUCUCCUAUUUUGCAUACAUCACGUCUAAAAUGAUCACCAAUUAUAGGAAACCCAGUUAAUGUCCGAAGUGAGGUCAAUCUCCCGAUUCCUUUUGGCAACAUCAAUACUCUACUGCCUUCCCAUUCAAGAUGUCUCAGGUUAAUUAGUUUUCUCAUCCCCUGAGGUAGUGUUAUGAGCAAAUCUGAAAGAAUUAAAGUUUGCAAAUUAUAUAGAUCACAAAUUGUUUCUGGCAAUUCCCCUCCAAUCAAAUUAUUUGAUAGAUUAAGGAGCCUCAGAUGUAUCAAUUUCCCCAAGUUCCUCGGCAGUUCCUUAAUUAACCGAUGCCCACUCAAGUCUAAUGCCCUAAGGCAUACCAAAUGUUUGAAUAAAUUAGGUGGGAGUUUAGCAGUGUUCAAAUGGGCCAUACCUGUAGCAGACAAUGUGUGCAGAUAUUUCAAAUUAUGGAUAGUGCUAGGAAAUCCAGCCCCUGGUGUGCUAAUUAAGGUUGCAUGACGAGCCUUUUGGAAGGAGGAAGCCAUCCUCACUUCCUUUUCAUCAUCAAUCUCCAGAAUGAAGCAUUCAUUCUUGGUCAAAUAUUGGGCAAGAUCAUGCACUAUAUCAUGCAUCUUGCACGAUAUUAUGUUGCCCUCAUCAUCUCUAUCAAAAUCUUGGAAAAGUGACCGUGACACCAAGUCUUCAAAGUAGUCUCCCCCUGUUUUCUCCAUCUCUAUACUUUCUCUAGAAUUGAGAUAGCUAUUUGCCAUCCACAACUUGAUCAAUCUAUCUUUCCUAAUGAUUUGAUCUUUUGGGAAGACAGCACAAUAUGAGAAGCAGCGUUUAACAGCAGGGGAUAAAUCAUAAUAACUCAACAAUAAAGGAGUGGAAAGAUGUUUCUCAAUCACAUCAAGUUGCCAUAUUUCAUUAUUCAAAAUACUCUCCCAAUCUUCUUUAUUAUCUUUUAAGCGCAUGAGACUCCCUAAAACUUUUGCAGCAAGAGGCAAGCCCCUACACUUGUCUGCUAUUUUCCUGCCAAUGUUUUCUAGUUCUUCAACUUUUUCCCUACUCCUUCCGUAAAAGGCUAUGUUACUGAACAAUGACCAACAUUGCUCCUUGGACAAUUCUCCCAAGGGGUGCUUGUACGUGGUUCCCAUCAUUGUAGAAACGUUUUCGUUUCGUGUGGUCACCAAAAUUCUACUUCCCGGUGCCCCACCCUUGAGAGAACUCUCUACUUGUUCCCACAAUUCAUAGUUUUCAGUCCAAACAUCAUCUAGCACGAGUAGGAACUUCUCAUCGGCAAUAAGUGUGCAAAUUUUUUGUUGUACAGCUUCCAGAUCAUGGAAACCAGAAGACUUUUUCUGGAGGGCUUCAAGAAUAGCCCUAGAAAUCCUCAUUGGGUCAAAAGGAUCAGACACACAGACCCACAUCCUUUCAUGGAAAUAGGACUUCACCUUUUCGUGGUUGUAUGCUAAUUGAGCAAGAGUUGUUUUGCCGAUCCCUCCCAUCCCAACUAUGGAGACGAUGUAGAGGGAGGAGCUUUCUUGGCAACUCCCACCCAACAGCUUGCCUAUUAUAAUGUUUAUAUCUGCAUCCCGACCGCAGAACUGGCUAACAUCAAUUACAGAACUGGUUAUACGUCUAUGUGGUUGCUGGAUGAUACUACUUGACACAAAAUUGAACUGAUUUCUCUCAUUUGCAAUGGCAUUUAGUUGUUUUUUUAUGUCCUUAAUCUGAAGAGCAAUAUCAUGGCGCAAAGAAACUUGUUUGAAGCAAACACAAGGGGAGGGAAGGCAGGAACUUAUCUUGGGCUUAGGGAUGCCAGGGUUUUCAGCUGCAAUCUGUAAUUUGAGAAGAGCAGUGCUCCACCCAUCCACCACGUCAUCCAUCUGGUAGGAGAUGUCCUUGAGCCUUUCUAACCAAACUUUUACAAGUUCUUCUGUGAACUGUCUCUUCUCUGCAUCUCCAAGAACAGCUCUGAUGCUCUGGAGUGUGCUUUUUAGGUUGUCCACCUCGCUUUCGACACCCACCACCAGUGUAACUUGUUGACGAAUCUGUUGUUCCAAGACUGAAGCCAAUCGCUCCAGCACGAUAGAAACAAGAGCAUCCGCCAUAAGGGUUGAUGAAUUAGGUGGGGUUGAUGAAUCAAAG
rnacentral:lncRNA from 1 species